rnacentral:lncRNA from 1 species
UUCAAUAUUCCAUACAUCAAACCAAUUGCAGUUUUGAUAUCAAAUUCAAUUUUAUUGUUGGUGACGAUUCUGAUUCCUUUCAUUCUCACAAAACGGAACCAUGGUUGCUGUUGGAGAGAUCUUACUCAACGCCUUCCUUGAGGUGUUGUUUGACAGGUUGGCUUCUCGUAAUUUGCUCCGCUUUGUGCGUCAACUCCAAGGCGGGGUUGAUUCGGAGCUCAAGAAGUGGGAGAAAAAGCUGAAGAUGAUUCAGGCUGUGCUCUGCGAUGCAGAGGAGAAACAACUGACCGAUGAGGCUGUGAAGAUGUGGCUGGACGAACUCCAAGACUUAGCUUAUGACGCUGAGGACAUUCUUGAUGAGUUUGCUACUCAAGCUUUGGAAAGCAAGUUGAUGGCGCAAAACCAGGAUAGCUCUGGCCAGGUUCUCAGUCUCAUCCCGGCUAGUUUGAAUCCGAAUGCUAUUAUGUUCAAUUAUAGCAUGGGGUCCAAGAUUAAAGAUAUGACUAGCCGGCUGGAGCAACUCUGCCAAGAAAGAAUUGAACUUGGACUGCAACGGCUUACUGGAGGGGCGUCAUCAACCGCUGCUGCUGCACACCGGAGGCCACCCAGUUCGAGUGUCCGAACAGAACGUGAAGUAUUUGGAAGAGAAGAAGAUAAGGCCAAAAUUCUUGAUAUGGUCAAUACCCCAAGUGAUCACGCCAACUUUGUUGUAAUACCUAUUGUUGGAAUGGGCGGGAUAGGAAAAACAACUCUUGCUCGGGAGGUCUACAAUGACAAGGCAGUUGAGGAUUCCAAGUUUGACGUAAAAGCAUGGGUUUGUGUCUCCGACAACUUUGAUGUUUUCAACAUUUCAAAGGCACUUCUCGAGUCAAUCACCUCCGCAGCUAGUGAUCUCAAGACUUUAAAUGAAGUGCAGGUUCAACUGAAAAAAGCAGUGGACGGAAAAAGAUUCUUGCUGGUCUUAGAUGAUGUUUGGAACGAGGACUACAGCUUGUGGGUAGACUUAAAAGCUCCGUUCCUGGGUGCUGCACCAAACAGUAAGAUGAUCGUCACCACACGCAAUUUAAACGUUGCAUCAACAAUGGGACCAAUUGAACAUUAUAAUCUCAAGAGUCUGUUAGAUGAUGAUUGCUGGUCCAUUUUCAUACAGCAUGCAUUUGAAGGUAGAGAUCUUAACGCAUAUCAAAUUUCAGAAUCAUUCAGCAAGAAAGUUGUUGGCAAGUGUGGGGGCUUGCCUCUGGCAGCAAAAACGCUCGGGGGCCUUCUGCGCACAACAAGGCAUGAUGCGUGGGACGAUAUAUUGGAUAGCAAAAUAUGGGAUUUACAUCAACAAAGCAGCAUUCUCCCUGUGUUAAGAUUGAGUUACCAUCAUCUUCCGUCUCAUUUGAAAAGAUGUUUUGCUUUUUGUGCCAUCUUUCCAAAAGAUUAUGAAUUCACUGAGAAGGGGCUAACUUUCUUGUGGAUGGCUGGAGGUAUUAUUCGACAGUCAAGAAACAGUGAGCAGCUGGAAGAUUUGGGCAGCAAGUGCUUUCAUGAUCUAGUGUCAAGGUCUAUUUUUCAACAAACCAGCUCUGGUAGUUCUAAAUUUGUAAUGCACGACCUUAUCCAUGAUUUUGCUGAAUUGGUUUCUGGAGAGACCAUUUUAAGGUUAGAGGAAUCCACCAACUUGUCGUCAAGGAGAUUUGAAAGAGUUCGCCAUUCUUCCUAUGCCCGUGGUUGGCUUGAUGGUAAAAAUAAGUUUGAGGUUUUCUAUGAAAUUGAACAUCUGCGAACAUUCUUGCCAUUCUGCAUAAGAGGUGGCCCUAAUACUAGUUACGUAACUAGUUUACUUCUAUAUGAUUUGUUGCCGAAGUUUAAAAAGUUGAGGAUGCUAUCUUUAGAAGGAUACCAGAUUGGUGAGUUACCAAUUCCAUUUGAAGAUUUGAGACCUUUAAGGUUCCUCAACCUUGCCGACACUGACAUAAGAAGUUUACCCGAGUCAACAUGCAAAUUGCUGAACUUGGAAAUUUUGAUAUUACGAAAUUGUUCCCGUUUGAUAAAGCUUCCGCCCAAAAUGAGGAAUUUGAUCAAUUUACGCCAUCUCGAUAUAAAAGGUGCAAAGCUGCUGAAGGAGAUGCCAUUGGGAAUGAAAGCGUUGAGGAGUCUUCAAACAUUGUCCAAUUUUAUUGUAGGCAAGGGUGAAUCUGCAUCUGGUUUGGAAGAUUUAAAAAGUUUAAACUUUCUUUGUGAUGAACUCUGCAUUGCUGGAUUAGAGAGUGUGAAUAGUCCACAGAAUGCAAGAGAAACCGCAUUAUGCGAGAAGCACAAUCUUGAAGCAUUGACUCUAGAAUGGGGGUCUCAAUCUAACAGUCCUCGGGAUGCAGUACUAGAGGAGAAUGUACUUGACACUCUACAGCCUCAUAAACGUAUAAAAGAGCUGGCAAUCAGGCACUAUGGUGGUGCAAGAUUUCCACUUUGGAUCGGACAUCCUUCGUUCUCCGAGAUGAAGGUCCUUAAAUUGGAGAACUGUGACAAGUGUGUAUCUCUGCCAUCGCUUGGCCUGAUGAAUUCACUUAAGCACCUUGCUGUUAAAGGGCUGAAGAAACUAAAAAGCAUAGAGUCUGCGGUCUUUCCAUCAUUGGAGAUUCUAAGUUUUGAGAAUUUGCCAGAAUGGGAGCAUUGGGACACCAAUAUCAAUGGAAAUGUGCACGUUGAAAUAUUUCCUCAUCUCCAAGAACUUUCCAUUGCAGAAUGUCCCAAACUCUCUGGAGAACUGCCUGAGCUCCUGCCCUCCUUGGAGACACUUGUCGUUAGUAAAUGUGAACAGUUGGCAGUUCCAUUGUCUUGCUAUCCGAUGCUCUGCAGAUUAGAAGUUGAUGAGUGCAAAGAACUCGUGUGCGGGACUCCAAUUAAUUUUAAGUUGGUAAAGUCUUUGACCAUUUCAAAUAGUUCAUUAGACAUGAAUGGAUGCAAUGGGAUGCUAUACCAUGGUCCAGCUGGCUCUUCACUGUCUAAACGCAUGACUAUUACAAAUGUUUUGGAGUUUGGAAAAUUAUUGAAGCCUGGAUUUCAGAUAUUAGAAUAUUUGGUAAUUGGCAAUUCUGAACAGCUCAAGUCAUGGAGGCGGGCCAGGAGACCUAGACGUUUUAAUGAACCAGAACACGGGCUAAAAAUUCUCGCUUCCCCUGAAGAGGUAACAAUUGAAGAAAGUUGCGUAAAUCUUGUUUUGUUUGCAGAGAUCAAUUUCUUUCCCAGAAAUCUGCGCUCUCUUCUAAUUUUCAAUAACAUACCUUUAAAAUCCUUACCCGAGGAAAUGAUGGACAACAAUUCACAACUGGAAAGCUUGUGCAUCAGAAAUUGCGAUUCUCUAACAUUCAUCACAAGACACAAGCUACCUUCAUCUCUAAAAAGUAUAGCAAUUAAGAAUUGUGAGAAAUUGCAACGUCCGUUCGAUGAUGAAGAGGAUGCUUCUUCUUCUUCUUCUCCUUCAUCCUCGUCUUCCCCAGUGAUGCUGCAAUGCCUGACUAUAGAGAACUGCCCAGAGCUCACCAGUUUAUCAUCGGGAAUCCAAUUCCUUGAGGCGCUUGAAGUACUCGAGCUAAGGGAUUGUCGAAAGCUGGAGUCAUUACCGGAUGGCCUGCAAAAUCUUAACUGUUUACAGAGCAUUCAUAUAGAUGGAUGUCCAAGUCUUGUUUCCUUCCCAGAAAGAGGGCUUCCCAACACCAUUUCGAGAGUUUACAUUCGUGGUUGUGAGAAGCUUGAAGCCCUGCCCAACGACAUGCACAAACUCAACUCUCUCGAAACUUUAAACAUACGGAAAUGUCCAAAUCUUGUAUCGUUUCCAGAGGAAGGUUUUCCUACCAGUCUAGUAUCACUUACAAUUGGAUAUGUCAAAAUGUAUAAGACACUCGUCCAGUGGGGGUUGCAUAGGCUUACCUCUCUUACACACCUCGAGAUUAUUGGAUGUGAUGAUGAAGCAGAGUGUUUUCCAGACGAGGAGAUAGGAAUGAUGCUGCCCACCUCUCUCACUCAUCUGCAACUUUCGGAAUUCAAAAAAUUGAUAUCUCUCUCUUCGACGGGUUUUCAGAGCCUCAACUCUCUUCAAUCUUUGUGGAUAUUGGGUUGCCCAAAUCUCACAUCAUUCCCAGAGGUGGGCCUUCCAUCCUCACUUUUGGAAUUACACAUUGUCAAGUGUCCAAAGCUUAAAGAAGUUUGCAAAAGAGACCAAGGAGAAGAGUGGCCCAAAAUUGCUCACAUCCCUUGUUUUGAGAUAGACUGGAAAUUCAUAUACGAUCCAGAAUCAGAGGAGUAGAUUCUCCUAUUAAGGUCAGUUGAUUUUUUAUUAUCCGUUAUAACAAGCUCCUCCUUUUUUAUUUUUUUAAUAAUAAUUUAGCAGUUCUAUAUAAUUAUAAAUCCUCCGCCCUUAAUUGAAAAUGUCACUCAUUUGAUUCCAUUUUCACAAGUCAGAUCGUAUGUUGAGGUUAUUUGCAUUUUAUCGGUGUUUAUUAAGGUAAUUAGUGCGUUAUAGGUUGAUUACUCACAGAUUAAGUUAUAACAUUUAUCUUAAAAUUUAAUGUCAUAGACAGAGAUGAUUUUUUAAUCCAAAGUUUUCUUGAUUCACUUCAAUUAGCAUUUUCUUUUCCCCAGAUCAGGCACGCGGAGAGUUCCAAUCAAGAAUUGGAGCAUGUGAAUGGGAUUUUUGUGAAAACAUAAUGAUGCAGGAACUGGGAUCUCAAAGUCAACAGAAUUUUAUUUACUCAUUGACUUUUCAACUCCUGUGGUUAUUUAUGGGUGAAAGAAAGAUAAGGGCAAUUUCAAGAAAUUUGCAAACUCUGUCAAUUUCUUUUAAUUGUACCAAUUUGUCGUUUAUGCUUUGGUUUUAUUUUUUCAGUUUUGUUUAUUGCUUAGAUGGUAGCAUACUUGAAAUGAUACAUAGCCUUCACCGGCAGAAUUCUAGUCUUGGCUUUCACCUCUCUAACUCAUCUCAUCUGUUCCUAUUGGGAUUCCAGAAAUUGAAAUUUCUGUCAUCAAUGGGUUUCAAAGCCUCACCGCUCUCCGAUUUUUGUGGAUCGGGAAUUGCACAAAUCUCACAUCAUUUCCAGAGGUGGGCCUUCCAUCCUUGCUUUUUGGAAUUACAAAUUGGAAAAUGCUACUUUCCCCGGGUCAAAUCCCAGGUCAAACCCCGAAUUAAACCAAAACGACACCGUUUUGGUUUCUUUUUUUUGUCCUUUUUGCUUCCAUGAAACGUGGUCGUUUCAGCCAAACAAAAGCAAAUGUCUUCGUUUUUUACUUCCUCUCCUCUUCGAUUCUCCUCUUCGUUUUACCAACAGACCAACAGAGCACAAAUUGCAGAAGUCACUUGCACAUCAAUUCAUCACAAAAUGCAGAGUUUUACUAAAGAAAAAAACGAUGCCGUUUUUCUUGCCAAAUAUUUUCCAUUUCCUUCGUUCAUGGAGCUCCUGCCACCGCCAAAGCCAAAUAUUUCCCCUUUCAUUUCCUUCGUCAAUCAAGCUCCAGCCACUUGCUUCGUCGAUCGAGCUCUAGCCACAGCCAUUCGCAAAUCGCAGUCCACAAUCCGCGCCUGAAAUUGUCAUUCACAAUCCACAACUCACAACCAUGACUUCACACAGAGAACGACUCCCACAGCCUUCACGCGACAGCGAGAUCGAGCUCUUUAACAUUCGAAGAACAUAUCUGGUUGCGAAAGUUGAUUUUUAAUUUGCUUGCGAGCUGAGAUGCUUCGAAUUCUCUGUUUUUUUUUUUUUUUUGUAAAUUACUAAGCCAAAAGCUUUGCAUAAGCUUCUGCUUCGGUUUUGAAGAUUGUGAAGCUGGAAAUGUUUUUUCCCUUUUUAUAAAUGGAUAAUUGAAAGUUUGAACUUUACCUUCGUACUUUCUUUUUCAUAAAUUGCUCAUGGUGCAGUCUCAUUUUGCUAGUUGAAGAAACAGUUAAGGGGGUCUGUAGUUGGGAAGAAAGAGGAAACGAAAAUGAAAAGAAAAAGCUUAAGUCUCGGUGCGUUCAAGUAGCAUUUUUUCAAUUAAAAAAUUUAAUUCUCAAAACGGCGUCGUUUUCUAAAGUUUCGGGGUUUGACCCGGGAUUUGACCCGGGGUAAAUAGCAGAACUCUUACAAAUUUACAGUUGUCAGAAGCUUGAAAAAGUGUGUAAAAGAGAUCAAAAUUCUUGUCUUGGCUUUCACGUAGGGAUGGCAAAAAUCCCCACGGGGACGGGUACCCUCGGGGAUUUUCCCCAUUCGGGGAGGGUAUGGGGAUAAUUUCAUACCCAAUUUCUUAUUCGGGGAGGGGACGGGGAAAUUUUGUUACCCAAUUUCUUAUUCGGGGAGGGGACGGGGAUGAGGUGGAAUCCCCAUCCCCUACCCAUUUCCCCAUUUUAAUUUUUAAUUUUAUUUUAAUUUUUUAAAAUUACUAGUAAAUAAAUAAUAAAAUUUAAAUUAUAAAAUUAUAAAUAUUGGUAAAAAUAAAAAAUAUCAAAAUAUUUAUAUUAUUAAACUUUUAGGCUUAAUUAACUAAUUAAAGUCCUAAAUUUUUAUUUAGGACAUUAAAAAGACCGAGUAGAUUCUAUUAGCCCAAAAGUUUUUUAUUUUUAAUAUUCUUUAAAUAUUUUAAACUUAAAUCUAUUUUUUAUUUAUUUUUAGAUGUUAUAAUUGCCCACAUCGAAUCACAAUUUUAAUAUCUAAUCUAAUCUAAUCUAAUCUAAUAUUUACUCUUGAUUUGCUCCGAUUUAACUAUUGUGUUGUAAAGGGAAUAGUCCACAUUUAUAAAGUGCCCACGCCACCAUUAAAAAAGUUAAUUUUGAAUCUAAAUUCGAUUUUAUUUGUAACAAUUUUGUAUUAAACUAUUAAUUUGUUCAUGAUAGUUUGUAAAAGAAGUUUGUAUCCCUUGCAUGCUGUGUUACUUACUAAUUUAAUGUAUGUGACUUUUGUAAUGGAUAUUAAUGUAAGAUAUAUUUCAAAUUUUACUUUUAUUUGAAUUUUUUAUUUUAAUAUGAUUAACUCAAAAUCGAAAAAAAAAUAUUAGUUAUUCGGGGAUCGGGGACCCUCGGGGAUCCCCUGUUAUUAUUCGGGGAGGGGAUGGAGAUUCGCUCAAGUAAUUCUGACGGGAACGGGGAGGGGACGGGGACAUACGCAAAAUAUCGGGGAUGGGUACGGAGAGAUUGGUCCCCUCCCCUCCCCUCCCCAUUGCCAUCCCUACUUUCACGGAUAGUUUUUAUCACGUAACCACGUGAGGAAGCAUGUGCUGGAGCCUGAAUUCAGUUAGUUAAAGUUUGUUAACCACGUGUCAACAAACUGUAUAAUCUGGAAAAUAAGCUAGCUAUUGAAACAGGGUAUAAAGGCUGGUUUUUCAGGGACUAUCGAGAGCUGAUUCUAGAGUCUUGUAGAAAGAGGUUUGUGAGAGAGAAAGUGUCAUCUUGUUCUCUGUAAAAUCCGAUAUAGGGCUCUGUAACGAUCUCCAUUGUUGAAUCAAUAAAACUCAUCUAGAAGCUUCUCUCGUGGACGUAUUCUGAGCAAUCAAUGCACAGCUGAACCACGUAAUAUCUUGGUUUCUGUGGGUUCUUGUUUUGGUUCUUGAUAAAUUCUUGUUGUUGUAUUGAGGUGUGAUUUGAUCUGUCUAAACUUGUAUCUGUGCAACUUGAAUUGAUUUGAUGAUAAGAAUCUUGGGCAGUGAUCAGAUUCGUUUAGUUUAAAGAACAAGCUGAUUACUACCGUACCUAUGCAUGGACCUGCAACCUGUGCUGACAAAACUGAAACUGUGAGUUUGAGGUAAAAAGGUCCUGGACCCUCACAGUUUAACUUUGACUUGUUGCUUUCUGGAUAAACAUAUUUUAGAAAUUUGCAAUUUGUUGUUAAUUAUGGUAUGUGAUUUUCUUCUUUGUUUUCGCUUUUGUAGAAUCUACCGUAUUACAUAUUGGCAGUUGUAUCUGAGGUACCUUUUUUGCAUUUAACUUGCCUUUAUCUGUUUUGCCUGUUACUUAACAACACAAACACAUCAUUUCCCAAACAUUUGGAGAAGCAUCUCAAGAUGCUUAACAAACUUGACAAACUUCAAGAUGCUCCCAAGCCUUGAUUCUUCACAAUGGAAGACCUGUGAGUACACUUAUGCCCGCAAUUAUUGUGAAGUGAUUGCAACUUUGAUGCAGCGAAAUGGUUUGCUGAUGCAAAGCUUUAAAACUGUUAAGAAUUACCCUGCAGGCUUGUUGGAUGUUGUAUACUCCAAAAGCCACCAACACCAAGAACUAUAACAGCAAGACUAGGUUUGCAUUAAUUCAAUUAGCUGAAAUAAUGAUGCAAAUGGCACUAUCCAGCUCGACUUAGAGACUAGUCAGGUCAAUCAUCCAUUUCAUCAACAGUUAAUGUCAGGAUGGUGGCUAGCAGAGGAAACAAAGGAUAUGUUGGAAUCAAUAAGAACAGUGAGAAGCAUGAGAGGAGCUUUGAUUAUAAGUAGGCUCAAUGAACUAGUGUUGGUAAGUGGUAAUUAGAGCAAUUUGUGAGCUUAGUAGAGUUUCAAUAUUUUCUGUUUGGGAUAUAGUUGAUAAGUUGAUACUCUGAUUAAGAAGGCUGAUUAUAGUAGCUGACUAUAUUAACCGGGUUCUCUUUUUUGGUUUGCUGUUGUUUUUUCUUUCAAUAUCUUUUUCAACAUUAGGUUUAGCUGUUGAAGAACAAGCUUGGGUUUGAUUAUCAGGUAAGAACAAAUGAAUGCUUUAACCAUGUUUCUCACUUAUCACAAUGCACGGAUUGAAGGCGUCUGAGUUGAUCCUGAAAAUUUGAUGGAAACACUUCUCUGUUUUCAUAAAACAGGACAACCAGAAAUAUCUGAUCAUGCCUGAGAAUUCGUCGCAUUGAAAUUUUCUACCAUUGCCAAACAUAGAAUAAACCAGGGAUACAUUAGCUUAAGACUCAAUUUUGAGAAGGAAGUUUGUACUUGCAGACUAUAAAAUCAUGUCUACCUUGUAUGUUUCUGUGGGGAAUGAAAGAUUCUGUGUGUUCUUUUACUUCGGGUUUGCUGAAAUCACAUUUGUUUUCUCAGAUGCUUUCCGGAAGGUAACAACGUCAAUUUCAAAAAUGUUGGGGUAAGAUGCAUCAUGCAGUGCUGCUCAACAUGAGAAUUCCUGGCCGCAUUACCCGUAUGUGGAAUGAUCUCACACUACAACCUUGAGAAGGUUGUAAGGAGUACACAACUAGAUGCGAGUAGUUUCAAAAUGAAUUCACAUGGAAUUAUAUGUUGCCGCUUAUUACUAUCACGUCUAUCCGAAAAUUCUUGGAAUUUGUCACCGGCAUUGAAGGAUUGUAUACGUGAAGACAUAGCUGAUGGCCUUGCGAAAGCUCCAUCAGCACUUAUAUCGGAAACAGCUGGUUGUAGUUGCUCCUGAGUGAUAUGAUUAAUAGAUACUGUAAAAAUGAACUGUGCCACUCAUAUCGAAAACCAGCUGUUAUGAUGUGUUGGUAAUGUGUUUGAUGCUUGUUUGAUUUAUGUUGUAUUCGGCUAUAAAUCAAAGAUCAGAACAUGGGUGUGUUACUGGUUUCCAAAUCAAAAAAUGCCUUGUGAUGUUAGUGUUCACUGUUUUCACAGGAGACCAGGUUCCUUGUUAAUGAGUCAAGAAGAAGACAAGUGAAUCCAUGUCUGAGUUCAAAUGUGUCUUUUCUAUUUCUUUUACCGACACAUUUAUUUUGAUUUCUUUGACUAGAUGACUAAAGAGUAAAGAUAGAAGAAAUCAAAACAAAUGAGUCAGGUCCCACCUGGCCCAUUGGCCCAUCUCUCUUCCAGCCCAAAUCACUCUCAUUCGCUAUUUUGCCACCUUCAUUUCACUGCCCUCAUAGCUCCCCGUUCUCACGGUGGCUGCCAUCUUUCUGCUCACGCAUCUUUCAAAUUUCAAACCUAACAGCAUUCUGUUGCUCUGUCGUGGGUACUUCAACUUCUGUCACCUUCGGUAAGCUUAUCUCUGCCCCUCUGUGGCUGUCUCUCUCUUUACAAUGUUGUUUCUUAUUCAAUUUACAGAAUUGAAUUCACUGUUCAGUUUAUGGGUUAGAUUUUUAUUCAAAAUAAUAUUAAACCCACCUCAGAUUUUAUCCCGUAGUAUGUAAAGUUCAUGUAAAGUUUCCACCUUUACGACCGUCCGAUGUUUAAAGUUCUAAUUUUGUUCCGGGGUUUUAUCAGUGUAUUUAGAAAUUAUGUCCAUUGUUUUUAUGAAAAUGGAACUAUUUUCAUUUGUUUAUUUCUCUAUGGAUGAGAAAACCGGUCUUUAAGCUUUAUAAUCUUUAUUUGAUUAUUAGAUUUCUCUUUUGUUAUUCAGAUGAGUUCAGUUUUCCAAUUCUGUGCAAUUGUUUUGUUGCAUUUUUCAAUUUUAUCUUUUUCCAAUGCGACGUUUAUGUUUGUAUUUUCUUAAAAGUGGACAUGAAUUUUGAUUUGUUGUUGCUUUGUUGUGAUUGAGUAGCCAAUUUUAAGUCCAUAUUAAACUUUCUCAAUUAUUAGUUGAAUUAUUUGGAUUUGAAAUUUUAAGUUCUUAAAACCGCCAUUUUAACUUGUUUGUUAAUGGCUCUGUUGAGCUUCAACAUUUGUUUUCAAGAACAAAAUUGAUGGAACUAUAAACCUUCGUUUCUCACAUGCGGGCAACAUGUUAUGUUAGACAGAGUGAAAUCGACAGAAGAAACCAAAACAUUGGAAACAGAGACACAGAGAGAGAUCAGCAGAAAUGGCUUGGUGCAGAGUACGCUCAGCUUCAUCGACACUCUUCAUUAGGCUUCUCUGCCCUUUCAUUCUCAACAAUAACACUACUUAACGCUAUCAGUCCUGUGGUACUCUUGUUUCUAUACUUGUGGAAUCUCUUUUUUAAUCCUCAAAGUUUGAAUUAAAUUAUAUUGCCUCUGUAUUUCUGCAGAAACGGAAUCAGUUGGUGAUGACAUUAAUUCUCAAGUUGGAAGUUGCAUGCCACUUUCUUGUAUGCAUGUUGGGACCAUCAUCAACAACAUUGAGGUAAACUCAGCCAAGAUUUUGAAAAAGAAUCCACUUCAAGGUACUGCUUAGUUUCUGGAAAUGAGAAAUUGAUUGACACUAGACGUCAACCCACCAUUGAUACAGCGUCUAACCCCAGCCAUGAAGCUAAGAUGCUUAGGAAGGCUGGUCAGAGCCAUUGGUUGGGCCAAAGACCUGUGAUUAGAGGAGUACCCAUGAAUCCAGUUGAUCAUCCUCGUGGUCGAGGUGAGGGACAAGGCAAAAGUAGUGGUAAGCAUGGAAGGUGUUCACUUACACCUUGGGGCAAGCCUUGUAAGUGGUGUAAAACUGCAUCUCGUAAGAAGAAAAGGAAAUUUAGCCGUCUGAUAAUAUUGUCCUUCUGUGCUAUUUAGCCUUUUUAAUAUUGUUACAUUGUUUGUUAUAUCUUUGAUGUUAGUUUUGGACCAGCUUUUAACUGAUCCAUAAUGAAACUGAAGUUUAAUUUUCGAUUGAACUUUUACUGGUUUUACUCCUGUCAUUUCAAUUUAGCUUUGAUUUAAGAUGCUGAAUUCUGUGAUUGGAGUAUGUAGAUUGGAAAGAGAGAUAUUAUGGGAUAGAAUAUAGAUUUUGUGUUUUGGUUUCUCAUGUUUAGAGAUAUUCUGUUCUUUUUCAUUUAUUCAAUUUGGUUAGUGGUGAUCUCUUAAAGAGUUAAUGCAUGUGUGUUUAUGUACUUUUCUUUUGGCCUUGAUUCUAUUUCUUGGGGAGUUUAUACAGAUUCCUCUUUUAUGCUUCACAUGCCACAUGCCACAUGAAAGAUGAAAGCCUUUUGUGUGAUUAGAAUUGACUUGCAUCAUAGUAACUUUGAACCACUGUAACAUUUUUAUAAUAGCAGUCUGCGAUCUCCUUGAAGGAUUCAAAGCAUUUUUUUUGUUAGUCUUGGCUUGCAUUAAAAUCCUUUAUACCGAUUGGUUGGUCUCCUUUAAAGCAAUUCCUGUUUUAAGUAAUCAAAAUCUUGAUUCGGAAGUGUGUUUUAGCACUACUAAAGGUUCUUUUAAAUACUAAAUUGAUUGUGAGUCUUCUAUAUCAUCUGAUUGAAAUACAUGAAAGCGAUAUUGGCUACAAAAGUACACUUGGGGUUGUUUAUAAAGUCUUCAACAGGAUUUUUUUUUCCCCUUCCUCAUGGUUUAUUUUUUAGUUGUUGUUUAACAAAACACUUAAAAGGUUCUCUUUAUAGGUUUCUGAAAAUAAUUUUAACAUAACCAUUUUUCAGAAGCACUUUAGAUACCUGUGGCAUUUAGAAAAUUUUGUUCCAGCAUUCACAUAAUAUACAUAGAAAUUUGAAUUUAUUUAAUUAUGAGCAUGUGCUAGUGCCUAUUGGCAUCCACUUGUAUAUACAAAUGUAUUAUACAAUACAAUAUUAGCUUGACUGUAGCAUAGAGGAGAAUAGGGUCGGAAUUGGUCUGAAUUCUGAUCUUUGAAUAAAUAUAAUAGCUGAUUGAAGCUGCUCAUGUGACUCCAUUGUCAGCAGCUUACACAAGGUCUUUUAGCUUUUUAAAAAGUUUUGUGAUAUUUCAUAGUUCACAUGGAUUGCUACAGUAUAGAAUACCCAAUUAGGGCAUUUUUAAUUCCUAUGCAUAGGAGUCUUCCUUCAUGCGCACGCGCGUACACACAUAUAUUUCCCACUUCCGUUCACUCCAAAAGUGAAAAUUGCGGGCAAUUUUUAUCUUCAGUAAAAUUGGAGUAGAUGUUGUUCUUAUUGGCGCAAAUUUGCGUACCAUGUUUGUGGGACCCUUAACCUUGCGCCUUUGUUACAAUCAUAUGCAUUCAGGCUUUUGGUAGACCCUUGGAUAGUAUGAUCAGUGUAUUAGAAUUUAGAAUUCGUGUUUAUAAGGGUCAGUUUGGUAAUGUUAUAAUUUUUAAAAUAAUUACUGUUAGCUAUACUAUAGAAAUAAUCAGUUGUGAAUAAAAUCAGUUAAACAGUUGAUAAAUUUUGUUUUUAAGGUGUUGUGAGUUUUAAACAAUUUGUAUGUAUUUAGUAAAUCUCGCUUUUAAAGUAUUAUAAGAAUGCAAAGACUUAAAUAGAUAGAAAUCUAUAAAAUUUAUUUACAUGUGCAUUUAUACAAUAAUAUUUUAUGCAUGUAUAUAAUAAUUAAUAACAGAAAUAAAUAUUUUUAUUUUAUUAAUUAUAUAUUUUUCUUAUUAUCUCAAUAUAAUUGGUAAUAAUAAUCUUUUUAAUAGUACAUUUAUUAAUCAGUAAUCGAAAUGGGCUGGAAUCGGAAUGGGGAAUGAAAAUCAUAAUAAUUUGUUUACUUUAGCUGUAGGAAUCAAAAUCACAUGGAGCUAUAUUAUCAUUAAUAUAUUUAUUUUGUCUUGGAAUCGAAAUAGAUUGUUACAAAUUACUAAACUGAUUUUAUUAUUAUCAAUAUUAUUAUUAAACAAGGUAAAGGGAAUUUUUAAUUUUCACUAGGUGUAGAAAUGUCGAUUCACUUCUCAUUCUCAUUCUCUGUUCUCAUUCCCCCUCCUCAUAGGAUUACCAUUUCACAUUCUCAAAAAUUUAUAAUUGACUCACAUUUCAUUCUCAUUCCUCCUUAUUUUGGAAGUAAAUAAGUUAAAGAAUCAUAUUCCUUUAUUCUUGUUUUUCAUUCACAUUCCUUCUCCUUAUUUUGGAAGUAAAUAACUUAAAGAAUCAUAUUCCCUUAUUCUUGUUCUCGUUCUCGUUCUCAUUCUCAAUUAGUAAGCACACUACAAAUGCAAUGAUUUUGUUUCCUAAUUAAACAAGGAUAAUUUUUAGAUUUUUAUAAUAUAUGUUAAGAUAUAUGUAGAAUUGUAUUAAAUAUGAAACUGACUCCCAAAAUCAUAUUUUAAAAAACUAUUUUUUUCUUAUUUUUUGAAAUUUAUUGUAGGCUAGGGUGAUUUUAUCAAAGUAAUUUUUUUAAAAAUUUUCGGACCCAUUUGGGAUUGUUUUUGGAAGACUCAAAAAGGAUUUUGAAUAGCUAAAAUCUAAGUUUGGUGUUUUAUAAUUUUUUUUUAAAAAAAUUACUUCUGAUAAAAUUAUCUUAUCCACGUUAAAUUUUAAAAAGAAAGGAAAAAGUAAUUUUUUAAAAUCUGAUUUUAAGAAUCAUUUUUAUACUUAAUACAAUUUCAUAAAUAUCCUGAUAUAUAUCAUAAAAAUUCAAAAUUAUCUUUAUUAGUUAGGAAAUAAAAUCAAUAAUUUUAAAAAGAUUAUUAUUAUUUCUAAUUAUAUUGAGCUAACAAAAAGAAAUAAAAUUACUAAUAUAAAAUUUAUUUUAACUAUUAAUUAUUAUAUUUACCAAUAAAAAACAUUUUAUAUACACGUUUAUAAAUAUUUAAAUAAAAUUUAUUCAUGUCGAGUUCAACCAUUUAUAUUAUUACAGCAAUUUAACAACUGGUUGUCGUUGCUCGGGAAUUAUAGAAUUACCAUAUGUUGUAAAAAUGCACUAAGCCAUGCCAUGUGUUUGAUACAGGUUAUGCUUGUUCGAUUAAAUUGUACUCACCUAUAAAUCAAAGAUUCAGUACAUGUGCAUGUUAGUGGUCUUCAGAAUCCAGAAUAAUAAAUGCCUUGAAAUGCUUGAGUUCAAUGAUUUCGCAGAAGACCAAGUUCCUUGUUAAUGAGUCAGCAUGACUGAAUCCUUCACUAAGCCAAAUUUGUUUUCACUUUUAGUUUAGAAAUUGUCAUUAAUUAAGAAAGUGUUUGAUAAAAUGCUUUGGAAGGCACUGUUCGUUGGACGUUUGCCCAGAAUUUAUGAAAUCAUUGGUGUUUCAUCCUACUUGUAACACUCUUCUUUAUUUUCUAUUCUAACGAAGAAAUCUUUUAUUAGAAAAGUGACAAGAUUGCACCUUUCAUUUGUAUGUUAAGGAGGUGUAAAAUUUUCUCGUUAAAAUCCCAUCAUGAAAAAAACUCACGGGCAAAAACCUACUGCAAAUUAAAGAAAGAAGAGUAAAUCAUGAUAAAUACACUCUCUUUUACAAUGCAAGCGGAUGCUUCAAUGAGUGGAUCAUGCGCCAAACUUGUAUAUCGUUGUUGGUAGUGCUUUGUUGAAUCAAUAUGAUAGAUUUUCACUUUUCUUUUUUUUCUUUUCUUUUUUUUUUCCUUGUGGAUACGAAAAUGAUUUGGGUUAAACUAUACUUAAUGCCGGUUUGGUACGACUUCUCUACUAAUUAAAAGAGUUUUUUUUCUUAAAUGUUCAAAAAGAUUUUUUAUUAUAAAUUGUAAUUUGAGUGGAUUUCUUGGGAUUAAACAAGUUACAUUUUUGUCUCUAUAAAGAAGUUCAAGUUAUAGAUUUUGGCAAUAGAGAUGUAGAGGUUUUUUUUUUUUCAGAGAACUAAAUUGUGGAGACUAUCUUUAUUUGGUUAUACAACUUUUUUUUUUUUAAUUUCAUAACAUAAUUUUAAAAGACUUAUUUAAUAAAUUUGAUAUUUUUUUGUAAAAAUUAUCAUUCACGUCCAAACUACUGAAGAUUUUUUUGUUAAACGCACUACUUAAAAGUUAUAUUAAUUAUAAACUUUCUAAAAAAAAAAAACAAUUCAAAGAGUUAUAGCAAACAAAGUGCUAGUUAACUUCAGUCGAUAAUAAUCUUCUAAUCCGUCCUACAAAUGACUUUCGACAAGAGUGGUGCUACUCACAUCUCUUCAAAACCCAUUUGACACCCCGUUUUCUUUAUUUAAAAUUUUAUACAUUUGAAAAUUAUUUUUUCUUUUACUUGACACUCUUCAAAUUCUAAAACUAAGCUUCAAAGAACCUUCGUCAUUAAAUCUCAUUGCCUUCCUUUAUUCUUGUUACUUGAGAAGAAGAAUGAGAGUCUGGAAGAAUGAAAGAAAAUUCAGCGAGAUAGAAAUCUAGUAAUUUCAUACCAUGAUUCAGAAUUUUUUUUUUCUCAAAAGAAUCUACUAUUCUUCUAUAUUUUAUAUAAAAAAAAGAGGAAAAGAGGAAACUGAGAGACUCUUUGUUUAAUGCUUGAAAGUUAGAAAGAAAAGGUCAGGAAGCUGCCUGGUAAUGAGAGUGAUGCAUCAGCACUAAUUUCUAUCUCGAUAGCUACCAAUUACCACCCCUAGAAAGGCUGUUGAUCAACAAGCCAUAUCUACUGGUUUCCUUUCUUUAAAAGUUCUAAUGGUCCCCUUAAAAAUCUCUAUAUGCUCAGUCUUCUCAUGAUAUAUCUGAUUUUCGCUGAGAAUUAUAGCAAGCGCUUCAGAUAUCAUAAUACUUUGUGACUGACUACUGUGCAUGCUUAAUUAUAAGAUUAUUCCUUGUGGCCAAAUAAAAUGACCCCCUUUAGAGCCUCUGUAUUUGAAAAAGCAAGACAAUGAGCUUAAUUAUUGUCAAGGUCUCCAGUAGGAUACUCCUAAAUCCAUAUACCCACCCACCAGAACUCCAAUCUUGAAACUUAUAGAUCAAACCAUAACUUAAUGUGCCUGGCAACCAGGGAUAUGUCAGGCCUUUAAAAAACCACUACAUACAUUUGAGUCUGAAAUUGCUCCAAUUAGUAUUAUGAUUAUUAUUUUAAAAAACUCAACCUAAGCAAAGUGCCUCAGCAUACAAUAUUUAUUGACAACUAAAAAGUAAUAGUGGGUGGGGGUUGCCCUGGGUUUUGUUUAAAAAUUGAAGUAAAAAAUUUUCAAAUUUCAAAUUUCUAGUACAAAGAAAAUUGAUGACUAAAUUAAAUUCUGCAAAUUAAUUUCUAAUAUUACAUGAAAAUAUAUCAAGUUAAUUGGUAACAUUGUUAAUCACUUAAUCCUCAAUCUAAUACGUUAUGUAUUUGUUACUCUGUCUUAAAUCAAAAGUGGCGGUGAUUUAUUUUUAUUUUCACUAAUAAGAAAGGCAUGUUAGAGCUUUUAUUUUGUUGAAAAUGAACCAAAAAACUCCGAUUGGGAGAUUAUAAAUGUAUUUAACAAUAAUUUAACUUCCAUUUUGAAAGUCAUUAUAUUGUUUAUUCAGGAGAAGCGUUCUUUUAUAUUUUAUAGAUAUAAUGUUUGCUAAUCCUAAUUUAAGCUAAAGCAUAUGCAUUUCCUAAUUAAUUCUAAUUUAAGCUUAUUCAACUGCAUUCAAUUAAUGUUCGAUAAUACAAAUUCUAAAUACUAUAUACUCUAAGAAUUUUAAUCGUAAUGACAAGGUGAUCAUUUAAUUAUUACCGUUAAAUUAUAUAUGUAUGGUGGAGACGAGUCCACACGGUUUUGACGAGAAAUUAAAGACAAUAUUUAGUUAAGCUAGUAGUAUUUGUUCUGUUUAGUACGUCGUUUUACCAGCAAGCAUCCCGGCAAUGCACGCAUUAAUAAAAAAAUUUAUCUGUUUGGACUGAUUGGUAGUGAAAAAUUCCACAUACUUUAAAUUAAGAAAAUGCUAAGUAUCUUAAAGAAAACAAUUAAAAUAUUGUCACUUGAUGCUUGAAUCAUUAUUGUUAAAUAUCUCCGUUGAGUUGUAUUCCCCAGCUGUGAGUAUCAUUAUUGUCUUUGCUAUCUAAUCAAUUCAAUUUUCUUUCUGGAGACAAGAUUUUGAUUCCUUUCAUCGUUACAAAAACGGAACCAUGGUUGAUGUGGGAGAGAUCUUACUCAACGCCUUCUUUCAGGUGUUGUUCGACAGGUUGGCUUCCCGUGAUUUGCUCAGCUUUGUCCGUCAACUUGGAGGGGGGGUCGAUUCCGAGCUCAAGAAGUGGGAAAGAAAGCUGAAGAUGAUUCAGGCGGUGCUCAACGAUGCAGAGGAGAAGCAACUGACUGAUGAGGCUGUGAAGAUGUGGCUGGACGAUCUCCAAGACUUGGCUUAUGACGCUGAGGACAUUCUUGAUGAGUUUGCUACUCAAGCUUUGGAAAGCAAGUUGAUGGAGCAAAAUCAGGAUAGCUCUGGCCAGGUUCUCAGUUUCAUCCCGGCUAGUUUGAAUCCGAAUGCUAUUAUGUUCAAUUAUAGCAUGGGGUCCAAGAUUAAAGAUAUUACUAGCCGGCUGGAGCAACUCUGCCAAGAAAGAAUUGAACUUGGACUGCAGCGGAUUACUGGAGGGGCAUCAUCAACUGCUGCUGCUACACAGCAGAGGCCGCCCAGUUCGAGUGUCCCAACAGAACGUGAAGUAUUUGGAAGAGCAAAAGAUAAGGCCAAAAUUCUUGAUAUGGUAUUGGCCGAUACCCCAAGUGAUCAUGCCGACUUUGUUGUAAUACCCAUUGUUGGCAUGGGCGGGAUAGGAAAAACAACUCUCGCUCGGGAGGUUUACAAUGACAAGGCCGUUGGCGGUUCCAAGUUUGAUGUAAAAGCAUGGGUUUGCGUAUCUGACGUCUUUGAUGUUUUGGGCAUCUCAAAGGCACUUCUCGAGUCAAUCACCCGCAGGCCAUGUCUUCUAAACAGUUUAAAUGAAGUGCAGGUUGAAUUGAAAGUAGCUGUGGAUAAAAAAAGAUUCUUGCUGGUCUUAGAUGAUGUUUGGAACGAGGAGUACAGCUUGUGGGUAGACUUAAAAGCUCCGUUCCUGGUUGCUGCACCAAACAGUAAGAUGAUCGUCACCACACGCAAUUCAAAUGUUGCAUCAACAAUGGGGCCAGUUGAACAUUACAAUCUCAGGAGUCUAUCGGAUGAUGAUUGCUGGUCCAUUUUCAUAAAGCAUGCAUUUGAAUCUAGAGAUCUUAACGCACAUCAAAUUUCAGAAUCAUUCCGCAAGAAAGUUGUUGCCAAGUGUGGAGGCUUGGCCCUGGCAGCAAAAACACUCGGAGGCCUUCUGCGUACGACGAGGCAUGAUGCGUGGGAUGAUAUAUUAGAGAGCAAAAUAUGGGAUUUACCACGACAAAGUGGGGUUCUCCCAGUAUUAAGAUUGAGUUACCAUCAUCUUCCUUCUCAUUUGAAAAUGUGUUUUGCUUUCUGUGCAAUCUUUCCAAAAGAUUAUGAAUUCAAAGAGAAGGAGCUGACUUUUUUAUGGAUGGCCGGAGGAAUUAUUCGACAGUCAAGAAGCAAAGAGCGGCUAGAAGAUUUGGGCAGCAAGUGCUUCCAUGAUCUGGUGUCAAGGUCAAUUUUUCAGAAAUCAGCAAUCUCUGCUAGUUCUAAAUUUGUAAUCCAUGACCUUAUCCAUGAUCUUGCUGAAUUGGUCUCUGGAGAAACCAUAUUUAGGUUAGAGGAGGCCAAUACUCUGUCAAGAAGAUUUGAAAGGGUUCGCCAUUCCUCCUAUGCUUGUGGUGGAUAUGAUGGUAAAAAUAUGUUCGAUGUUUUCAAUGAAAUUGAACAUCUACGAACAUUCUUGCCAUUACGCUUACGCAUAAGAGGUGGCUUUAGUUCUGGUUACAUAAGUCGAACGGUCCUAUCUGACUUGCUGCCAAAGUUCAAAAGGUUGAGAAUGCUAUCUUUAGAAGGAUACUGUAUUGGCGAGUUACCAAUUCCAUUUGAAGAUUUGAGACUUUUAAGGUUUCUCAACCUUGCUGACACUGACAUAAGAAGUUUACCCGAGUCAACAUGCAAAUUGCUGAACUUGGAAAUUUUUAUAUUAAGAAAUUGUUCCCGUUUGAUAAAGCUUCCAGCCAAAAUGAGGAAUUUGAUCAAUUUACGCCAUCUGGAUAUAAGAGGUGCGAAGUUGCUGAAGGAGAUGCCAGUCGGAAUGAAAGAGCUGAAGAAGCUUCAAACAUUGUACAAUUUCAUUGUGGGCAAGGGUGAAACUGCAUCCGGUUUGGAAGAAUUAAAAAGUUUAAACUUUCUUUGUGAUGAACUUUGCAUUGCUGGAUUAGAGAAUGUGAAUAAUCCACAGAAUGCAAGAGAAGCGGCAUUAUGCGAGAAGCACAAUCUUGAAGCACUGACUCUAGAUUGGGGGUCUCAAUUUGACAAUUCUCGAGAUGGAGUAGUAGAAGAGCAUGUACUGGAAAUUCUACAGCCUCAUAAACGUAUAAAAAAGGUGGCAAUCAGGAACUAUAGAGGUGCAAGAUUUCCACAUUGGAUAGGAGAUCCUUUGUUCUCCAAAAUAGAGUUCCUUGAAUUGGAGAACUGUGACAAUUGUGUAUCUUUGCCAUCGCUUGGCCGUUUGAGUUCACUUAAACACCUUGCUGUUAAAGGGCUGAAGAAACUAAAAAGCAUAGAGUCUAAGGUUUAUGGGGAGGGUUUCUCAAUGCCUUUUCCAUCAUUGGAGAUUCUAAGUUUCGAGAAUUUGCCAGAAUGGGAGCAUUGGGACACCGAUAUCAAAGGAAAUGUACUUGUUGAAAUAUUUCCUCGUCUCCAUAAACUUUCCAUUGUGGAAUGUCCCAAACUCUCCGGAGAACUGCCUGAUCUCCUGCCCUCCUUGGAGACACUUGUUGUUAGUAAAUGUGAAAAGUUGGUAGUUCCAUUGUCUUGCUAUCCGAUGCUCUGCAGAUUAGAAGUUGAUGAGUGCAAGGAACUAGCGUGCGCGACUCCAAUUGAUUUUAAGUUGAUAAAGUCUGUGACUAUUUCAAAUUGUUCACUAGACAUGUAUGGAUGCAAGGGGAUGCUAUACAAUGGUCCAGCUGGCUCUUCACUGCCGAAAUCCAUGACUAUUACAAAUGUUUUGGCGUUUGGAAAAUUAUUGAAGCCUGAAUUUCAGAUAUUAGAAACUUUGGUAAUUGACAAUUCUGAACAGCUCAUGUCAUGGAGGCAGCGUGGGAAUUUCCGAGAAGAAUAUUUGGCCGUUCGCCGAAGGCUUAUCAAACCAUUACAAGGGCUAAAUAUGCUCGCUUCCCCAGAAGAGGUAACAAUUGAAGAAAGUUGUGUGAGUUUUGUUUUAUUUUCAGAGAUCAAUUUCUUUCCCAGAAAUCUGCGCUCUCUUCUAAUUUGCAGCAGCACAGCUUUAAAAUCCUUACCCGAUGAAAUGAUGGACAACAGUUCACAACUCAAAAGGUUGUAUAUCAGAGAUUGCGAUUCUCUAACAUUCAUCACAAGACGCAAGCUACCUUCAUCUCUAAAAAGUAUAGAGAUUCAGAAUUGUGAGAAACUGCGACAUUUGUUCGAUGAUAAAGAGGAUGCUUCUUCUUCUUCUCCUCCUUCAUCCUCGCCCUCCCCAGUGAUGCUGAAACACCUGAGUAUAAAUAAUUGCCCAGAGCUCACCAGUUUAUCAACAGGAAUCCAAUUACUUGAGGCGCUUGAACACCUCGACAUACGGGAUUGUCGAAAGCUGGAGUCAUUACCAGAUGGCCUUCACAAUCUUAACUGUUUACAGGAGAUUACUCUAAACAGUUGUCCAAGUCUUCUUAGAGGGCUUCCCAACACGAUUUCAAGGGUUGACAUUUACAGCUGUCCAAGUCUUGUUUCCUUCCCAGAAAGAGGACUUCCCAACACGAUUUCAAAGGUUGACAUUUUUAAUUGUGAGAAGCUCGAAGCCCUGCCCAAUGACAUGCACAAACUCAACUCUCUUCGAGAUUUAAGCAUAUUGGGGUGUCGAAAUCUUGUAUCCUUUCCAGAAGAAGGUUUUCCUACCAGUCUAACAUCACUUAGAAUUGGAGAUUUCAAAAUGUAUAAGACACUCAUCCAGUGGGGGUUGCACAGGCUUACCUCUCUUAGACGCCUCUAUAUCGUUGAUUGUGAUGACGAAGCAGAGUGUUUUCCAGACGAGGAGAUAGGAACGAUGCUGCCUACCUCCCUAACUCAUCUAUCCUUUCGGGGAUUCCGAAAUUUGAUAUCUCUGUCUUCGACGGGUUUUCAGAGCCUCAACUCUCUUCAAUACUUGUGGAUCAGGGAUUGCCCGAAUCUCACAUCAUUCCCAGAGGUGGGCCUUCCAUCCUCACUUUUGGCAUUAUGCAUUAUCGAUUGUCCAAAGCUUAAAAAAGCGUGCAAAAGAGAUCAAGGAAAAGAGUGGUCCAAAAUUGCUCACAUCCCUCGCAUUGACAUAGACAGGAAAUUCAUAUACGAUCCAGAAUCAGAGGAGUAGAUUCUACUAUUAAGGUCAGUUGAUUUGUAUUAUCCGCCAUAACAAGCUCCUCCUUUUUUUUUAAAUAAUAAUAAUAAUUCUUACCAAUUAAUGAUGGUAAGAUGUGUACUUAUUCUUUCUUCCGGACAACCUUGCCUUCUUUCUUCGGUAGCAUAUCUAAUGAAUAUUUCUCUGUUUAGUUAAGGAUGAAUGCUUGGAGUGGAGUAUUUGGUAACAUUUCUGCCGUAGAUGAAACCUUGAAGAAAUGCCUGCACUUCCUGAGACCAAAUACAGGUCUGAUUCACAACAACACCUGUCCCAGAAAAUAUGAUACAAGCCAAAGCCAUGUUCUGAAGCAGAAAUAACGCAUUUCAAUUUUUAUCUGGUAAAAAUACACAGCCCUCGCCUACAAAAUUCUUAUCUUGGCUUUCACGGAUAUUUUUAUCACGUAACCACGUGAGGAAGCAUGUGCUGGAGCCUGAAUUCAGUUAGUUAAAGUUUGUUAACCACGUGUCAACAAACUGUAUAAUCUGGAAAAUACGCUAGCUAUUGAAACAGGGUAUAAAGGCUGGUUUUUCAGGGACUAUCGAGAGCUGAUUCUAGAGUCUUGUAGAAAGAGGUUUGUGAGAGAGAAAGUGUCAUCUUGUUCUCUGUAAAAUCCGAUAUAGGGCUCUGUAACGAUCUCCAUUGUUGAAUCAAUAAAACUCAUCUAGAAGCUUCUCCCGUGGACGUAUUCUGAGCAUUCAAUGCACAGCUGAACCACGUAAUAUCUUGGUUUCAGUGGGUUCUUGUUUUGGUUCUUGAUAAAUUCUUGUUGUUGUAUUGAGGUGUGAUUUGAUGUGUCUAAACUUGCAUCUGUGCAACUUGAAUUGAUUUGAUGAUAAUAAUCUUGGGCAGUGAUCAGAUUCGUUUAGUUUAAAGAACAAGCUGAUUACUACCGUACCUAUGCAUGGACCUGUAACCUGUGCUGACAAAACUGAAACUAUGAGUUUGAGGUAAAAAGGUCCUGGACCCUCACAGUUUAACUUGGACUUGUAGCUUUCUGGAUAAACACAUUUUAGAAGUUUGCAAUUUGUUGUUAAUUACGGUAUGUGAUUUUCUUUUUUGUUUUCGCUUUUGUAGAAUCUACCGUAUUACAUAUUGGCAGUUGUAUCUGAGGUACCAUUUUUGCAUUUAACUUGCCUUUAUCUGUUUUGCCUGUUACUUAACAACACAUCAUUUCCCAAAGAUUUGGAGAAGCAUCUCAAGAUGCUUAACAAACUUGACAAACUUCAAGAUGCUCCCAAGCCUUGAUUCUUCACAAAGGAAGACCUGUGAGUACACUUAUGCCCGCAAUUAUUGUGAAGUGAUUGCAACUUUGAUGCAGCGAAACGGUUUGCUGGUGCAAAGCUUUAAAACUGUUAAGAAUUACCCUGCAGGCUUGUUGGAUGUUGUAUACUCCGAAAGCCACCAACACCAAGAACUAUAACAGCAAGACUAGGUUUGCAUUAAUUCAAUUAGCUGAAAUAAUGAUGCAAAUGGCACUAUCCAGCUCGACUUAGAGACUAGUCAGGUCAAUCAUCCAUUUCAUCAACAGUUAAUGUCAGGAUGGUGGCUAGCAGAGGAAACAAAGGAUAUGUUGGAAUCAAUAAGAACAGUGAGAAGCAUGAGAGGAGCUUUGAUUAUAAGUAGGCUCAAUGAACUAGUGUUGGUAAGUGGUAAUUAGAGCAAUUUGUGAGCUUAGUAGAGUUUCAAUAUUUUCUGUUUGGGAUAUAGUUGAUAAGUUGAUACUCUGAUAAAGAAGGCUGAUUAUAGUAGCUGACUAUAUUAACCGGGUUCUCUUUUUUGGUUUGCUGUUGUUUUUUCUUUCAAUAUCUUUUUCAACAUUAGGUUUAAGAACAAGCUUGGGUUUGAUUAUCAGGUAAGAACAAAUGAAUGCUUUAACCAUGUUUCUCACUUAUCACAAUGCACGGAUUGAAGGCGUCUGAGUUGAUCCUGAAACGUGCCUCAGCAAGUAUUAUGAUUAUUAUUUUAAAAAACUCAACCUAAGCAACGUGCCUCAGCAUACAAUAUUUAUUGACAACUAAAAAGUAAUAGUGGGUGGGGGUUGCCCUGGGUUUUGUUUAAAAAUUGAAGUAAAAAAUUUUCAAAUUUCAAAUUUCUAGUACAAAGAAAAUUGAUGACUAAAUUAAAUUCUGCAAAUUAAUUUCUAAUAUUACAUGAAAAUAUUAUCAAGUUAACUGGUAACAUCGUUAAUCACUUAAUUCUCAGUCUAAUACGUUAUGUAUUUGUUACUCUGUCUUAAAUCAAAAGUGGCGGUGAUUUAUUUUUAUUUUCACUAAUCAGAAAGGCAUGUUAGAGCUUUUAUUUUGUCGAAAAUGAACCAAAAAAACUCCGAUUGGGAGAUUAUAAAUGUAAUUAACAAUAAUUUAACUUCCAUUUUGAAAGUCAUUAUAUUGUUUAUUCAGGAGAAGCGUUCUUUUAUAUUUUAUAGAUAUAAUGUUUGCUAAUCCUAAUUUAAGCUAAAGCAUAUGCAUUUCCUAAUUAAUUCUAAUUUAAGCUUAUUCAACUGCAUUCAAUUAAUGUUCGAUAAUACAAAUUCUAAAUACUAUAUACUCUAAGAAUUUUAAUCGUAAUGACAAGGUGAUCAUUUAAUUAUUACCGUUAAAUUAUAUAUGUAUGGUGGAGACGAGUCCACACGGUUUUGACGAGAAAUUAAAGACAAUAUUUAGUUAAGCUAGUAGUAUUUGUUCUGUUUAGUACGUCGUUUUACCAGCAAGCAUCCCGGCAAUGCACGCAUUAAUAAAAACAUUUAUCUGUUUGGACUGACUGGUAGUGAAAAAUUCCACAUACUUUAAAUCAAGAAAAUGCUAAGCAUCUUAAAGAAAACAAUUAAAAUAUUGUCACUUGAUGCUUGAAUCAUUAUUGUUAAAUAUCUCCGUUGAGUUGUAUUCCCCAGUUGUGAGUAUCAUUAUUGUUGUUUGUGCGAUAUGUUUCGACGAAGACCAGCAGUGAUGAGCAGGCGUCUGGUAGCAGGGUUCCUCGAACAGGUAUAUCUUGCAAGAGUCUGGUAGCAGGGGGAGCAAGAGCAGGAGUAUCCUGCUCGUCCACGAGUACGUCAUCCACGAGGCCGGUCUCCUGUUGGGAGCGUAAAGCCAUUCCUGCUAUAUUCCUGCUAGCGGUUGAGUCGAGGAGACCCGGUCAACGACAGUUGACGAGACAUGCUCUCCAGUCCGAGAAUCAAGGCGCGAAGGCCACGCAACCACCCACGACUACGGAAAUGGAGCAUCCACUUUCGAGAAGUGGGAGGAUGACAAGCGCAAAGGGAGGAAAUGCAUGGGCUCAGAAGUGGCCUAUAAAAAGGUAACCAACGAAGGUAAAAGGGUUAGCAAUUUUGAGAUUAUAACAGAGACUAAGGAAAUUCUAAAGAAGAGAAAACUAUUAAAAAGCCAUAAGAUCUGUGGCAAGCGUUCCCAGAGCCUUCAUAUCUGACUUGAGCGUCGGAGGGUUUACGCCGGGAAAACAACCGGCGUGCUCUGACUUGUUUCUGUGGACGCAGGAAUACUUGGAGAAGAAAGCAUACAAGGAGAGAUCCUGGUCGAGGUGAGGUUGAUUGAGCAGAUAUCCUGGUCGUAGGAAGAGCGUAACCAGAAUCUCGCAUCAAUAUUUUGGCGCCGUCUGUGGGGAGCUGAGCAAAAAGUUUCUGUUGAUAGCAAAGAAGAGGAGUGAAGCAAGUGAAAAGCAAUGGAGACAGGAGGAAGUAGUGCACAAGGGGGUGAUAUGAGGCUUAACGAUUCCGUGACGCUGAGGGAGAUAGCCAGUGAAGCACGGGAAAAAGCCAUGUUCGACCGGAUGGAACGGAUGGAAAAGCAGAUGGAGACCUUGACAACCAUCCUACAUGAGCUGCGGAGCGAACGAAGGGUAACCCAGGAGGAAAGGGUGAGAGGUGGUGGAGUGGCACCAGGUCCCGAUAGUGCGAGGAGAAGUCAAACCACCGGGAGAUUUGGUGGUGAGAGAGGUAACAUACCUCUGCAGGGAAAUUGCAUAGAGAGGAAGAGCAGUCCCCGGCAAGACAGAUUUUUGACGAGGACGACGGGGUGGCGAAUGCAGAGGAAGCAGAGUUGAGGCAAUACUUGCAUGAUGUAGUGCAAGAGCGGGAUCAAGUCGCAGCACGUGACCCUGGUCGUGCAGAGCAGCUGGAGGAGGAAGUGUGCAGGCUAGCGCAGAUAAUUGACGACAUACAAGGAAGGAGCAGAGCUCCUGGUUGGAGGAUAAUGCUGGACGGAGAAUCACCGCUCGCAGCAGAGAUCAUGAGGGCAGUUAUUCCAAGAGAUUUCCGCCUCCCAGACCUUAGAUAUUCGGGAUGAACUGAUCCGCUGGUGCACAUAGAGCGCUUCAACGACAUAACUGGGGUACAAGGAUUAUCUCAAUCCUAAAGGUGCAGGGUGUUCCCACUAUCCCUUGAGGGACGCGCACGAGAGUGGUACAGGAAACUUCCUCGGGGGAGCAUUAAAACCUUCGAGCAGAUGUGCCAGGAAUUUGCAGAACAGUUCCGUGGGGCAAUGGCACCAGAAGAUGACAUGAUGGAGUUGAAAAACAUGAAGCAGGGGGAACAAGAAACACUUCGGGAAUUCAUCAAGAGGUUUCACCGUGCUGUCCUCGACUUGGGAGCCUUCAACCACCCUCAAACGUUAAGGGGAUUGAAAGAAGGGGUGAAGAUAGGAAGGCUGUGGUACAACUUGAGAAGCCCAGUUAUUCAGACGUAUGCGGCCGCAUACGAGCAGGCUAAGAGAGACAUUGAGAUUGAAGAGGAGAAGGCAGCACAGAUUAAGACAGACCAGUUAGAAGGGUGGGGGAGGAAAGAGAAGAAAGCAUUACCGGGGAAUGGGCCGAUCAGGAGGAGGAACCACCAGGCCUCGAGUAGUGGAGCAGAAGGUCGGGUAACUGCUUACCAGCCUCAUCAGAGGCCACUACAGUAUCAGCACAGCAGGGCGCAACCUCCUCGUUCCCCAGCUGGGGAGCCUUGGAGAAGGCAUGACUCGGCGUAUGGUGGUCUUCAUCAACACUCCCACGGUAGUAGAAGGGGCAGACCAGAAGCGCUGCCACCGCCUCCAACUCAGAACGGAGCAAAUAGAGAAAGGGCAGUGCACCUGAUCGACCAGAACCAGGACUAUGGGCGAUAUACUUCCUUGAAGAUGUCCCUGGCCGAGGUGUACGAGGCCAUAAAGGAUCGAGGGUCGUUAUACCUCCCUGCCCCAAUAACAAAGCUACCCAGCAGGAGGGAUAGGGGACGCUAUUGUAAGUUCCAUGGCACUCAUGGCCACACCACAGCAGAUUACAGGGAUCUCAAGACCCAGGUUGAAGAUUUGGUGAGAAAUCGGUAUCUGGACGAGUUUAUAGAUGGGACCUUCCCAAUGGUAGCCUCGACCAGCGAAUGGGAGCAGAGUGACAGGAACUUGAGGCGCGAGCAGCCUGCAGUAAGGGUGAUAGCUGGGGGCCCAACAUUGGCCGGAGAUUCCAACAGGUUGAGGAAGAAUUACGCUAGAUACGCCAUGACCAGCAAAGAUGUAUUCUUCACCACCCCAGCAGCCAAACGUGCAAGAGUCAGGCAAGUGCCAAUUAUGUGGACAGAUGAGGAUGAAGAAGGGAUUCUAUACCCCCACGAGGAUGCUUUGGUCAUCAAGGCCACUGUUGCCAGCAAGAAGUUUGACAGGAUACUGGUUGACACAGGGAGCUCAGUUGAUGUGUUGUUUAAGUCAACCCUGGAGGAGAUGGGAAUAGCAGACCUGAAGUUGGAUUACACCAAUACCUCCUUGAAGGGGUUUGGAGGAGGAAAGUUGGUCCCUCUGGGCGUGGUCGAGCUGCCUAUCACGAUUGGGAGCUCCCCGACAGAAGGGACAAUGAUACUGGACUUUGUGGUAGUGGAUGAGGAAGGUCCUUAUCAGAUGAUCCUAGGCCGGCCAUUUCUGACGAUGAGCAAAGCGGUGCUGUCCAGCCAUUAUCUGGCUCUCAAGUACCGGGUGAAUGGGGUAGUUGGAGUGGUACGAGGAGACCAGAGGAUCGCAAGAAGCUGCUACUCCUCGGCAGCAAAGGAAGCAAUGCAGAUAACAUCCCUUGAUACCCGAGUGGAAGCCAGGAAUGGCAGCUAGUUGGACCCGGAGUUUACAAGCUGGUUCGCACGGAUGGCCACAAGGUGAAACGCCCAUGGAGCGCGACACACCUCAGGAAAUAUUUCUAGUAAGACUUACUCAUCUUUUAAAGUUAUUUCUGUUCGUGCCCGUUGUUUUCUAUUUUUCAUUUCUUAUUUCAAAGCAAUCUCAUGUAAGCCGAAUUCAAUAAUAAAUGAAUCAAUGAGGAGUUUCAGUCAACUACACUGUUCAAGAAAUUAUCAAAGGCAUGCAAAGGCUAGUCAAGUCUCAAAGCCUGUUUAUGGCGAGACCAGAAGCCAAGCGUGCCAGGAUCUGCUCGACCACGAGAAGGCGAGCAGAGUCCCAAGCUUUCAAGAAAUUAUCAAUGGCAUGCAAAGGCUCACCAAGUCUCAAAGCCUGUUUAUGGCGAGACCAGAAGCCAAGCGUACCAGGAUCUGCUUGACCACGAGAAGGCGAGCAGAGUCCCAAGCUUUCAAGAAAUUAUCAAAGGCAUGCAAAGGCUCACCAAGUCUCAAAGCCGGUUUAUGACGAGACCAGAAGCCAAGCGUUCCAGGAUCUGCUCGACCACGAGAAGGCGAGCAGAGUCCCAAGCUUUCAAGAAAUUAUCAAAGGCAUGCAAAGGCUCACCAAGUUUCAAAGCCUGUUUAUGACGAGACCAGAAGCCAAGCGUGCCAGGAUCUGCUCGACCACGAGAAGGCGAGCAGAGUCCCAAGCUUUCAAGAAAUUAUCAAAGGCAUGCAAAGGCUCACCAAGUCUCAAAGCCUGUUUAUGGCGAGACCAGAAGCCAAACGUGCCAGGAUCUGCUUGACCACGAGAAGGCGAGCAGAGUCCCAAGCUUUCAAGAAAUUAUCUAAGGCAUGCAAAGGCUCGCCAAGUCUCAAAGCCUGUUUUAUGGCGAGAUAGAAGCCAAGCGUACCAGGAUCUGCUCGACCACGUGAAGGUGAGCAGAAUCCCCAAGCAUCGGAAUAUUUUCCAAGGCAUGCAAAGGCUCGCCAAGUCUCAAAGCCUGUUUUAUGGCGAGACAGAAGCCAAGCAUGCCAGGAUCUGCUCGACCGCGCGAAGGCGAGCAGAAUCUCAAGCAUUGAAGAAUUUUCCAAGGCAUGUGGCAAAACCAUAUGCCGAGCCAGAACCUGCUAAACUAGACGAAGACGAGCAGAUUCUCAGACGAAAAAUAACUCAUGAUUACAACACAAGAAAGUAAUCAAAAACAUUUUUAUUAAUUUGUUAAUAAUUAACAGAGGAGAUAAUCUUCACAAACAUUGUUCAUUACAAUACAAGAAAUAUAUUAAGAGGACGGUGGAUCCGUAAGCCGAGCAGCCUCAGUCGGUUGGUCCACCUCAGGUGCUGGGGGAGUAUCACCGGUCGCGUCCGGGGGGGUGCUUGCCUCACCCACAUCAACAGGAACGGCACGAGGAGGAGAGUUUUCCUCAACUACGAUUGGUUCCACCGUUUCGGCAUCUUCCUUUGCAGCCUCCUCGUCCAUAUGUUGGGCGACACCAGUUGCAAGGUCGUCCAUCUUCAGAUCAGGAUGCUGCUUCCCGAGGACGACCAUGAUGCAACGAUAGGAAUGCCGAAGCCCCUAGUCGUACUGGUUGUCGGCCUCCCUCUCCAAGUUCUCGACCUGAGCUCGGUGGGAAUCGCGGAGAGAUUCGAGCUGAGCCUCAUAUAUAGCCUUCUGCCUUUGCAGAUCCUCCUCGACCUUGGUCAGCUCCUCCUCGAGGGUAAUGGCUUUUGCUUGAGCAAGAGAUUCUUGCUCUAUCAGCUUGAGGUUCUCAACAUUCAGCUCCCCUGCUUUCUUCUCGGCAGCGUCAGCUCUGGUCGUCGCCGAUUGAAUGUCCUCCUUAAUCUUGCGGUCGUAGCGGCCAACCUUCGCCUUGUAAUAGGUGGUCAUGCAGCUGAGGUAGAAAGCGCUAUACUGCAUGGCCCCCACCAGCUCACCCAAGGUGCAGCCGUCAAAGUCCUCCAGGUCCUUCUUGCUCACGAGUUUAGAUAACUCAUUGAGGUAGGGGACCAAGUGUUCUGCUUGGCUGUCAGGUAAGCGAGAUCGAGGCCCGACAGGAGGAGAAGAGGAAGCAGGAUCCGUGGCUGCUCCACUAGUUUCCCCAACUUUGGCAGGAGCAGGAGGUAAAGUCUUCAAGGGAGAGACUUGCUGUACGAUGUUGGCCUGCUUUGCAGAAGGGGCGUCCUUGUUCUGGUCCCUCUUCGUGGCUUGAGGUUGAGAACGUUUCCUGUUCAGAGCCCCAAUCACAGCGUCCUCCAUCUUAUGGCCAGGGAGUACCAAGCGAGACUCGAGCAAGUUGUAAACAGUUAUCAAUUCUCGGCUCGGGCAAGAGUUGGCUAGUAUAGCCUCGACCCGUUUGAGCUGAUCAGGUUGGAGCGAGAAGUGAACACCCCAAGAACCUGCAACACAAACAAACAUUUGAUUAGAGACAAACCAGUAAAGUGCAAACAACAAGGGAGACAAGACAUCUAAUACGAGCAGGCAACCUGGGACCAUGAAACGGGGUGGGACGCGACAAUCCUUCCCGUCUAUUUGUGCAACUUGACCCCAAGGACCCCCAGCAAAAAAGAAUUUCCUCUUCCAAGUCCCACCACCACCAGUUGGAAGAUCAGUUAUGGGUUUCUUGCUCUUGGUACUAGAUUGGAAGUAGUACCAGCCGGCAUCUUUGGGGCUGCUCUUUAGCUGGUACAGGUGCUUCACCUCAUCAACCGUGGGCUCGCUUUGGCAACAUCUGUCCCACAAUAUGAACAGACCAGAGAGCACCCUCCACCCAUUGGGGUUCAGUUGACCAGGAGCUAGAUUGAGCCCGUGGAGUAUGCGAGCAAAAUAGGGUUGCAAGGGGCACCUUAACCCGUACUUAAAACUCUCCUGGAACAAGGUGACAUAUCCCCUAGGAGGCCUGCUAGGACUAUCUUUUUUUCCUGGGAUCCUAAGGAGUACUUCACCAGGAAUAUGAUACCUGAGCCAGAGGUCAUCCAGCUCGUUGAAUGUGGUCGUGCAGGUCAUGUAAUCAAUAGCAUAAUCCCGCAACAAGGCUCUACCUCCUACUGUACUACGCCCUUCUGGUCGCAGUGUUCCCGGUGAAGAUCCCUCACCAGAGUCACCUCCUUGAUCCUCACUUAGGGUGUCUUCCGAGCCAGAAGGUCCUUCCUCGCCACUACUUCCGCUCGUGGAGGUUGUUUGGGGGGACAUCCUCCUAGCGCUAGUCCCGACACUAGACCUAGUGGGCUCUAAGGGGAUCCCGGGGUCAAAAGCAGAAUCAGUGAGCAGACUAGGCAAGAAACCUAGUUCGUCGUCAUCAGUCUCAAUGACUUUCUCCUUACCCUUCGACAUUCCCUAAGUUCUAACCAAAACACCACCACCGACUACAACCCCAAGUAAAGCAAAGAGAAAAGAAAUUAUCUACAACUAUCCGAGACCGAGGAGAUAGAAGUAAUACCUGAAGUAAUGGUUCAGUUAGAGAAAGGCAGGGGAGGAGACUUUUAUGCCGAGACUUCUUUGCCGGAGAGACAGAGACAGAGAUGGAGUAAAUGACGAAUUUUCCCUUUGAGAGGUUUUGGGUUUUCCUAAUGGAGAAUGAACUUUUGGAUUGCCAGCAUUUAAUAGCAUCGAAUCCCAAGGGUCUCGUAACCGUCGGUUUAAAAUUCAAAUAGAUGGGUAGAUUUCUGCCACAUCACCUGGUCCACAAUUAAAUGCGACACGACUCUUGGCAGCCUUUUCCUAUCCCGCGCGAGCAAGAACUGUCGAGUUUCUACUGUUGGCUCACUACGCUACCCAACACAAGAAACUGGGGGACUGGUGUUUGUGCGAUAUGUUUCGACGAAGACUAGCAGUGAUGAGCAGGCGUCUGGUAGCAGGGUUCCUCGAACAGGUAUAUCUUGCAAGAGUCUGGUAGCCGGGGGAGCAAGAGCAGGAGUAUCCUGCUCGUCCACGAGUACGUCAUCCACGAGGCCGGUCUCCUGUUGGGAGCGUAAAGCCAUUCCUGCUAUAUUUCUGCUAGCGGUUGAGUCGAGGAGACCCGGUCAACGACAGUUGAUGAGACAUGCUCUUCAGUUCGAGAAUCAAGGCGCGAAGGCCACGCAACCACCCACGACUACGGAAAUGGAGCAUCCACUUUCGAGAAGUGGGAGGAUGACAAGCGCAAAGGGAGGAAAUGCAUGGGCUCAGAAGUGGCCUAUAAAAAGGUAACCAACGAAGGUAAAAGGGUUAGCAAUUUUGAGAUUAUAACAGAGACUAAGGAAAUUCUAAAGAAGAGAAAACUAUUAAAAAGCCAUAAGAUCUGUGGCAAGCGUUCCCAGAGCCUUCAUAUCUGACUUGAGCGUCGGAGGGUUUACGCCGGGAAAACAACCGGCGUGCUCUGACUUGUUUCUGUGGACGCAGGAAUACUUGGAGAAGAAAGCAUACGAGGAGAGAUCCUGGUCGAGGUGAGGUUGAUCGAGCAGAUAUCCUGGUCGUAGGAAGAGCGUAACCAGAAUCUCGCAUCAACAAUUGUCUUUGCUCUCUAAUCUAUUCAAUUUUCUUUCUGGAGACAAGAUUUUGAUUCCUUUCAUCGUUACAAAAACGGAACCAUGGUUGAUGUGGGAGAGAUCUUACUCAACGCCUUCUUUUAGGUGAUGUUCGACAGGUUGGCUUCCCGUGAUUUGCUCAGCUUUGUCCGUCAACUUGGAGGGGGGGUCGAUUCCGAGCUCAAGAAGUGGGAAAGAAAGCUGAAGAUGAUUCAGGCGGUGCUCAACGAUGCAGAGGAGAAGCAACUGACGGACGAGGCUGUGAAGAUGUGGCUGGACGAUCUCCAAGACUUGGCUUAUGACGCUGAGGACAUUCUUGAUGAGUUUGCUACUCAAGCUUUGGAAAGCAAGUUGAUGGCGCAAAAUCAGGAUAGCUCUGGCCAACUUCUCAGUUUCAUCCAGGCUAGUUUGAAUCCGAAUGCUAUUAUGUUCAAUUAUAGCAUGGGGUCCAAGAUUAAAGAUAUCACUAGCCGGCUGGAGCAACUCUGCCAAGAAAGAAUUGAACUUGGACUGCAACGGAUUACUGGAGGGGCAUCAUCAACUACUGCUGCUGCACACCAGAGGCUACCCGGUUCAAUUGUCCCAACAGAACGUGAAGUAUUUGGAAGAGAAGAAGAUAAGGCCAAAAUUCUUGAUAUGGUAUUGGCCGAUACCCUAAGUGAUCAUGCCAACUUUGCUGUAAUACCCGUUGUUGGCAUGGGCGGGAUAGGAAAAACAACUCUCGCUCGGGAGGUUUACAAUGACAAGGCCGUUGGCGGUUCCAAGUUUGAUGUAAAAGCAUGGGUUUGCGUAUCUGAUGUCUUUGAUGUUUUGGGCAUCUCAAAGGCACUUCUCGAGUCAAUCACCCGCAGGCCUUGUCUUCUAAACAGUUUAAAUGAAGUGCAGGUUGAAUUGAAAGUAGCUGUGGAUAAAAAAAGAUUCUUGCUGGUCUUAGAUGAUGUUUGGAACGAGGACUACAGCUUGUGGGUAGACUUAAAAGCUCCGUUCCUGGCUGCUGCACCAAACAGUAAGAUGAUCGUCACCACACGCAAUUCAAAUGUUGCAUCAACAAUGGGACCAAUUGAACAUUACAAUCUCAAGAGUUUGUCAGAUGAUGAUUGUUGGUCCAUUUUCAUAAAGCAUGCAUUUGAAUAUAGAGAUCUUAACGCACAUCAAAUUUCAGAAUCGUUCCGCGGGAAAGUUGUUGCCAAGUGUGGAGGCUUGGCCCUGGCAGCAAAAACACUCGGAGGCCUUCUGCAUACGACGAGGCAUGAUGCGUGGGAUGAUACGUUAGAGAGCAAAAUAUGGGAUUUACCUCAACAAAGUGGGGUUCUCCCCGUAUUAAGAUUGAGUUACCAUCAUCUUCCUUCUCAUUUGAAAAGAUGUUUUGCUUACUGUGCAAUCUUUCCAAAAGAUUAUGAAUUCAAUCAGAAGGAGCUGACUUUCUUAUGGAUGGCUGGAGGAAUUAUUCGACAGUCACGAAACAGUGAGCAGCUGGAAGAUUUGGGCAGCAAGUGCUUUCAAGAUCUAGUGUCAAGGUCUAUUUUUCAACAAACCAGCUCUGGUAGUUCUAAAUUUGUAAUGCCCUAUCUUAUCCAUGAUCUUGCUGAAUUGGUUUCUAGAGGGACCAUUUUCAAGUUAGAGGAGUCCACCAACUUGUCGUCGAGGAGAUUUGAAAGAGUUCGCCAUUCUUCCUAUGCCCGCGGUUGGCAUGACGGUAAAAAUAAGUUUGAGGUUUUCUAUGAAAUUGAACAUCUACUAACAUUCUUGCCAUCACGCAUAAGAGGUGGCACUAAUACGAGUUACAUAACUCGAACGGUUCUAUCUGAUUUGUUGCUGAAUUUCAAAAGUUUGAGGAUGUUAUCUUUACAAGGAUACUGUAUUGGUGAGUUACCAAUUUCAUUUGAAGAUUUGAGACUUUUAAGGUUUCUCAACCUUGCUUACACUGACAUAAGAAGUUAUCUGAGUCAACAUGCAAAUUGCUGAACUUGGAAAUUUUGAUAUUAAGAAAUUGUUCUCGUUUGAUAAAGCUUCCACCCAAAAUGAGGAAUUUGAUCAAUUUACGCCAUCUCGAUAUAAGAGGUGCGAAGUUGCUGAAGGAGAUGCCAUUCGGAAUGAAAGAGUUGAAGAAGCUUCAAACAUUGUCCAAUUUUAUUGUGGGCAAGGGUGAAACUGCAUCUUGUUUGGAAGAUUUAAAAUGUUUAAACUUUCUUUGUGAUAAACUUUGCAUUGCUGGAUUAGAGAAUGUUAAUAAUCCACAGAAUGCAAGAGAAGCCGCAUUAUGUGAGAAACACAAUCUUGAAGCAUUGACUCUGGAUUAGGGGUUUCAAUUUGACAAUUCCUGAGGAGUAGUAGAAGAGCAUGUACUGGAAAAUCUACAGCCUCAUAAAUGUAUAAAAAAGGUGGCGAUCCGGAACUAUGGUGGUGCAAGAUUUCCCCUUUGGAUAGGAGAUCCUUUGUUCUCCAGGAUAGAGCUCCUAAAAUUGGAGAACUGUGACAAUUGUGUAUCUUUGCCAUCGCUUGGCCUAUUGAGUUCACUUAGACGGCUUGCUGUUAAAGGGCUGAAUAAACUAAAAAGCAUAGGGUCUGAGGUUUAUGGGGAGGGUUUCUCAAUGCCUUUUCCAUCAUUGGAGAUUCUAAGUUUCGAGAAUUUGCCAGAAUGGGAGCAUUGGGACACCGAUGUCAAAGGAAAUGUGCUUGUUGAAAUAUUUCCUCGUCUCCAUCAACUUUCCAUUGUGGAAUGUCCCAAACUCUCGGGAGAACUGCCUGAGCUCCUGCCCUCCUUGGAGACACUUUUUGUUAGUAAAUGUGAAAAGUUGGUAGUUCCAUUGUCUUGCUAUCCGAUGCUCUGCAGAUUAGAAGUUGAUGAGUGCAAGGAACUAGCAUGCGGGACUCCAAUUGAUUUUAAGUUGAUAACGUCUGUGACUAUUUCAAAUAGUUCCUUAGACAUGAAUGGAUGCAAGGGGAUGCUAUACGAUGGUCCAGCUGGCUCUUCACUACCAAAGCCUAUGAUUACUACAAAUGUUUCGGAGUUUGGAAAAUUAUUGAAGCCUGGAUUUCAGAUAUUAGAAACUUUGGUAAUUGCCAAUUCUGAACAGCUCAAGUCAUGGAGGCAGAAUGGGGAUUUUCCGGAAAAAUACACGGCCCCUGAACAUAGGUUUAAGAAACCAGUACGAGGGCUGAAUAUGCUCGCUUCCCCUGAAGAGGUAACAAUUGAAGAAAGUUGCGUACGUCUUGUUUUGUUUCCAGAGAUCAAUUUCUUUCCCAGAAAUCUGCGCUCUCUUCUAAUUAACAACAACACUGCUUUCAAAUCCUUACCCGAGGAAAUGAUGGAAAACAAUUCACAACUCGAAAGGUUGUAUAUCAGAGAUUGCGACUCUCUAACAUUCAUCGCAAGACGGAGGCUACCAGCAUCUCUUAAAAGGCUUGAGAUAGAAAAUUGUGAGAAAUUGCAACGUCUGUUCGAUGAUGAAGAGGAUGCUUCUUCUUCUUCACCUUCACCCUCGUCUUCCCCAGUGAUGCUGCAACACCUGAGUAUAGAGAACUGCCCAGAGCUCACCAGUUUAUCAUCGGGUGUCCAAUUCCUUGAGGCGCUUGAAGACCUCGACAUACAGGGUUGUCCAAAGCUGGAGUCAUUACCGGAUGGCCUGCCCAAUCUUAAAUGUUUACAGAGCAUUUAUAUACGGGGAUGUCCAAGUCUUGUUUCCUUCCCAGAAAGAGGGCUUCCCAACACGAUUUCAAGGGUUGACAUUUGCAGUUGUGACAAGCUCAAAGCCUUGCCCAAUGAUUUGCACAAACUCAACUCUCUUCGAGAUUUAAGAAUACGGCUGUGUCGAAAUCUUGUAUCGUUUCCAGAAGAAGGUUUUCCUACCAAUCUAACAUCACUUACAAUUGGAAAUUUCAAAAUGUAUAAGACACUCGUCCAGUGGGGGUUGCACGGGCUUACCUCUCUUAAACGCCUCUCGAUCAGUGGAUGUCAUGAAGCAGAGUGUUUUCCAGACGAGGAGAUAGGAAUGACGCUGCCCACCUCUCUCACUCAACUGCUCCUUUAGGGAUUCGAAAAACUGAUAUCUCUGUCUUCGACGGGUUUUCAAAGCCUCAACUCUCUUCAAUACUUAUUGAUCUGGGGUUGCCCAAAUCUCACAUCAUUCCCAGAGGCGGGUCUUCCAUCCUCACUUUUGGAUUUAGGCAUUUACAAUUGUCCAAAGCUUAAAAGAGCGUGCAAAAGAGAUCAAGGAAAAGAGUGGCCCAAAAUUGCUCACAUCCCUCGCAUUGAGAUAGACAGAAAAUUCAUAUACGAUCCAGAAUCAGAGGAGUAGAUUCUAUUACAAAGGUCAGUUGAUUUCUAUUAUCCUCUAUAACAAGCUCCUCUUAAUUUUUUUUUUCUAAGUAAUAAUUUUGCAGUUCUGUAUAAUUAUUAAUCGUCUGCUCUUAAUUGAAAAUGUCACUCACUUGAUUCCGUUUUCACUAGUCAAAUUGUAUGUUGAGGCUAUUUGCUUUUUAAUUAUAACACUUAUCUUAAAAUUUAAUACCAAAUUUUUUUGAUUCACUUCAAUUAGCAUUUUGUUUUCCCCAAAUUAGGCAAGCCGAGAGCUUCAUUAACUAGAGUUUUUUAUUUUUCGGACCUUGCAUCUGAAAGGUUCAGUGUAUUUUUUUUUUUUUCAAAUUUAUUGUUCAGAUCUCAGACGAGUAUACGGUUUAGAUUACAAAACACCUAUGAUUAAUUUCUUUUUUUUUUUUUUAAUUUCAGGGAGAAGAAGUGGUCAGUUUCAAUCCGGAAUUGGAAUAUGGCAAUUUGGUUCAAGCACACACACCUGGUCACUUGGUCAGUGAACCUGAACUUUACGCAGUUUUUUCAACUCAGUGAUUUUUGGAACGCAUAUUGGUGUAAGGAAAUCAAUAGAAAUUUAUGCAUAGUCAAAUUCUGAUAUUUGCUAUAAUAUUAUACAUUCUAAAGUUUCUCCAGUUUGUUCUCAGAUUACCAUCAUUUUUUGCCUUCACCAAAAAAAAAUCGAGUGGCUUUCCAGUGGAUAUUUAAUCGGAGGUAUGACUGGAUUUUUUUCACUUCUGUAAAUCUUGCAUUUUAAACUGGCAAAUUUAACUUUAAUUUUAAUACGACUUGUUUGAGGGAAAUACUCCGACGAGACCAGACGUGAUGAGCAGAUGUUUGGUGGCAGAAGUCUGCGAGCAGGUGUGUCCUGUAAGAGCCAGGUAGCAGGGAAACAGGGGCAGAAAUAUCCUGCUCAUCCACGAGCAUGUCAUCCGCGAGGCCAAUUUCCUGUAAGAAACAUAAAGCCAUUCCUGCUGUAUUCUUGCUAAGGGUUGAUUCGAGGAGACCCGGUCAACGACAGUUGGCGAGGCAUGCUCUCCAGCCCGAGAAUCUAGGCACGAAGGCCACGCAACCACCCACGACUACGGAAAUGGGGAAUCCACGUUCGAGAGGUGGGAGGAUAACAGACGUAGACUGCGGAAAACUGGGAUUCAGAGGAAGCCUAUAAAAAGGUAGCCAACGAAGGUAAAAGGGUUAGCAAUUUUGAUUCUAAAAGAGAGAAAACAACCUAACAACCAUAAGAUUUUUGGCAAGCGUUCCCCGAACCUUCAUAUCUGACUUGAGCGUCGGAGGGUUUGCGCCGGGAAAACAACCGGCGUACUCUGACCUGUCUGUGUGCGCAGGAACCUCUGGAGAAGAAGCUUUACGAGGAGAGAUCCUGGUCGUGGUGAAGUUGAUCGAGCAGAGACCCUGGUCGUAGAACGAGGAGAACCAGAAUCUCGCAUCAACACGACUUUGUUGGUGCCUUGUGUUCCAGAAACUAGAAUGAUGUGUAGUUUUCAGAUUAAGGGGCUUGUAAAUUCUCUAGUAAGAAUCCAAUAAUUUGCUUUUGCACAUUCAUUUUAUUUGUGGAUCCUUGCAUCUGAAUUUGAUCAAUCCAAAAGGAAUUGCUUUUAGACAGAAGAAGAAUUGCAGUACCUAGCCUACGACAUAGUAAAUGGACCUGCAAACCUGUAACUAUUAGUUUGAGGUAAAAAAUUCAUGACCCUCACAUGUUAACUUCUUCUAGUUACUUUCAUCAAAAACACAUUUAAGAAAUUUGCAAUUUUUUGUUAGUUUUGUAUACCGAUGUUGUUUUCUGUUUUAGCAUUUGUAUAAUCUACUGUAUUAUAUUUUGGCGGUUGCAGUAUCUGAGGUAUCUUUUGCAUUUAACUUGCUUUAUUUGUUUUGCUUGUGACUUAAGAACACCAAUAUUUGCCAGAGAUUUAGAGAAGCAUAUCAAGAUGCUUGGCAAACUUGACAAACUUCAAGAUCCUUCAUUCUUCACGACCCAAAACUUGUGAGUACACUUAUGCCCGCAAUUAUUGUGAAACGCUUGCAAUUUUGAUGCAGCGAAAUGGUUUGUUGAUGCAAAGGUUUAAACUUUUAAGAUUUACACUGCAGGGUAGUUGGAUGCUGUAUAGUCGAACGGCCACCAACAUCAAGAACUAUAACUCCAAGACCGGGUUUGCAUUAAUUCAAUCAGCUGAAAUAAUGAUGCAAAUGACACUAUCAGCUGGACUUAGAGACCAGUCAGAUCAAUCAUCCUUUUAUCAACAGUUAAUGUCAUGAUGGUGUCUAUCGGAGGAAACAAAGGAUGUGUCGGAAUCAAUAUGAACAGUGAGAAGAAUGAGAGGAGCUUUGAUUAUAAGUAGGCUCAAUGAACUCAUGCUGGUAAGUGGUAAUUAAAGAAAUUUGUGCGCUUAGUAGCAUUCAAUAUUUUCUGUUUGGGAUAUAGUUGAUGAGUUGAUACUCUGAUUAAGAAGCCUGAUUAUAGUAGCUGACUUUUUUUUUGUGGUUUGCUGUUGUUUAUUCUUUCGAUUAAUUUCAACAUUAGGUUGAUCUGUUGAAGAACAAACUUGGGUUUGAUUAUGCUUUAACUACAAGGAAGAGCCAGACUUGGAUGCAGGCGUUCAGCUUUUAAUGGGUAAGAACAAAUGUAUGCUUUAACCAUGUUUCUCACUUAUUACAAUGCACACAUUGAAGGCAUCUGAGCUGAUCCUGAAAAUGUGAUGGAAAUACUUCUCUGUUUACAUAAAACAGACAAAUAGAGAUCUCUGAUCAUGCCUGAGAAUUCGUUGCAUUUAAAAUUUCUACCAUUGCCAAAAAUAGAAUAAACUACGGAUACAUUAGCUUAAGACUCAAUUUUGAGAAGGAAGUUUGCACAUGCAGCCUAAAAAAUCACGUCCGUGUUGUAUACUUGUAUGUUUCUUUGGGAAAUGAAAGAUUCUGUGUUCUUUUAUUUCAAGUUUGCUGAAAUCACAUUUGUUUUCUUAGAUGCUUUUGGGAAGGUAACAACAUCAAUUUCAUAAAUGCUGGGGUAAGAUGCAUCACGCAGUGCUACUCAACAUGAGAAUUCCCGGCCGCAUUACCUGUAUGUUGAGUGAUCGCACAGUACAACCUUUAGAAGCUUGUAAGGAGUAGACAACUAGAUGCGAAUAGUUUCAAUAUGGAUUCGCAUCAAAUGAUCUCUUGCCAGUGAUUACUAUAACCUCUAUCCCAAAAUUCUUGGAACUGGUCAUACCAAUAAUGAAGUAUUGUGUACGUUGAAGACGUAGCUCAAGGCCUUGCGAAAGCUCCGUCAGCCUUUGUAUUGGAAAACAGUUGGUUGUAGUUGCUUCUGAAUGAUAUUAUUAAUAGAUACUGUAAAAAUGAAGUGUGCCACUCAUUUUCAGAGCCCUGUUAAGAUGUGUUGGUAAUGUGUUUGAAGGUUGUUUGAUUUGUGUUGUAUUCAGCUAUAAAUCAAAGAUUCAGAACAUGGUUAUGUUACUGGUUUCCAAAUAAAAAAAUUGCCUUGUGAUGUUAGUGUUCAUUGUUUUCACAGGAGAUCAGGUUCCCUGUUGAUGAAUCAAGAAGGCAAACGCAUCCAUGCCUUAAGUUCAAAUGUGUCUCUUCUAUUUUCUAUUACUGACUCCUUUAUUUUGAUUUCUUCAUUGUAAUGGAAUUGGUUUUCAUUCCAAAUUAGUCAAAACCUCCUAGAGUCAUUAAGUUCUGUUAGCAUUUGAAGAUAGAACUAGAACUAAAUGAUUGACUGGAUUAAAUUCCGAUAAAGAAUUAAGUUAUGUAUUUAGAGAUAUUUUGUUUUUUUUUUCAUUUGUUCAAUUUGGUUAGUGGUGAUUUCUUAAAGACUCAAUCCAUGUGCGUUUAUGCAUUUUUCUUUUGCCUUAAUUUCUGUUUCUUGGGGAGUUUAUACAGAUUCUUAUUUUAUGCUUCACAUGCCACAUGAAAGAUCGAAGCAUUUUGUGUGAUUAGAACUGACUUGCAUCACAGUAACUUUAAACCACUGCCACAUUUUUAUAAUAACAGUCUGAGAUCUCCCUGAAGGAUUCAAAGCAUUUUAUUUUAUAUUAACCUCCUUUAAGUGGGUUUCGACACUACCACAAGUUCUUUAAAUACUAAAACGAUUUUGAGUCUUUUGUAUCAUCUGAUUGAAAUACCUGAAAGCACUCGUGGCUGCAAAAAUAUAUCGAUUUUGAGUAUGGCGUGCAUGUAAAUUAUAUCGAUUUUUUCUAUAUGACAAGUAAGACUCUCUUUUACAAUGGCACGGAUGCGUCAUUGAGUAAUCAUGAUUCUUGCUGGUAGUGCUUUGUUGUAUCAAUCUGCUAGCUAUUCAGCUUUCUUUCUUUCUUUCUUCUUUUUUUUUUUUUUUUUUUGUUUUCAAAUAGCUUGUGGUUGUAGAAAUAUUUCAAUUAAACUAUACUUAAGUACUUAUUUAGUAUAACUUCUUUACUAGCCAAAAUAAUUUUUUUUUGGUUUUUUAUAAUUUAAUUAUACUUUAACUAGAGUUUUUGGGAUUAAACAAGUGAUAAUUUCUCUCUAUUAAGAAAAACUCAAAAUUUUUUAAUUACUAGAAUGCGUCUAAAUUAAAUUACAAUUAUAGACACUAAAAUAUAGUAAAUUUUUUUUUUUACUCUUUAAAACUGUCUUUACAUUCGAUAUCAUAUUUUUUUCUUAAAAUCUAAAUUGAUAUUUUUAUUUUAUUUUUGAUUAAUCUUAGAACACAUAUAAAGUGAUUCAUAUUGAUUUUAUACUAACAAACUAUCAUAGCACAUUCGAAAAUAAUUAACUCGUUCUUAUUUGCAUAGUGAAAAAGGCAAAUAGCUCACCCAAAUGUUAAGGAACUGGAGAGCUGCUGCUGGAGACGAAAGGAUGUGAAAAGCAUGGUAAAGAAAAAUUGCAUAAUUCUCACUUAGAAGAGGAAGAAAAAAAAAAUACAAUUAGAAUGAGAGGUAGCCAGUAGCCAGUAGCCGCCACCACCACCAGUCAAACUAUUUCGACACACUAAUACUGUAAUACAUAUCAAAAUGCAAUAUCGGUCCUAACAAAAUGAAAAUAAAAAUUCAUUACGAAUAUGUGUUAAAGAUAUCCCAAGUAUUGAUGUGAUUGAAAUAUUUGAGAUUGAAGUAGAAAUAAGACUCAAAAUCAAUUGAGAGGAAUAAAUGAGAAACUCUAAUACUAAUAAAAUAUAUUCACAAAUCCUAAUGCUAAUUAAAAUCACGGAUUAAAAAAAAUAAUAUGAAUGAAUUACAGGCGCAACUGUUUCAUUAAAAAAUUAAUAAAAUCGUGUAUUAAUAUUUUGUACACAUACAUUUUUCCAUAUAUAACUUUUGGUAAUUUAGUUUUCCACUUAUCAUUUUUACUCCAAAAAAAUAAUUGAGAAUAUUAUUUAUGUUUUGGUGCAAAAUAUUUAAACAACAUAAAAAUUUUCAGUUUAAUAAAUCUAAACAAUUCUCAAGUUAUAAAUGAAUUUAAUGGGUUUAAUUAGUAAAAAUACUAUUAUUUUAUAAAUUGGGUUUAGUAAUGGUAUAUUGGGUAUUUAAAUGGGUUUGUUGAGUAAAUUUUAAAAUUUUAAAGUUCAAGGGUAGGUUUAUUUAGUAAAUGGGUUAAUGCAGCAAUUUUCAAACUAAAUUUUUGGAAAAAGAGGCUAUUGAGUUUUUUUUAAGAAAAAGAAUUAAAAUGUUGAGAAUACCUUUAUUUAAUUUUAUAAUCUAAUUUUAAAAAAUUUACCCAAUAAAUUUUAUAAUUUUUUAUAAAAAUUAUCAUUAACAUCCAAACAGCUGAAGAUUAAAAAAAAAAAAAGAAGGGAACUGUACUAGCAAAAGUUAGAUUAACAAUAAAUUUAGUCCAAAGAAUAAAGUUAUAGCUAAAAAGUGCUCCUAUCCUAUUUUUCUCUAUUUUAACAAUAAUCUUCCAAUCCAUUUUACAAUGGACUUAACAAAUGGGCUCAAUCUCUAAACUUCAUUUUCUUUUGCUAACCCAUGGCCAUUAGCCAGAAAGCCUAAAACAAUUUUAGGAUCACAUGUGUAAAUGGAACCCCAAGAUUGAUCAAGAAUUAACAAGACAAGAUGAAGAGAUGAUCUUGUAACUAAGAAUGAAGAAAUUGAAUCAAGACAGUACUCUAGUAAAACCCAGAAAACAGAGCUUGAAGAAUCACGCACAAAGCAGUAAAUUUGUAAAACCAGAAUUGGAGCUUCACUUCUCAAGAUAGACGAAACAGGAUACAAUCUAGCUUUGGUCAACUUCGUUUGGCCACGUCAUAAAGUCUUCCCCCACAGUCUUUCCCGCCAAAACAGAAAAGCUUUAAAAGCCAUUUACCCUCCUGAGUUACUUGCUCCUAUUACAUCAAGGCCCUGUAAGUCUAUAUUUAUUAUUACAAAAGCACCCUUAAACCGAGAUUUGAGAUAUUUUUUCAAAGAUCGAAGCGCAUGAUUUCACGGCUAUGUUGCAUAGUGAAUUUUAGUGCUUUACAGUUAAGGGAUAGUUUAAAUUCAUUACAAAGCAUUCGCAAAGAAAUUGUUUUUAAAUGAAACUCCUCGUCUUGACCAGAUUAUUUAUUAUUAUUAAAAAAAAAAUGUUCAAAACUUAGCCAAAGUGAUAAACUCGUAAUUAUUCUACAAAGGGAACAAUUUUGAACGGUGGGAAAUUCCAUAAUUAUGCUUUUCUGUGAAUUAUUUUAAAUAAAAUUAUAAAAAUUAAUAUAAAAUUAUAAUAAUGAUAGAGCCACAAACUCUUGUACAAAUUUAUUUUAUACAAACUCAUGUGGCAUGAUAAGAUUGGUUGAAUUAAAUAUUACUUGGCCCACAUGAUUUGUUUUUAUUAUUUUAUAUUUUUAUUCAACCAAUAAAUUAAUACCACGUCAGUUUGUACAAAAUAAAUUUAUACAAAAAUUUGUGACUCGAUCAUCACUCAUAAAAUUAAUACCCGGUAAAGACUGUAGAGAGACAAGUGCCCCCAACAGAAUCAAGUGAAUAUGCCCCACAAAGAUCACAUGAUCAUUUCUGUUCUUUUUCUUUUUGAUAAUUUUAUCUGUGGUUUCAACUUUUAUGCUUUAUUGUCGUAUCCCGUUGAGGGCUCCGCUGCACCCAUUACAACUUACCCCUAAAUUGCCUCUUACUAACUAAACCGUUAGAUUUUAUGGAAGCACGUUCAAUGUUGAAUUUUAAUUAUGUCAUCGAAUUUCGUUUAGCUCCUUAAACUCCAUUUUAUUUGUAAUUUCUUCAUAAAAUAUUCAAAGCUUCAUCAAGCUCCUGAUGGACCAUCAUGGCUAGGGGUGCAUUAGAGCCGAACUGAAAUAUGUUAGUUCAGUUCAGUUUGGUCAGUUUAAAUCGAAUGGUUUAGAAUAUAUAAACUGAUCAAUUUUAAUUUUGAAUUGAACCGAACCGAAAAUCAAUUGGUUCACUAUUAGUAUUUUUGUAUAAACAAGAAUGAUUAGUGAUUAUAAUUAAAUUGGACUAAAAAAAAUUCAAACUAAGGUGAAAAAUAUCAAAUCUUAGACAAUAUAAAAAAAAAUAUUAAAUUUUUUUAACCGAAACGAACCGAAUUAUUUUGACUCAGUUUGGUUCAUAAUUUUUUAAACCAAACUGAUUUAUUCCCACCCCCUAAUCGUGGCUCUCUAUCUUUAGUCAUUCACCCUUGAGUUUGAUGCCAAUUGUUGGGUUUCAAAUGAUUAUACACUCAAAUGGAACCCUCAUAACAAAAAACUAACAGAAACAAUAAGAACACGAUGUUAAAAUCUUAAAUCAAUCGCAAAAAAGCACCCAAAACAGAUCGAUUAGGAACAGUUAAGAACAAAAGAUUUGAUGGUUCAAAAUCAUAAUGUGACCUACGUACUUUCAUCCAAGAAUCAUACUAAUUGCUUUACUAGUUGUCAAACUCAAGAUCACAAGAUUGUUUAUCACUCUACAUAAAAAUUUUUUUUAGAAGAAAUACUCCCCAAUUUUUCUCUUAAUAGUUAUGAAUCAACACCCCUAGGAAGCCUGUUGAUUUACUUUUCCUUAUUUCCUAUGAUCGGUUGCUGCAACUUAAUCCUUGCCAAGCUCCAACAUAGUCCAAACACUUUUAACGGUACAGGCAUAGUGCACCUUCAGAAACUUUACAGCUCCUCUUAAAACCUCAGGCAUCGUAAGCACAUUAAGCAGCCGACAACACUCUUCUUCAUUUCUUCAUUGUCAAUUUCCUUCUUGGAACAUUGCUCCAUUGAGAGUCUGCUAGAAUUGCUCCAAUUAUUAUUAUUAUUUAAAAAAAAAAGAAAACCCUGCAAUAAGAGUAUAAGACUAAGCAACGGUCCUUUUUUUUUCCCCAUUCUUGAACCUAAAGUAUUUGAGUAUGCAAAUUAAUAAAUAAAUUCAUUUAUUUUUAUUAAAAUUUUGUAAAAUUAUAAUUUUUAAUAAAAAUAAUUAUUAAAAUUUUGUAAAAUCUAAAUUUAGAAAAAUUCAGUUGGGCACCUCUAUUUGAGAUUUAUUUUUUAUUAAAUUUAGGGAUAUUUUUAUAAUUAUAAUUUUUAAUUUUAAAAGUUUUUAUAAGAUAAAAUAGUCUUUUAAUUUAUUUAGGGGGUAAAAUUGGUGUUUUAUUAAAAUUAUUUAAUUGUGUUAAUGCAAAAGUGGCUAUUUGAUACAAAUGUGAAAAGAAAGGUGGUGCAAAAUAUAUGUUAAAAUUUUAUAUUGGUUGGAUGAACAUAAGCUAAAAUAAAGGUGGUGCAAUGAUAAUUUCCCUAUCCUAAAACUUAAUUGACUUAAUUCUUACGGUGCAAGGAAGAGGUUUCCAAGUUUAAAUCUAAAGGCUUGUAUUUAAUUUGGGGUUGGGAAAGCACUGAGAAAUAAAUGUAACUAAGGAAAAAAAAAAAGUCACGCAGUCCAAAUAAGUAGAUAUAUUUAAUAUGAGGUGGGGAUGGGUGAACUGUAAUUCAGAAAAAAAUAAAAUAAAAUUUUAUAUAAAGUUGAGGGUGUGUUUUAAUGGUUUCUUAUGCUGCGUUUAUUUUUUGGACUAGAGUGAGAAUUCUAAAAAGUGAGAAUCCUAUGAUUAGGUGUGUGGAGUGGGAGUGGGAGUAUGGUAUUUACUUAGACUAAAUAAAAGUAUGGAUUGUCAAUCAGAAUCUCAAUUAUUUGUUACUUUGUCUUGGAUUGAGAGUAAAUUAUUUUAAAUUACAAUUUUAUCCUUAUGUAAAGAAUUAUAAUUUGUAAUUAAAAAAUUAAUAAAAAUAUAUUGGAAAAUAAAAUAAAUAUUUUAUUAUAUUUAUAAAAUAAUAAUAAUUAAUAAAAUUCUUAAUUAUGUAAAUCAUAAUUUUUUAUUAAUUUAAAUUUAAAUUAUGUGAAUAAAAUUAUUAAUAAUAGCAACACAAAUGAAACAUUAUUAUUAAUAAUAUAGUAUAAAAUUAAUAUUUUUUUAGAAUAAAAUAUUUAUUAUUAUUAAAUAAAUAAAUAAUAUUUAUUAAAAUUAAUGUUUAAUAUUAUUAAUUUAAAUAUAAUAUUUAUUUAUUUUUAUUUUAUUUUAUUAAAUUUAAUAAAAUAAAUAUGUUAUAAUUAUUAUUUUUAAUAAAUAUGAUAUUAUUUAUUUUAUUAAAUAUUAUUUAUUUAUUUUAAUUAUGAGGGUAAAAAUGGAAGAGGGGGAGUGGAUUCCCACUCCCACCUCCCCCCAUGGGAGUGGGAAUCCCACUCUCCCCUUAAAAAUGGUAAGUAAAUAUUAGAAUGGGAAGAAUCUACACUCUACACUUUCUAGAAAAUAAACACUACCUUUAUUUAAAUCGAUUUGUUGGAUAUUUAGCUAAAAUGAGAGUAGCUCUCUAAUAAUUAUUGCAUUAUUACAAACAUAUCCAACGGUUAUAAUAGCGCGCUGAAUCAAUGCUUCAGAAGGAUGACAGUCUGAGUGAAAAGGAAAUAAACGCUUUCAAUUGAAUUACUACCACUACACUCCAAUACUCUAUUAUUGUUUGUGUGCUUGCUUGUGGACCUUUUUACUUCUUACUAUCAUUAUUGAAUUCCAUUUCCAAAUUUUCAGCAUACUUUUGCUUUCUUUCAGUAUCUUCAGUUUCUCUUUUGCUUGCUAUCAAUUCAGUUUUCUUCUUGUGAAGAUCGAACGGAACCAUGGUUGCUGUGGGAGAGAUCUUACUCAACGCCUUCUUUCAGGUGUUGUUUGACAGGUUGGCUUCCCGUGAUUUGCUCAGCUUUGUCCGUCAACUUGGAGGCGGGGACGAUUCCGAGCUCAAGAAGUGGGAAAGAAAGCUGAAGAUGAUUCAGGCGGUGCUCAACGAUGCAGAGGAGAAGCAACUGACCGACGAGGCCGUGAAGAUGUGGCUGGACGAUCUCCAAGACUUGGCUUAUGACGCUGAGGACAUUCUUGAGGAGUUUGCUACUCAAGCUUUGGAAAGCAAGUUGAUGGCGAAAAAUCAGGAUCGCAUUGGCCAGGUUCUUAGUUUCAUACCGGCUAGUUUGAAUCCGAAUGCUAUUAUGUCCAAUUAUAGCAUGGGAUCCAAGAUUAAAGAUAUUACUAGCCGGUUGGAGCAACUCUGCCAAGAUAGAAUUGAACUUGGGCUGCAACGGAUUGCUGGAGGGGCAUCAUCAACUACUUCUGCUGCACAUCAGAGGCGAGACAGUUCGAGUGUCCCAACAGAACGUGAAGUAUUUGGAAGAGAAGAAGAUAAGGCCAAAAUUCUUGAUAUGGUAUUGACCGAUACCCCAAGUGAUCGUGCCAACUUUGUUGUAAUACCCAUUGUUGGCAUGGGCGGGAUAGGAAAAACAACUCUUGCCCGGGAGGUCUACAAUGACAAGGCCGUUGAAGAUUCCAAGUUUGAUGUAAAAGCAUGGGUUUGUGUCUCUGAUGUCUUUGAUAUUUUGGGCAUCUCAAAGGCACUUCUCCAGUCAAUCACCUCCGCAGCUAGUGAUCUCAAGACUUUAAAUGAGGUGCAGGUUCAACUGAAAAAAGCAGUUGACGGAAAAAGAUUCUUGCUGGUCUUAGAUGAUGUUUGGAACGAGAACUACAACUUGUGGGAAGACUUAAAAGCUCCGUUCCUGGAUGCUGCACCAAACAGCAAGAUGAUCGUCACCACACGCAAUUCAAGUGUUGCAUCAACAAUGAGACCCAUUGAACAUUUCAAUCUCAAGAGUCUGUUGGAUGACGAUUGCUGGUCCAUUUUUAUAAAGCAUGCAGUUGAAGGUGGAGAUCUUAACGAGGAUCAAAUUUCAGAAUCAUUCCGCAAGAAAGUUGUUGGCAAGUGUGGAGGCUUGCCUCUGGCAGCAAAAACUCUCGGGGGCCUUCUGCGUACGACGAGGCAUGAUGGGUGGGAUGGUAUAUUGGAUAGCAAAAUAUGGGAAUUACAUCAACAUAGCAGCAUUCUCCCUGUGUUAAGAUUGAGUUACCAUCAUCUUCCGUCUCAUUUGAAAAGAUGUUUUGCUUUUUGUGCCAUCUUUCCAAAAGAUUAUGAAUUCACUGAGAAGGAGCUGACUUUCUUAUGGAUGGCUGGAGGUAUUAUUCGACAGUCAAGAAACAAUGAGCAGCUGGAAGAUUUGGGCAGCAAGUGCUUUGGUGAUCUAGUGUCAAGGUCAAUUUUUCAACAAACAGCAAUCUCUGAUAGUUCUAAAUUUGUAAUGCACGACCUUAUCCAUGAUCUUGCUGAAUUGGUCUCUGGAGGAACCAUAUUUAGGUCAGAGGAGGCCAAUACUCUAUCAAGAAGAUUUGAAAGGGUUCGCCAUUCUUCCUAUACCCGUGAUUGGUAUGAUGGUAAAAAUAAGUUCGAGGUUUUCAAUGAAAUUGAACAUCUACGAACAUUCUUGCCGUUAAGAGGUAACUAUUGUACUAGUUACAUAACUCGACCGAUUCUAUCUGAUAUGCUGCCAAAGUUCAAAAGGUUGAGAACGCUAUCUUUACAAGGAUACUGUAUUGGUGAGUUACCAAUUCCAUUUGAAGAUUUGAGACUUUUAAGGUUCCUCAACCUUGCUGACACUGACAUAAGAAGUUUACCUGACUCAACAUGCAAAUUGCUGAACUUGGAAAUUCUGAUAUUAAGAAAUUGUUCCCGUUUGAUAAAGCUUCCGCAGAAAAUGAGGAAUUUGAUCAAUUUAUGCCAUCUGGAUAUAAGAGGUGCGAAGUUGCUGAAGGAGAUGCCAGUCGGAAUGAAAGAGCUGAAGAAGCUUCAAACAUUGUCCAAUUUUAUUGUAGGCAAGGGUGAAUCCGCAUCUGGUUUGGAAGAUUUAAAAAGUUUAAACCUUCUUUGUGAUGAACUUUGCAUUGCUGGAUUAGAGAAUGUGAAUAAUCCACAGAAUGCAAGAGAAGCCGCAUUAUGUGAGAAGCACAAUCUUGAAGCAUUGACUCUAACAUGGUGGCCUCAAUUUGACAGUCCUCGAGGUGUAGUAGUGGAAGAGAAUGUACUUGACGUUUUGCAGCCUCAUAAAUGUAUAAAAAAGGUGGCAAUCAGGAACUAUGGUGGUGCAAGAUUUCCACCUUGGAUAGGAGAUACUUUAUUCUCCAAGAUAGAGCUCCUUGAAUUGAAGAACUGUGACAAUUGUGUGUCUUUGCCAUCGCUUGGCCUAUUGAGUUCACUUAAACACCUUGCUGUUAAAGGGCUGAAGAAACUAAAAAGCAUAGAGUCUGAGGUUUAUGGGGAGGGUUUGUCAAUGCCUUUUCCAUCGUUGGAGGUUCUAAGUUUUGAGAAUUUGCCUGAAUGGGAGUAUUGGGACACCAAUAUCAGAGGAAAUGUGCUCGUUGAAAUGUUUCCUCGUCUCCAUAAACUUUCCAUUGUGGAAUGUCCAAAACUCUCUGGGGAACUGCCUGAGCUCCUGCCCUCCUUGGAGACACUUGUUGUUAUUAAAUGUGAAAAUUUGGUAGUUCCAUUGUCUCGCUAUCCGAUGCUCUGCAGAUUAGAAGUUGAUGAGUGCAAGGAACUAGCGUGCGGGACUCCAAUUGAUUUCAAGUUGAUAAAGUCUGUGACUAUUUCAAAUAGUUCCUUAGACAUGGAUGGAUGCAAGGGGAUGCUAUACGAUGGUCCAGCUAGCUCUUCACUGCCAAAGCCCACGAUUACUACAAAUGUUUUGGAGUUUGGAAAAUUAUUGAAGCCUGGAUUUCAGAUAUUAGAAACGUUGGUAAUUGGCAAUUCUGAACAGCUCAAGUCAUGGAGGCAGCAUGGGGAUUUUCUAGAAGAAUAUAUGGUCGCUCGCCAAAGGUUUAAGAAACCAGUACAAGGGCUGAAUAUGCUCGCUUCCCCUGAAGAGGUAACAAUUGAAGAAAGUUGCGUACGUCUUGUUUUGUUUCCAGAGAUCAAUUUCUUUCCCAGAAAUCUGCGCUCUCUUCUAAUUAACAACAACACUGCUUUCAAAUCCUUACCCGAGGAAAUGAUGGAAAACAAUUCACAACUCGAAAGGUUGUAUAUCAGAGAUUGCGACUCUCUAACAUUCAUCGCAAGACGGAGGCUACCAGCAUCUCUUAAAAGGCUUGAGAUAGAAAAUUGUGAGAAAUUGCAACGUCUGUUCGAUGAUGAAGAGGAUGCUUCUUCUUCUUCUUCUCCUUCAUCCUCGUCUUCCCCAGUGAUGCUGCAACGCCUGAAUAUAAAGAACUGCCCAGAGCUCACCAGUUUAUCAUCGGGUGUCCAAUUCCUUGAGGCGCUUGAAGGCCUCGAGAUAUGGGAUUGUCCAAAGCUGGAGUCAAUACCGGAUGGCCUGCACAAUCUUAAAUGUUUACAGAGCAUUCAUAUAGAUGGAUGUCCAAGUCUUGUUUCCUUGCCCAAUGACAUGCACAAACUGAACUCUCUUCGAGAUUUAAACAUACGGGCGUGUCCAAUAUCGUUUCCAGAAGAAGGUUGUCCUACCAAUCUAACAUCACUUACACUUGGAUAUGUCGAAAUGUAUAAGACACUCGUCCAGUGGGGGUUGCACAGGCUUACCUCUCUUAGAAGCCUCGACAUUUUUGGAUGUGAUGAUGAAGCAGAGUGUUUUCCAGACGAGGAGAUAGGAAUGACGCUGCCCACCUCUCUCACUCAUCUGCACCUUUUUGAUUUCGAAAAAUUGAGAUCUCUGUCUUCGACGGGUUUUCAGAGCCUCACCUCUCUUCAAUCUUUGGAUAUCUGGUUUUGCCCAAAUCUCACAUCAUUCCCAAAGGUGGGCUUUCCAUCCUCACUUGUGGAAUUACGCAUUAGAGAUUGUCCAAAGCUUAAAAAAGCGUGCAAAAGAGAUCAAGGAAAAGAGUGGCCCAAAAUUGCUCACAUCCCUUGCGUUGAGAUAGACGAUAAAUUCAUAUACCAUCCAAAAUCAGAGGUGUAGAGUGUAUUAUUAAGGUCAGUUGAUUUAUGUUAUCCACCAUAACAAGCUCCUCCUUUUUUUUUAAAUAAUAAUUUUGCAGUCACUCGCGUGAUUCCGUUUUCACAAGUCAGAUUGUAUGUUGAGGCUAUUUGCCUUUUAAUCGCAGAUUAAAUUAUAACACUUAUCUUAAAAUUUAAUACCAUAGACAGAUAGACGAUUUUUUAAUCCAAAGUUUUUUUAUUCACUUCAGUUAGCAUUUUUUUUUUCCCCAAAUCAUGCAAGCCGAGAGUUUCAAUCAACAGAAUUUUAUUCACUCAUUGACUUUUCAACUGCUGUGGUUAUUUAUGGGUGAAAGAUAAAUUUCUUAGAUGGUAGAUAUAUCGACAUUUUAGAUUUCAGAUAUUUGUCACCAAUUUCAUUCCUUUUUUUAAAAUUUUUUUUAAGCAAGUUUGACUAAUUUUAACCAGAAUUGGAGUAUAAUAUUUUGGAGCAAGCAUACUUGAAAUUUCUGUCUUCAAUUUUUUUGAUGCUUUUUUAAUUUUGAUCUAGUAAAAAUACAUAGCCUUCACCGGCAGGAUUCUAGUCUUGGCUUUCACCUCUCUAACUCAUCUGUCCCUAUUGGGAUUCCAGAAAUUUAAAUUUCUGUCUUCAAUGGGUUUUCAAAGCCUCACCUCUCUUCGAUUUUUGUGGAUUGGGAAUUGCACAAAUCUCACAUCAUUUCCCGAGGUCGAGGAAAAGAGCGGCCCAAACUAUCAGCGGUGUUGAUUCUCUUAUUAAGGUCAGCUGAUUUCUAUUAUCCACUCUGACAAUCUCCUAUUAGUGUUUUUUUUUUAAAAAAUUUGCAGUUCUGUAUAAUUGAAAUGCCACUCACUUGUUUCCUUCUUCACAGGUCAGAUAGUAUGUUAAAGCUAUUAGUGCUGCCUCAUAGGUUGAUUACUCACAGAUGAAAUCAUAACUUUUAUCUUAAAAUUUAAUAGCAUACACAGAUAGACGAUUUUUAGUCCAAAGUUUUUUUUAUUCACUUCAAUCAAAAUUUUAGAUUGCAGAUUUUUGUCGAGUAUUUUCAUUCCAAUUUUUUCAUUUUUUAUUUUAAACCAGAAUUGGAGUAUAAAAUUUUGGAGCGCGCAUACUCUGAUGCAUGCAAUUAACUGUUUUUAAUCGUUGGAUUUUGAAAUUAAUGAUGGUAAGAUGUGUACUUAUUCUUUCUUCCAACAACCUUGCCUUCUUUCUUCGGUCGCAUAUCUAAUGAAUAUUUCUCUGUUUAGUUAAGGAUGAAUGCUUGGAGUGGGGUACUUGGUAACAUUUCUGCCUUAGAUGAAUCCUUGAAGAAAUGCCCGCAGUUCCUGAGACCAAAUACAGGUCUGAUUCAAAACAGCACCUUUCCCAGAAAAUAUGAUCCAAGGCAAAGUCAUGUUCUGAUAAUGUUUCCUUAAGUACUAAGUUGCAAGGAAACUUGAUUCAUUAACUACAGUUUUUUAUUUUUAGGACCUUGUAUCUGAAAGGUUCAGUGUUUUUUUUUUUCAAAUUUAUUGUUCAGAUCUCAGAGGAGUAUAUGGUUUAGAUUACAAAACACCCAUGAUUAAUUUCAUUUUUUUUUUAAUUUCAGGGAGAAGAAGUGGUCAGUUUCAAUCCGGAAUUGGAAUAUGGCAAUUUGGUUCAAGCAAACACACCUGGUCACUUGGUCAGUGGUCACUUGGUCAGCGAACCUGAACUUUACGCAGUUUUUUCAACUCAGUGAUUUUUGGAACGCAUAUUGGUGUAAGGAAAUCAAAAGAAAUUUAUGCAUUGUCAAAUUCUGAUAUUUGCUAUAUAUUAUACAUUCUAAAGUUUCUCCAGUUUGUUCUCAGAUUACCAUCAUUUUUUGCUUUCACCAACCAAACAAAAACAAAAUGAGUGGCUUUCCGGUGGAUAUUUAAUCGGAGGUAUGACUGGAUUUUUUUCACUUCUGUAAAUCUUGCAUUUUAAACUGGCAAAUUUAACUUUAAUUUUAAUAGGACUUUGUUGGUACCUUGUGUUCCAGAAACUAGAAAGAUGUGUAGUUUUCAGAUAAAGGGGCUUGUAAAUUCUCUAGUAAGAAUCCAAUAAUUUGCUUUUGCACGUUCAUUUUAUUUGUGGAUCCUUGCAUCUGAAUUUGAUCAAUCCAAAAGGAAUUGCUUUUAGACAGAAGAAGAAUAGCAGUACCUAGCCUAUGACAUAGUAUAUGGACCUGCAAACCUGAAACUAUUAGUUUGAGGUAAAAAAUUCAUGACCCUCACAUGUUAACUUCUUCUAGUUACUUUCAUGAAAAACACAUUUAAGAAAUUUGCAAUUUUUUGUUAGUUUCGUAUCCGAUGUUGUUUUCUGUUUUAGCAUUUGUAGAAUCUACUGUAUUAUAUUUUGGCAGUUGCAGUAUCUGAGGUAUGUUUUGCAUUUAACUUGCUUUGUUUGUUUUGCUUGUGACUUAAGAACACCAAUAUUUGCCAGAGAUUUAGAGAAGCAUAUCAAGAUGCUUGGCAAACUUGACAAACUUCAAGAUCCUCCAUUCUUCACAACGCAAAACUUGUGAGUACACCUAUGCCCGCAAUUAUUGUGAAAUGCUUGCAAUUUUGAUGCACUGAAAUGGUUUGUUGAUGCAAAGGUUUAAACUUUUAAGAUUCACCCUGCAGGGUAGUUGGAUGCUGUAUAAUCGAAAAGCGACCAACAUCAAGAAUUAUGACUCCAAGACCGGGUUUGCAUUAAUUCAAUCAGCUGAAAUCAUGAUGCAAAUGACACUAUCAGCUGGACUUAGAGACCAGUCAGAUCAAUCAUCCUUUUAUCAACAGUUAAUGUCAUGAUGGUGGCUAUCGGAGGAAACAAAGGAUGUGUCGGAAUCAAUAUGAACAGUGAGAAGAAUGAGAGGAGCUUUGAUUACAAGUAGGCUCAAUGAACUCAUGCUGGUAAGUGGUAAUUAAAGAAAUUUGUACGCUUAGUAGAGUUUCAAUAUUUUCUGUUUGGGAUAUAGUUGAUAAUUUGAUACUCUGAUUAAGAAGCCUGAUUAUAGUAGCUGACUUUUUUUUUGUGGUUUGCUGUUGUUUAUUCUUUCGAUUAAUUUCAACAUUAGGUUGAUCUGUUGAAGAACAAACUUGGGUUUGAUUAUGCUUUAACUACAAGGAAGAGCCAGGCUUGGAUGCAGGCGUUCAGCUUUUAAUGGGUAAGAACAUAUGUAUGCUUUAACCAUGUUUCUCACUUAUUACAAUGCAUGCAUUGAAGGCAUCUGAGCUGAUCCUGAAAAUGUGAUGGAAAUACUUCUCUGUUUACAUAAAACAGGACAAGAGAUCUCUGAUCAUGCCUGAGAAUUCGUUGCAUUUAAAAUUUCUACCAUUGCCAAAAAUAGAAUAAACUAGGGAUAGAUUAGCUUAAGACUCAAUUUUGAGAAGGAAGUUUGCACAUGCAGCCUAAAAAAUCAUGUCCGUGUUGUAUACUUGUAUGUUUCUUUGGGAAAUGAAAGAUUCUGUGUGUUCUUUUGUUUCAAGUUUGCUGAAAUCACAUUUGUUUUCUUAGAUGCUUUUGGGAAGGUAACAACAUCAAUUUCAUAAAUGCUGGGGUAAGAUGCAUCACGCAGUGCUACUCAACAUGAGAAUUCCCGGCCGCAUUACCUGUAUGUUGAGUGAUCGCACAGUACAACCUUUAGAAGCUUGUAAGGAGUAGACAACUAGAUGCGAAUAGUUUCAAUAUGGAUUCGCAUCAAAUGAUCUCUUGCCAGUGAUUACUAUAACCCCUAUCCCAAAAUUCUUGGCAUUGGUCAUACCAAUAAUGAAGUAUUGUGUACGUUGAAGACAUAGCUCAAGGCCUUGCGAAAGCUCCGUCAGCCUUUGUAUUGGAAAACAGUUGGUUGUAGUUGCUUCUGAGUGAUAUUAUUAAUAGAUACUGUAAAAAUGAACUGUGCCACUCAUUUUCAGAGCCCUGUUAAGAUGUGUUGGUAAUGUGUUUGAAGGUUGUUUGAUUUAUGUUGUAUUCAGCUACAAAUCAAAGAUUCAGAACAUGGUUAUGUUACUGGUUUCCAAAUCAAAAAAAUGCCUUGUGAUGUUAGUGUUCAUUUUUUUCACAGGAGAUCAGGUUCCCUGUUGAUGAAUCAAGAAGGCAAACGCAUCCAUGUCUUAAGUUCAAAUGUGUCUCUUCUAUUUUCUAUUACUGACUCCUUUAUUUUGAUUUCUUCAUUGUAAUGGAAUUGGUUUUUUAUUCCAAAUUAGUCAAAACCUCCUAGAGUCAUUAAGUUCUGUUAGCAUUUGAAGAUAGAACUAGAACUAAAUGAUUGACUGGAUUAAAUUCCGAUAAAGAAUUAAGUUAUAUAUUUAGAGAUAUUAUGUUUUUUUUUUUUUCAUUUGUUCAAUUUGGUUAGUGGUGAUUUCUUAAAGACUCAAUCCAUGUGCGUUUAUGCAUUUUUCUUUUGCCUUAAUUUCUGUUUCUUGGGGAGUUUAUACAGAUUCUUAUUUUAUGCUUCACAUGCCACAUGAAAGAUCGAAGCCUUUUGUGUGAUUAGAACUGACUUGCAUCACAGUAACUUUAAAUCACUGCGACAUUUUUAUAAUAACAGUCUGAGAUCUCCCUGCAGGAUUCAAAGCAUUUUAUUUUAUAUUAAACUCCUUUACGUGGGUUUGGACACUACCACAAGUUCUUUAAAUACUAAAACGAUUUUAAGUCUUUUGUAUCAUCUGAUUUAAAUACAUGAAAGCACUCGUGGCUGCAAAAAUACAGUUGGGGCUAUUUCUAAAGUCUUCAACAGCAUUUUCUUUUUAACCUUUAUCCUCAUGGUUGUUUUUGCAGUUGUUCUUUAAGAAAACAUUUAAAAGGUUCUCUUUAUGGAUUUUUGAAAAUAAUUUUAACAUGAGCAAUUUUCAGAAGCACUUUAGAUGUCUGGCAUUUAGGAAAUUUUAUUUCGGUGUCACAUAAAAUACUUAGGAAGUUAAAUUUAUUUAUUUAUGAGCAUGUGCCAGUGCCCAGUGGCAUCCUCUUCACUUGUGAUAGUCAAAUGUAUUAUACGAUACAAUAUUAGCUUGACUGUAGCACAGAGGAGAAUAGGGUUGGUGUUGGUCUGAACCAGCUUAUGUAACAGCUGCCAAAGGAUAAUUUAAUUGUACUUUGAGUAAAGCUUUUGCGAAUUAAACAAGUGAUAAUUUGUUUUUAUUAAGAAAAACUUAAGGAAUUAGGCUAUUUUAACUGACCAAAUUACACAUUAAAAAUUCAUUUACAAAAAUAGUUUUUAGUUAUUAAAAUAUUCCUAAAUUAAAUUAUAAUUAUGGACACUAAAAUAUUUUUUUUAUAUUUUACUCUUUGAAACUGUCUUUAUAUUCGAUAUUAUAUUUUUUUCUUAAACUCUAAAUUGAUUUUUUUUUUUGAUUAAUUUUAAAACACCUAUAAAGUGAUUCAUAUUGAUUUUAUACUAACAAACUAUUAUAGCACAUUCGAAAAAUAAUUAAAUCGUUCUUAUUUACAUAGUGAAAAUGCAAAUAGCUCGUUCAAAUGUUAAGGAAUUGGAGAGCUGCUGCUGGAGAUGAAAGAUGUGAAUUAAACAUCAGAAAAAAAAUUAUGUUUACUAUCUUGCCAGACCAAGCACCGAAAAGCAUCGUAAAGAAAAAUUAGAUAAUUUAGAAGAUAAAGCACGUGGAAUGGAGGCAGAAAGCAAGUAAUGAUAACUCUUUCGACAAACUAAUAUAUACCAAAAUGCAAUAUCAAAAAUGAAAAUAAAAAUUCAUUACGAAUACGUGUUAAAGAUAUCCCAAGUAUAGAUGUGACUGAAAUAUUUGAGAUUGAAGAAGAAUUAAGACUCAAAAUCAAUUGGGAGGAAUAAAUGAGAAACCUCAAUACCAAAAAAUACACGCGCAAAUCCUAAUACUAAUUGUAAUUGCAGAUAAAUAGCAUAAUACGAAUAAAUUCCAUGGGCAACUAUUUCAUUGAGAAAUUAAUUAAAUCGUGUAUUAAUAUUUUGUAUACAUAUAUUUUUCUAUAUAUGACUUUCGGUAAUUUAAUUUUCCACUUAUCAUUUUUACUCCAAAAAAAUAAUUGAGAAUAUUAUUUAUGUUUUGGUGCAAAAUAUUUGAACAAUAUACAAAUUUUCAGUUUAAUAAAUCUAAACAUCUAUUAAGUUAUAAAUGAAUUUAAUGGGUUUAAUUAAUAAAAUUACUAUUAUUAUAUAAAUUGGAUUUAGUAAUGGUACAUUGGGUGGGUUUGUUGAGUAAAUUUUAAAAUUUUGAAAUUUAAGGAUGGGUUUAUUUAGUAAAUGAGUUAAGGGAGUAGUUUGUUGGGAUUCACAUAACGCCACCAAAUUCAAAUGUAAAAUUUAUGGAAAAAGAAGCUAUUGAGUUAUUCUUUUUAAAAAAAGAAUUAAAAUGUCAAGAAUACCUUUAUUUAAUUUUAUAAUCUUAUUUUAUAGUCAUAUUUUAUUUCCACCUUAACAUAAUUUUAAAAAACCUUAACUAAUAAAUUCUAUAUUUUUUUUAUAAAAGUUAUCAUUAAUAUCCAAACGGCUAAAGAUUUUUUUUUUUAAAAAAAAAGAAACUAUGCUUACAAAAGUUGUAUACAUUAACAAUAAAUUUAGUCCAAAGAAUAAAGUUAUUCCAAACAAGCACUCCUAUUCAUCUUGCUAAUGAAUCAAGAUGACUGAAUCCAUUCUCUAAGCCAAAUCUAUUUUCACUUCUAGGUCAGAAAUUGUCAUUAAAAAAGUGUUUGAUAAAAUAUGCUCUGGGAACACUAAUUCGUCAGAUGGUUACUCCAAGUUUAUGAAAUCAAUGGGGUUUCAUCAUAUUCAUAACAUUCUUCUUUAAUGUCUAUUCUAACAAAGAAAUUACUAGAAAACUUUUACUAGAAAAACUAACCACAAUUCAUCAUUCAUUUAUAUCUUAAGUAAGCGUAAGAUUUUAUCAUUAAAAUCUCAUCAUGAAAAAACUCAUGGGAGAAAAACUAUAAAAAUUGAAGAAAAAAGAGUAUGGCGUGCAUGUAAAUUAUAUCGAUUUUAUCUAUAUGACAAAUAAGACUCUCUUUUACAAUGGCACGGAUGCUUCAUUGAGUAAUCAUGAUUCUUGCUGGUAGUGCUUUGUUGUAUCAAUCUGCUAGCUAUUCAGCUUUCUUUCUUUCUUUCUUCUUUUUAUUUUUUUUGUUUUCAAAUAGCUUGUGGUUGUAGAAAUAUUUCAAUUAAACUAUACUUAAGUACUUAUUUGGUAUAACUUCUUUACUAGCCAAAAGAUUUUUUUUUUGGUUUUUUAUAAUUUAAUUAUACUUUAACUAGAGUUUUUGGGAUUAAACAAGUGAUAAUUUCUCUCUGUUAAGAAAAACUCAAACGGUAGGGUUAUCUCAAUCCACCAAACUAUUUAUUAAAAAUCCACUUAUGAAAAUAAUUUUUAAUUAUUAGAAUGCCUCUAAAUUAAAUUACAAUUAUAGACACUAAAAUAUAGUAAAAAAAAUUUUUUUUUACUCUUUAAAACUGUCUUUACAUUCGAUAUCAUAUCUUUUUCUUAAAAUCUAAAUUGAUUUUUUUUUUAUUAAUCUCAGAACACAUAUGAAGUGAUUCAUAUUGGUUUUAUACUAACAAACUAUCAUAGCACAUUCGAAAAUAAUUAACUCGUUCUUAUUUGCAUAGUGAAAAGGCAAAUAGUUCAUCCAAAUGUUAAAGAAUUGGAGAGCUGCUGCUGGAGAUGAAAGAUGUGAAAAGCAUGGUAAAGAAAAAUUACAUAAUUCUCACUUAGAUGAGGAAGAAAAAAAAAAGAAUACAAUUAGAAUGAGAGGUAGCCAAUAGCCACUAGCCGCCGCCACCGCCACCAGUGAAACUAUUUCACAUAAUAGAAGAUAAAGCACGCGUAAUGGAGGCAAAAAGCAAUUAAUGAUAACUCUUUUCGACACACUAAUACAUAUCAAAAUGCAAUAUCGGUCCUAACAAAAUGAAAAUAAAAAUUCAUUACGAAUAUGCGUUAAACAUAUCCCAAGUAUUGAUGAUGUGAUUGAAAUAUUUGAGAUUGAAGUAUAAAUAAGACUCAAAAUUAAUUGAGAGGAAUAAAUGAGAAACUCUAAUACUAAUAAAAUACAUUCACAAAUCCUAAUGCUAAUUAAAAUCACGGAUUAAAAAAAAUAAUAUGAAUGAAUUACAGGCGCAACUGUUUCAUUAAGAAAUUAAUUAAAUCGUGUAUUAAUAUUUUGUACACAUACAUUUUUCCAUAUAUAACUUUUGGUAAUUUAGUUUUCCACUUAUCAUUUUACUCCAAAAAAAUAAUUGAGAAUAUUAUUUAUGUUUUGGUGCAAAAUAUUUAAACAACGUAUAAAUUUUCAGUUUAAUAAAUCUAAACAUUUCUCAAGUUGUAAAUGAAUUUAAUGGGUUUAGUUAGUAAAAAUGCUAUUAUUAUAUAAAUUGGGUUUAGUAAUGGUAUAUUGGGCAUUUAAAUGGGUUUGUUGAGUAAAUUUUAAAAUUUUAAAAUUUAAGGGUGGGUUUAUUUUAGUAAAUGGGUUAAGGCAGCAAUUUCCCAAACUAAAAUUUUUAGAAAAAGAGGCUAUUUAGUUUUUUUUUUUAAAAAGAAUUAAGAUGUUGAGAAUACCUUUAUUUACUUUUAUAAUCUUAUUUUAAAAAAUUUACCCAAUAAAUUUUAUAAUUUUUUACAAAAAUUAUCAUUAACAUCCAAACAGCUAAAGAUUAAAAAAAAAAAAAAAGAAGGGAACUGUACUAGCAAAAGUUAGAUUAACAAUAAAUUUAGUCCAAAGAAUAAAGUUAUAGCUAAAAAGUGCUCCUAUCCUAUUUUUCUCUAUUUUAACAAUAAUCUUCCAAUCCAUUUUACAAUGGACUUAACAAAUGGGCUCAAUCUCUAAACUUCAUUUUCUUUUGCUAACCCAUGGCCAUUAGCCAGAAAGCCUAAAACAAUUUUAGGAUCACAUGUGUAAAUGGAACUCCAAGAUUGAUCAAGAAUUAACAAGACAAGAUGAAGAGAUGAUCUUGUAACUAAGAAUGAAGAAAUUGAAUCAAGACAGUACUCUAGUAAAACCCAGAAAACAGAGCUUGAAGAAUCACGCACAAAGCAGUAAAUUUGUAAAACCAGAAUUGGAGCUUCACUUCUCAAGAUAGACGAAACAGGAUACAAUCUAGCUUUGGUCAACUUCGUUUGGCCACGUCAUAAAGUCUUCCCCCACAGUCUUUCCCGCCAAAACAGAAAAGCUUUAAAAGCCAUUUACCCUCCUGAGUUACUUGCUCCUAUUACAUCAAGGCCCUGUAAGUCUAUAUUUAUUAUUACAAAAGCACCCUUAAACCGAGAUUUGAGAUAUUUUUUCAAAGAUCGAAGCGCAUGAUUUCACGGCUAUGUUGCAUAGUGAAUUUUAGUGCUUUACAGUUAAGGGAUAGUUUAAAUUCAUUACAAAGCAUUCGCAAAGAAAUUGUUUUUAAAUGAAACUCCUCGUCUUGACCAGAUUAUUUAUUAUUAUUAAAAAAAAAUGUUCAAAACUUAGCCAAAGUGAUAAACUCGUAAUUAUUCUACAAAGGGAACAAUUUUGAACGGUGGGAAAUUCCAUAAUUAUGCUUUUCUGUGAAUUAUUUUAAAUAAAAUUAUAAAAAUUAAUAUAAAAUUAUAAUAAUGAUAGAGCCACAAAUUCUUGUACAAAUUUAUUUUAUACAAACUCAUGUGGCAUGAUAAGAUUGGUUGAAUUAAAUAUUACUUGGCCCACAUGAUUUGUUUUUAUUAUUUUAUAUUUUUAUUCAACCAAUAAAUUAAUACCACGUCAGUUUGUACAAAAUAAAUUUAUACAAAAAUUUGUGACUCGAUCAUCACUCAUAAAAUUAAUACCCGGUAAAGACUGUAGAGAGACAAGUGCCCCCAACAGAAUCAAGUGAAUAUGCCCCACAAAGAUCACAUGAUCAUUUCUGUUCUUUUUCUUUUUGAUAAUUUUAUCUGUGGUUUCAACUUUUAUGCUUUAUUGUCGUAUCCCGUUGAGGGCUCCGCUGCACCCAUUACAACUUACCCCUAAAUUGCCUCUUACUAACUAAACCGUUAGAUUUUAUGGAAGCACGUUCAAUGUUGAAUUUUAAUUAUGUCAUCGAAUUUCGUUUAGCUCCUUAAACUCCAUUUUAUUUGUAAUUUCUUCAUAAAAUAUUCAAAGCUUCAUCAAGCUCCUGAUGGACCAUCAUGGCUAGGGGUGCAUUAGAGCCGAACUGAAAUAUGUUAGUUCAGUUCAGUUUGGUCAGUUUAAAUCGAAUGGUUUAGAAUAUAUAAACUGAUCAAUUUUAAUUUUGAAUUGAACCGAACCGAAAAUCAAUUGGUUCACUAUUAGUAUUUUUGUAUAAACAAGAAUGAUUAGUGAUUAUAAUUAAAUUGGACUAAAAAAAAUUCAAACUAAGGUGAAAAAUAUCAAAUCUUAGACAAUAUAAAAAAAAAUAUUAAAUUUUUUUAACCGAAACGAACCGAAUUAUUUUGACUCAGUUUGGUUCAUAAUUUUUUAAACCAAACUGAUUUAUUCCCACCCCCUAAUCGUGGCUCUCUAUCUUUAGUCAUUCACCCUUGAGUUUGAUGCCAAUUGUUGGGUUUCAAAUGAUUAUACACUCAAAUGGAACCCUCAUAACAAAAAACUAACAGAAACAAUAAGAACACGAUGUUAAAAUCUUAAAUCAAUCGCAACGGUCCUUUUUUUUCCCCAUUCUUGAACCUAAAGUAUUUGAGUAUGCAAAUUAAUAAAUAAAUUCAUUUAUUUUUAUUAAAAUUUUGUAAAAUUAUAAUUUUUAAUAAAAAUAAUUAUUAAAAUUUUGUAAAAUCUAAAUUUAGAAAAAUUCAGUUGGGCACCUCUAUUUGAGAUUUAUUUUUUAUUAAAUUUAGGGAUAUUUUUAUAAUUAUAAUUUUUAAUUUUAAAAGUUUUUAUAAGAUAAAAUAGUCUUUUAAUUUAUUUAGGGGUAAAAUUGAUGUUUUAUUAAAAUUAUUUAAUUGUGUUAAUGCAAAAGUGACUAUUUGAUACAAAUGUGAAAAGAAAGGUGGUGCAAAAUAUAUGUUAAAAUUUUAUAUUGGUUGGAUGAACAUAAGCUAAAAUAAAGGUGGUGCAAUGAUAAUUUCCCUAUCCUAAAACUUAAUUGACUUAAUUCUUAUGGUGCAAGGAAGAGGUUUCCAAGUUUAAAUCUAAAGGCUUGUAUUUAAUUUGGGGUUGGGAAAGCACUGAGAAAUAAAUGUAACUAAGGAAAAAAAAAAAGUCAUGCAGUCCAAAUAAGUAGACAUAUUUAAUAUGAGGUGGGGAUGGGUGAACUGUAAUUCAGAAAAAAUAAAAUAAAAUUUCAUAUAAAGUUGAGGGUGUGUUUUAAUGGUUUCUUAUGCUGCGUUUACUUUUUGGACUAGAGUGAGAAUUCUGAGAAGUGGGAAUCCUGUGAUUAGGUGUGUGGAGUGGGAAUGAGAGUAGGGUAUUUACUUAGACUAAAUAAAAAUAUGGAUUGUCAAUCAGAAUCUCAAUUAUUUGUUACUUUGUCUUGGAUUGAGAGUAAAUUAUUUUAAAUUACAAUUUUAUCCUUAUGUAAAGAAUUAUAAUUUGUAAUUAAAAAAUUAAUAAAAAUAUAUUGGAAAAUAAAAUAAAUAUUUUAUUAUAUUUAUAAAAUAAUAAUAAUUAAUAAAAUUCUUAAUUAUGUAAAUCAUAAUUUUUUAUUAAUUUAAAUUUAAAUUAUGUGAAUAAAAAUUAUUAAUAAUAGCAACACAAAUGAAACAUUAUUAUUGAUAAUAUAGUAUAAAAUUAAUAUUUUUUUAGAAUAAAAUAUUUAUUAUUAUUAAAUAAAUAAAUAAUAUUUAUUAAAAUUAAUGUUUAAUAUUAUUAAUUUAAAUAUAAUAUUUAUUUAUUUUUAUUUUAUUUUAUUAAAUUUAAUAAAAUAAAUAUGUUAUAAUUAUUAUUUUUAAUAAAUAUGACAUUAUUUAUUUUAUUAAAUAUUAUUUAUUUAUUUUAAUUAUGAGGGUAAAAAUAAAAGAGGGGGAGUGGAUUCCCACUCCCACCUCCCCCCAUGGGAGUGGGAAUCCCACUCUCCCCUUAAAAAUGAUAAGUAAACACUAGAAUGGGAAGAAUCCACACUCUACACUUUCUAAAAAAUAAACACUACCUUAAUUUAAAUUGAUUUGUUGGAUAUUUAGCUAAAAUGAGAGUAGCUCUCUAAUAAUUAUUGCAUUAUUACAAACAUAUCCAACGGUUAUAUAUGCUUGCCUGUGGAAAUAAAAGUCCCAAGUUUCUUUGAAAGGUAAGCUAGUGUGAAUGUUUUCAUCCGUGCAACUUACUUGAUGAAUGAAGUUUUCAUCCCUGACCUUGAUGUUUCUGGUGGCUACAAUCAUUUCAGCUGAUCUAUUCCAUUUUGUUAAGGUGAGAAUUUAGAGUGGCUUUAACUGUUAGCAAAUAGCCUAAUGUAAGACUUGAUCAACUUCCUGCCCUGUUGUAUGCUUAUGAAUUUUGAUAGAGUUAUGAGUUUGCAGAAGCUACUGUAUUAUAUGUUGUUAGAGGCUGUAAAAAUGAGGCAGAUCAAACACACAUUUAAAUUUCAAUGACAAUUUACUAGAAGUAAAUUUCCUAUGACCCUCCAGGUGACUAAUCAAUGAGAACUUGACAAUAACAAAAGAAAGUGUAUGAGCUUUGCAGGCGGGCACGCCAAUCUUGACUGCAUGGCACCAUCCGCCAUUUGCAAGUGAAUAUCAUUAUUGUUUAAUCAACAUGGUGGAGUCCACUGGGACCACACCACAUGGUCAGUCUUAUCUCUAUUCCUCAAUUUUCAGUAUUCCAUACAUCAAAACAAUUUCAGUUUUGUUAUCAAUUAUAAUUUCAUUGUUGGAGACGAUUCUGAUUCCUUUCUUUCUGACAAAACGGAACCAUGGUUGCUGUGGGAGAGAUCUUACUCAACGCCUUCUUUCAGGUGUUGUUUGACAGGUUGGCUUCCCGUGAUUUGCUCAGCUUUGUCCGUCAACUUGGAGGCGGGGUCGAUUCCGAGCUCAAGAAGUGGGAAAGAAAGCUGAAGAUGAUUCAGGCGGUGCUCAACGAUGCAGAGGAGAAGCAACAGACUGACGAGGCUGUGAAGAUGUGGCUGGACGAUCUCCAAGACUUGGCUUAUGACACUGAGGACAUUCUUGAUGAGUUUGCUACUCAAGCCUUGGAAAGCAAGUUGAUGGCGCAAAAUCACGAUAGUUCUGGCCAGGUUCUCAGUUUCAUCCCGGCUGGUUUGAAUCCGAAUGCUAUUAUGUUCAAUUAUAGCAUGGGGUCCAAGAUUAAAGAUAUCACUAGCCGGCUGGAGCAACUCUGCCAAGAAAGAAUUGAACUUGGACUGCAACGGAUUACCGGAGAGGCAUCAUCAACUGCUGCUGCUGCUGCACACCAGAGGCCACCCAGUUCGAGUGUCCCAACAGAACGUGAAGUAUUUGGAAGAGAAGAAGAUAAGGCCAAAAUUCUUGAUAUGGUAUUGGCCGAUACCCCAAGUGAUCAUGCAAACUUUGUUGUAAUACCCAUUGUUGGCAUGGGCGGGAUAGGAAAAACAACUCUUGCCCGGGAAGUCUACAAUGACAAGGCCGUUGAAGAUUCCAAGUUUGAUGUAAAAGCAUGGGUUUGCGUAUCUGACGUCUUUGAUGUUUUGGGCAUCUCAAAGGCACUUCUCGAGUCAAUCACCCGCAGGCCUUGUCUUCUAAACAGUUUAAAUGACGUGCAGGUUGAGCUGAAAGCAGCUGUGGAUAAAAAAAGGUUCCUGCUGGUCUUAGAUGAUGUUUGGAACGAGGACUACAGCUUAUGGGUAGACUUAAAAGCUCCGUUACUGGUUGCUGCACCAAACAGCAAGAUGAUCGUCACCACACGCAAUUCAAGUGUUGCAUCAACAAUGAGACCCAUCGAUCGUCACCACACGCAAUUCAAGUAUUACGAUCUCAAGAGUCUGUUAGAUGAUGAUUGCUGGUCCAUUUUCAUAAACCAUGCAUUUGAAUCUACAGACCUUAGCGCACAUCGAAUUUCAGAAUCAUUCCGCGAGAAAGUUGUUGGCAAGUGUGGGGGCUUGCCUCUAGCAGCAAAAACACUCGGGGGCCUUCUUCGUACUAAAACGCAUGCUGAGUGGGACGGUAUAUUGGAUAGCAAAAUAUGGGAUUUACCUCGGCAAAGCAGCAUUCUCCCCGUGUUAAGAUUGAGUUACCAUCAUCUUCCUUCUCAUUUGAAAAGAUGUUUUGCUUUUUGUGCCAUCUUUCCAAAAGAUUAUGCAUUCACUGAGAGGGAGCUGACUUUCUUAUGGAUGGCUGGAGGUAUUAUUCGACAGUCAAGAAACAAUGAGCAGCUGGAAGAUUUGGGCAGCAAGUGCUUUGGUGAUCUAGUGUCGAGGUCAAUUUUUCAACAAACAGCAAUCUCUGAUAGUUCUAAAUUUGUAAUGCACGACCUUAUCCAUGAUCUUGCUCAAUUGGUCUCUGGAGAAACCAUAUUUAGGUUAGAGGAGGCCAAUACUCUGUCAAGAAGAUUUGAAAGGGUUCGCCAUUCCUCCUAUGCCCGUGAUUGGUGUGAUGGUAGAAAUAAGUUGGAGGUUUUCAAUGAAAUUGAACAUCUACGAACAUUCUUGCCAUUUUGCAUAAGAGGUGGCGUUACUUCUGGUUGGAUAACUAGCACGGUUCACUACGAUUUGUUGCCGAAGUUCAAAAGGUUGAGGAUGCUGUCUUUAGAAGGAUACCAUAUUGGUGAGUUACCAAUUCCAUUUGAAGAUUUGAGACUUUUAAGGUUCCUCAACCUUGCUGACACUGACAUAAGAAGUUUACCUGAGUCAACAUGCAAAUUGUUGAACUUGGAAAUUCUGAUAUUAAGAAAUUGUUCCCGUUUGACAAAGCUUCCCCAGAAAAUGAGGAAUUUGAUCAAUUUACGUCAUCUGGAUAUAAGAGGUGCAAAGCAGCUGAAGGAGAUGCCAUUUGGAAUGAAAGAGUUGAAGAAGCUUCAAACGUUGUCCAAUUUUAUUGUAGGCAAGGGUGAAUCUGCAUCUGGUUUGGAAGAUUUAAAAAGUUUAGACCUUCUAUGUGAUGAACUCUGCAUUGCUGGAUUAGAGAAUGUGAAUAGUCCACAGAAUGCAAGAGAAGCCACAUUAUGUGAGAAGCACAAUCUUGAAGCAUUGACCCUAGAAUGGGGGUCUCAAUCUGACAGUCCUCGGGAUGCAGUACUAGAAGAGAAGGUACUUGACACUCUACAGCCUCAUGAACGUAUAAAAGAGCUGGCAAUCAGGAACUAUGGUGGUGCAAGAUUUCCACCUUGGAUCAGAGAUCCUUCGUUUCCCGAGAUGAAGGUCCUUAAAUUGGAGAACUGUGACGAUUGUGAAUAUCUGCCAUCACUUGGCCUGUUGAGUUCACUUAAGCACCUUGCUGUUAAAGGGCUGAAGAAACUAAAAAGCAUAGGGUCUGAGGUUUAUGGGGAGGGUUUGUCAAUGCCUUUUCCAUCAUUGGAGGUUCUAAGUUUUGAGAAUUUGCCUGAAUGGGAGUAUUGGGACACCAAUAUCAGAGGAAAUGUGCUCGUUGAAAUGUUUCCUCGUCUCCAUAAACUUUCCAUUGUGGAAUGUCCCAAACUCUCUGGGGAACUGCCUGAGCUCCUGCCCUCCUUGGAGACACUUGUUGUUAGUAAAUGUGAAAAGUUGGUAGUUCCAUUGUCUCGCUAUCCGAUGCUCUGCAGAUUAGAAGUUGAUGAGUGCAAGGAACUAGCAUGCGGGACUCCAAUUGAUUUUAAGUUGAUAGAGUCUGUGACUAUUUCAAAUAGUUCCUUAGACAUGAAUGGAUGCAAGGGGAUGCUAUACGAUGGUCCAGCUGGCUCUUCACUGCCAAAGCCUAUGAUUACUACAAAUGUUUCGGAGUUUGGAAAAUUAUUGAAGCCUGGAUGUCAAAUAUUAGAAACUUUAGUAAUUGGCAAUUCUGGACGGCUCAAGUCAUGGAGGCAGCAUGGGGAUUUUCUAGAAGAAUAUAUGGUCGCUCACCAAAGGUUUAAGAAACCAGUACAAGGGCUAAAUAUGCUCGCUUCCCCUGAAGAGGUAACAAUUGAAGAAAGUUGUGUGAGUUUUGUUUUGUUUCCAGAGAUCAAUUUCUUUCCCAGAAAUCUGCGCUCUCUUCUAAUUUGCAACAGCACUGCUUUGAAAUCCUUACCCGAGGAAAUGAUGGAAAACAAUUCACAACUGGAAAGGUUGUAUAUCAGAGAUUGCGACUCUCUAACAUUCAUCGCAAGACAGAGGCUACCAGCAUCUGUUAAAAGGCUUGAGAUAGAAAAUUGUGAGAAAUUGCAACGUCUGUUCGAUGAUGAAGAGGAUGCUUCUUCUUCUUCUUCUUCUCCUUCAUCCUCGUCUUCCCCAGUGAUGCUGCAACACCUGAUAAUAGGGAAAUGCCCAAAGCUCACCAGUUUAUUAUCGGGUGUCCAAUUCCUUGAGGCGCUUGAAUUCCUCAAGAUAGAGCAUUGUCCAAAGCUGGAGUCAAUACCGGAUGGCCUGCCCAAUCUUAAAUGUUUACAGAGCAUUUAUUUACUCAAUUGUCCAAGUCUUGUUUCCUUCCCAGAAAGAGGGCUUCCCCACACCAUUUCAUUUGUUUGCAUUUGCGGAUGUGACAAGCUUGAAGCCCUGCCCAAUGACAUGCACAAACUCAACUCUCUUCGACAUUUAAGCAUACAGCUCUGUCCAAAUCUUGUAUCGUUUCCAGAAGAAGGUUUUCCUACCAAUCUAACAUCACUUACAAUUGGAGAUUUCAAAAUGUAUAAGAUACUCGUCCAGUGGGGGUUGCACAGGUUUACCUCUCUUAGACGCCUCUAUAUCGUUGAUUGUGAUGACGAAGCAGAGUAUUUUCCAGACGAGGAUAUAGGAAUGACGCUGCCCACCUCUCUCACUCAACUGGAACUUUCGGGAUUCAAAAAAUUGAUAUCUCUGUCUUCGACGGGUUUUCAGAGCCUCACCUCUCUUCAAAGAUUGCGGAUCUGGGAUUGCCCAAAUCUCACAUCAUUUCCAGAGGUGGGCCUUCCAUCCUCACUUUUGGAAUUACACAUUUACAAAUGUCCAAAGCUUAAAAAAGCGUGCAAAAGAGAUCAAGGAAAAGAGUGGCCCAAAAUUGCUGACAUCCCUUGCGUUGAGAUAGACAAUAAAUUCAUAUACGAUCCAGAAUAAGAGGAGUAGAUUCUACUAUUAAGGUCAGUUGAUUUGUAUUAUCCGCUAUAACAAGCUCCUCCUUUUUUUUUUUUAAAUAAUAAUUUUGCAGUCACUCACGUGAUUCCGUUUUCACAAGUCAGAUUGUAUGUUGAGGCUAUUUGCCUUUUAGUCGCAGAUUAAAUUAUAACACUUAUCUUAAAAUUUAAUACCAUAGACAGAUAGACGAUUUUUUAAUCCAAAGUUUUUUUUAUUCACUUCAGUUAGCAUUUUUUUUUUUCCCCAAAUCAUGCAAGCCGAGAGUUUCAAUCAAGAAUUGGAGCAUGGGAAUGGAAUUUUUGUGAAAACAUAAUGGAUGAACGAACAUUUCAUCUGUGAUCUCAAAGUCAACAGAAUUUUAUUCACUCAAUGACUUUUCAACUGCUGUGGUUAUUUAUGGGUGAAAGAAAGAUAAGGGCAAUUACAAAAAAUUUGCAAAAUUUGUCAAUUUCUUAGAUGGUAGAUAUAUCGACAUUUUAGAUUUCAGAUAUUUGUCACCAAUUUCAUUCCUUUUUUUUUAUUUUUUCAAGCAAGUUUGACUAAUUUUAACCAGAAUUGGAGUAUAAUAUUUUGGAGCAAGCAUACUUGAAAUUUCUGUCUUCAAUAUUUUGAUGCUUUUUUAAUUUUGGAUCUAGUAAAAAUACAUAGCCUUCACCGGCAGGAUUCUAGUCUUGGCUUUCACCUCUCUAACUCAUCCGGCCCCAUUGGGAUUCCAGAAAUUGAAAUUUCUGUCUUCAAGGGGUUUUCAAAGCCUCGCCUCCCUUCGAUUUUUGUGGAUCGGGAAUUGCACAAAUCUUACAUCAUUUCCCGAGGUCGAGGAAAAGAGCGGCCCAAACUUGCUCGCAUCCCUUGGGUUAUGAUAGAUGGAAAAUUCAUAUACGAUCCAGAGUCAGAGGUGUUGAUUCUCUUAUUAAGGUCAGCUGAUUUCUAUUAUCCACUCUGACAAUCUCCUAUUAGUGUUUUUCCCUUUUUUUUUUUCAAAAUUUUGCAGUUCCGUAUAAUUGAAAAUGCCACUCACUUGUUUCCUAUUAGUAUGUUGAGGCUAUUUGCUUUCUAUCGGUGUUUGUUAAGGUAAUUACUCACAGAUGAAAUUAUAACUUUUAUCUUAAAAUUUAUUGCCAUUGACAGAUGGACGAUUUUUAGUCCAAAGUUUUGUUAUUAACUUCAAUCAAAAUUUUAGAUUGCAGAUUUUUGUCAAUUAUUUCAUUUUUUAUUUUUAUUUUAAAGCAGAAUUGGAGUAUAACAUUUGGAGCGCGCAUACUCUGAUGCAUGCAAUUAACUGUUUUUAAUCGUUGGAUUUUGAAAUUAAUGAUGGUAAGAUGUGUACUUAUUUUUUCUUCCGGACAACCUUGCCUUCUUUCUUCGGUAGCAUAUCUAAUGAAUAUUUCUCUGUUUAGUUAAGGAUGAAUGCUUGGAGUGGUCUGAUUCACAACAACACCUCUUCCAGAAAAUAUGAUACAAGGCAAAGCCAUGUUCUGAAGCAGAAAUGAUACAGCAGUUGCGGUACCCGAGGUACCUUUUGCAUUUAACUUGCCUUUAUUUGUUUUGCUUGUGACUUAAGAACACAUCAUUUCCCAGAGAUUUGGAGAAGCAUCUCAAGAUGCUUAACAAACUUGACAAGCUUCAAGAUGCACUUGCUCCCAAGCAUUGAUUCUUCACAAUGGAAAACCUGUGAGUACACUUAUGCCCGCAAUUAUUGUUAAGUGUUUGCAAUUUUGAUGCAGCGAAAUGGUUUGUGGAUGCAAAGCUUUAAAACUGUUAAGAACUACCCUGCAGGCUUGUUGGAUGUUGUAUACUUCAAAAGCCACCAACACCAAGAACUACAACAGCAAGACUAGGUUUGCGUUGCUUCAAUCAGCUGAAAUAAUGAUGCAAAUGACACUAUCAAGCUGGACUUAGAGACUUGUCAGGUCAAUCAUCCAUUUCAUCAACAGUUAAUGUCAUGAUGGUGGCUAUCAGAGGAAACAAAAGAUCUGUUGGAAUCAAUUCAAACAGUGAGAAGCAUGAGAGGAGCAUUGAUUAUAAAUAGGCUCAAUGAGCUCAUGCUGGUAAGUGGUAAUUAAGAAAUUUGUGAGCUUAGUAUAGUUUCAAUUUUUUUCUGUUUGGGAUAUAGUUGAUAAGUUGAUACUCUGAUUAAGAAGCCUGAUUAUAGUAGCUGACUGUGCUAACUGCGUUCUUUUAUUUUUUAUUUUUUUGGUUUGCCGUCGUUUUUUCUUUUGAUUAUUUGUUCAACAUUAGAUUGAUCUGUUGAAGACUACGAGGAAGAUCCAGACUUGGAUGCAGGCGUGCAGCUCGUAAUAGGUGAGAACAAAUGAAUGCUUUAACCAUGUUUCUCACUUAUGACAAUGCACGGAUCAAAGGCAUCUGAGUUGAUCCUGAAAAUGUGAUGGAAAUAGGUCUCUGUUUUCAUAAAACAGAACAAAUAGAGAUCUCUGAUCACGCCUGAGAAUUCAUUGCAUUGAAAUUUCUACCAUUGGCAAACAUAGAAUAAACUGGGGAUACAUUAGCUUUAGACUCUAUUUUGAGGAGGAAGUUUGUACUUGCAGCCUAUAAAAUCAUAUCCCUGUUGUAUGUUUCUUUGGGAAAUGAAAGAUUCUGUGUGUUCUUUUAUUUCAAGUUUGCUGAAAUCACAUUUGUUUUCUAAGAUGCUUUACAGAAGGUACCAACAUCAUUUUCAAAAAUGCUGGGGUAAGAUACAUCGUGCAGUGCUCCUCAACAUGAGAAUUCCUGGCCGCAUUACCCAUAUGUGGAAUGAUCUGAGAGUACAACCGUGAGAAUGUUGUAAGGAGUACACAACCAGAUGUGAGUAGUUUGAAAAUGAAUUCGCAUGGAAUGAUUUCUUGCCAGUGCAGAAAUGGCUUGGUUCAAAAUAUGCUCAGCUUCAUUGACACUCUUCGGUAGGCCUCUCCGUCCUUCCAUUCUUAACUACAAUACUACUCUUGUCUGUCUAGUUAUGGAAUCUCUCUUUUAAUCCUCAAAGUUUGAAUUAUAUUAUAUUGCCUCUGUGUUACCGCAGAAACUGAGUCAGUUGGUGAUCCUUCAAAACAAGAAAAACCAAAAACAGAUACAGCGCGCGAUAAGAUAAUGAGACAGAUGGCUCCCGUUGCUGCAUGCCACUUGCUUGUGUGCGUAUUGGGACCAUCAUCAACAACAUUGACGUAAACCCAGCUCAAGGUGGGAAGCUAGUUCGAGCUGCAGGGACGUUAACCAAGAUUUUGAGAAAGAACCCACUUCAAGGUGUUGCUUAGUUAGGCUACGUUGUGGAAAUGAGAAAGUGAUUGACCCUAGAUGUCGCGCCACCAUUGGUACAGUGUCUAACCCCAGCCAUGGAGCUAAAAAGCUUAGUAAGGCAGGUCAGAGAAGUUGGUUGGGUCGAAGAGCUGUGGUUAGAGGAGUAGCCAUGAUUCCAGUUGAUCACCCUCAUGUUGAACAAAGCAAAAGUAGCGGUAACAAUGGAAGGUGUUCACUCACACCUUGGGGCAAGCCUUGUAAGUCUGGGAAUUAAACUGCAUCUCCUAAGAAGAAAGAGAAAUCAGCUGUCUGAUAAUAUUGUCCUUUUCUGCUAUUUGGUCUUUUUAACAUUGUUACACUGUUUUUACAUCUUUGAGGUUAGUUUUAGACCAAUUUUUAACUGAUCCAUAAUGAAACUGAAGUUUAAUUUUUGAUUAAACUUUCACUGGUUUUACUCUUCUGUCACUUCAAUUUAGCAUUGAUUUAAGAUACUGAAUUCUGUGCUUGGAGCUUGUAAAUUGGAAAGAGAUAUUUUGGGAUAGAAUGUAGAUUUUGUGUUUUGCUUUCUCAAGCUAGUUGUGACUUCUUAAAAGAGUCAAUCCAUGUCUUUAUAUAUUUUUCUUUUGUCUUGAUUCUGUUUCUUCAUACAGAUUCUUAUUUUAUGCUUCACAUACCACAUGAAAGAUGAAAGCCUUUUCUGUGAUUAGAAUUGACUUGCAUUAUAGUAACUUUAAACCACUUGGAUAUUUUUAUAAUAGCAGUCUGAGAUCUCCUUAAAGGAUUCAAAAGCAUCCACUGGCAUCCACUUUACUCGUAUCGGUCAAAAGUUUUGUGCAAUACAAUAUUAGCUUGACUGUAGCGCAGAGGAGAACAGGUUGGUGUUGGUCUGAAUUCUGAUAUUUGAAUAAAUAUAACAGCUCAUGUGACUCCACCACUUUUUACUUGUUCUGUAGUCUGUACCUACCUCCAUUGUCGGCACUGCCCAUACAAGGUCUUUUAGCUUUUUAAAAAGUUUCAUGAUAUUCCAUAGUUCACAUGGAUUUCUACAGUUUGUAGAAAACCUAAUUAGGGCACAUUUAAUUACUAUGCAGAAGAUUCUUUUAUCUUGCUCACCAAUAAUUCUUUGUACUUAUUUGAAAGAUGUGUUUCAAAAAAAUAAAAAAAAACUAUUUGAAAGAUGAGAAAUCCCUUAGCCGAACGACAAACUCAUCUAUCAGUCCUAUCAAAAAAAAAAAAACUCAUGUUUUAGUGGUUUUUUUUUUUCACUUGUAUUCAGUCGCACAAGUGAAGAUUGUGGGCAAUUUUUUCCUUGAGUAAAAUUGGAAUAGAUGUUUUUAUUGACACAAAUUUUUGAGCUAUGUUUGGGAAACCCUUAGACUUAAGACUUUGUUACGAUGAUAUGUAUCUAAGCUUUCAACAGACCGUUGAGGUCUUAUUAUCAAAAUACUAGAAAUUUACAAUUCAAUUUUGGUAAGGACCAAUUUAAUAAUGCUGUAAUUUUUAAAAUAAUUACCGUUAACUGUGUUGUAAAAAUAAUCAAUUAUGAAGAAAAUUAAUUAAACAUUUAGUAAACUUUAUUUUUACAAGUGCUUUGAAUUUUAAAAAUAGUCAUAUGUGUUCAGAAAAUCUCACUUCUAAAAUAGUAUAAGAAUGGAAAAAACUUAAAAAGACAAAUGUAUAAUAUUUAUUUACACAUGCAUUUAUAAAUAUGUGUAUAUAAUAACAUUUUAUGUGUACAUAUAAUAAUUGAUAACUAAAAUAAAUAUUUUUAUUUAUUAAUUAUUUUUUUGUCUCAAUGUAAUUGGUAAUACUUUUUUUUAAUCUUCUCAUCCUAAGUUUUUUUAUUGUUUUGUACAAAAUUCAAGGUUUGGACUUUUAUAAAAUGUCCACUCAAAAAUAAAUUGUUUUCUAACUAAGAUUUGUUGCUAAUGUAUAACUCAAAGUAAUACUAGCUAUUUGUAAUUUUAUUUCAAAAUUUUUAUUCAAAUGAUAUGGUAACUAAUGUACAUUAGUUGAUAGCAAUUUUUUUUUUUUUACAAUAUUCAAAUCAAUCAAUUGCAUCAUCUCAACAUUUUUAUGAUGUCGUGUUAUUUUAAACGAAUUUUUUAUUUUUAUAUAAAAUUUAUUAUGUUUAACAUCAUUUGCAUAACUUGACCUUUUUUUUUUCCUACAAAUAUUAAGUCAAAUUUACUCACCCUAUAUUUCUAUCUAAAAUCUACCUAAAACUCAUGCAUCACUGUAAAACAAAUCCAAAGAUUGCGGUACGUUUUUCUUGGUAACAAAUCAAUAAUUAGGUCAAGUACUACUACUAAGCGUGCUCAAUUAAUUCUAAAAUACUACGGUGAUCAAAAUCAUACUUGACGCAAGAGGAUAAGGGCUAAACCUCAAUUAGGCAUUAUUCAUCCAAAAUUCGUUGACCCGGCAUUCUUUGCAAGUUGUAGCACGGGACAGCUAAGAUUAGCAAAUGCUGUGGACCAUAUGCCCCCAUACAUUUGUGACAUGUGAAACUUGGCAUUAAAGGAAAGGCAACGUGUUAAAAUUUAAUAGCGCCCAAUUCUUCAUUGAAUGAUUAUCAGAUCCAAUGAGCAUCCUUUGAUUGGAUUAUUUUAAGUCAAUUAUUGGUGGAUUGGGGCCCACUUGACUCUACCAAAUCGGGCUCCACCAUAUCACCUAUUAACGACCACCUGUCCUUAUCAUAAAUAGCAAAUGUCACUUGUUUUAUUUUGUAUUUUACCAAAAGCAAAGUCACUAUGAACCCAAAUGAAAGUGACCCCAAUUUUGGGGGUCAUGAGCUUUGGAUUAUUAUGGACACAAGAGACAAGCGCAAAGUUUCUCAUUUAUCACCGGAUAAGAUUUAAGUUAUCAACCCAACAUUAAUAAAUUCUGCUUAAAGUAAAGUUUGAAGCUUCAUUUUGCGAAUAUUCAAUGGUUAACAUUUAAGUAAUUAACCUGAUAUUAAUCCAAUUAAACUUUUUAUGUAAUCCAAGUCAAAAAUAUGUUGAUAAACCUAAAUUAAUCUAAUUGGACAUAUUAUUUCAACUUGAAAAGGCGAAUCUAUCAUUUUUCAAUUAAUUUUGAAUCAAGCUAUGUAAAAUAUAAGCUUAUUAAAGACAUAUUUUUAUCAUGUUAAAAUAUCGAAAUACUUCUUACUCGUUUCGUAAUAACAUUAACAAACCUUUUGGUAAAUUUGACAGUCCAAUCAAUUCAGUUGGUUUUUUGUUAUUGAAACUCCAACAAAAUUCAUCACGAUUAUUAAAAACCCAUUAAAAAAAAAUGAAGGUAACUAUUUAAAAAAUUCUAAUUGAAUUAUUUAACAACUACAUUUCAACUAAAUUGUGUUGCUAAUUAACUUCCUCAACUUAAACUAUAUUUUUCUCAAUUAAUUCAUAACAAAUAAUGUUAGAUAUUUUAUUCGAAUAAUAACAUUCAACAUCCUUAUUCUUUAUGAUUAUUGCAUAAAAACAUAUUUUAUCCAUUUACAUCACAUAUGUUCCUAAAUUGUAUAAGAAAAUCACCAAAUUUACUCUUGUAAGUUACUAUAUCAAUGAACAUGAAAUUCACUAAUCAUUAAAGUCUCGGAAUGACAUCAUGAGAGGGAUUCAGUUACAUUUAUUGAUAGGAUUAGAUAUAUGUCUUCUCAAAUAUUAGUAGGAGCAAUUUAACAGAUGCAGCUACUAAAAAUAUAGAAUUACUUAUCUCGUCAAUAACUAACGAUAUUUUUUAUCUAUGCUCAAUAAAUUGUAAUAUUUGUAGAUUGUAACAAUUGUUAAAAAAAAAGAGCUCCCUGAGACUAAAUGACAAAAGGACUGUUUUGAAAUAGAUAGAUAAAAUAUGCCCUUAUUUGAGAAAAUGUAAAACACUAGGGAUCUAAAUGUUAUUAUAAUCCCAUGCACAAAAAUACCAAAAAUAACUAAUAACAACUAACCGAAAAUCCCAGGCGUCAUAUUCCUUUUUUCCGCGUUUUAAAAUGCCCUCUGAUUCAUUCACAGUCAGACGCUGUCGGCAUUUCUCUUCUCUCCCUCUCUCUCCACGUAUUAAAACAUGUAAAGUACGGAAAAAUUUAAAAAAAAUUUUAAAAUUACAUAAUUUAAAAGAUAUAAAAUUAUAAAUUUUUAAAAUUAUACGGUUUUAAAAUUUUUUUAAAUUUUUUCGUAUUUUAAAAUUUCAGACUAAAAAAUUAUUAUACGAAUACUUCGUAUAACCGCUUUGCGCUUAAAAUCUGUGCCUAACAAACUCACGAAAUCACUCCUCAUUUUCCUCUCUCCCUCUCCUCCUCUCAUUCCCUUUCAAAUCCUUCCACCACCUUCCCCGCCUCUCUCUCUUUCUCUCUCCCCUCACCGCCACAGCUCAACUUUUCCAUGUAAACCACCACGGGCGCCGUCGUUUCAACCUCCCACUCAUCCGACGUCGUUUUGUGUGAAUAAGAUAACGAUUUAAAUUAAAAUACGAAAAUGGAGAACUUAACGGCGCAGUUGAAGCGAGGGAUAUCGCGGCAGUUCUCGACGGGAUCGCUGCGGCGGAGCCUGACGAGGCAGAUGUCGAGGCAGUCGUCGUUCGAUCCGAGGAGGAAUAACAUGAGGUUUAGCUUCGGGAGGCAGUCGUCGUUGGAUCCGAUACGCAGGAGUCCGGUUCAGGACGAGUUGACGGUGCCGGAGAACCUUGACUCGACGAUGCAGCUGUUGUUUAUGGCAUGCAGAGGUGACGUCAAGGGAGUCGAGGAUUUGCUGAACGAAGGCAGUGAUGUCAACAGCAUUGAUCUUGACGGACGGUUUUGGCGAGAAAUCAAAGAAUUAAGAGACAAUAUUUAGUUAAGCUAAUAGUAUUUGUUCUGUUUAGUACGUCGUUUUACCAACAAGCAUCCCGGCAUUGCACGCAUUAAUAAAUUUUUUUUAUCUGUUUGGACUGAUGGUGGUAAAAAAUUCCACAUACUUUAUAUUAAAAAGGAAAAAGGACAAACACACCCCUAACGUCAACUUGGAGGGGGGUCGAUUCCGAGCUCAAGAAGUGGGAAAGAAGAAAGCUGAAGAUGAUUCAGGCGGUGCUCAAUGGUGGGUAUGACGGCAAAAAUAAGUUGGAGGUUUUCUAUGAAUUUGAACAUCUAAGAACAUUCUUCCCAUUACACAUAAGAGGUGGCUCCAAAACUGGUUACAUAACUCGUAUGGUUCUAACUGAUUUGUUGCCGAAGUUUAAAAGGUUGAGGGUGCUAUCUUUACAAGGAUACCAUAUUGGACCAAUUCCAUUUGAAGAUUUGAGACUUCAAAGUAUAAUUACCCAAAGUGUAUACAAUAAAAGCCAAAUUUAAGAAAUUCCUGAACCUUGCUGACACUGACAUAAGAAGUUUACCAGAGUCAACAUGCUCAAUGUUGAACUUGGAAAUUUUGAUAUUAAGAAAUUGUUUCCGUUUGAUGAUACUCCCACCCAAAAUGAGGAACUUGGUUAAUUUACACCCAGACUCUUUUCUUUUGACAUGGGGUUAACGAUCAAAGUUGGUUUCGUGCGGUAUAUAUUUACAAAUUGAUAGGUAUGCCUGGUGUUGAUGCAGGAUUCCGGUUCUUCUCGUUCUACGACCAGGAUCUCUGCUCGAUCAACUUCGUCACGACCAGGAGGUCUCCUCGCAAGACUUUUUCUCCAGAGAUUCCUGCGCACACAGACAAGUCAGAGUACGCCGGUUGUUUUCCCGGCGCAAACCCUCCGACGCUCAAGUCAGAUAUGAAGGUUCGGGGAACGCUUGCCACCGAUCUUAUGGCUUUUUCGUGGUUUUCUCUUCUUUUUAAUUCCUUUUCUAAUGAGAAAAAUGCCAACCCUUUUACCUCGUCGGCUACCUUUUUAUAGGCUUCCUCUGAAUCCCAGUUUUCCGCUCUUUUCGAGACGGUAUGGGACUCUGACUGCUGUGUUAUGGGCAAACGUGGGAUCUUGCGUGUUACGCCACCGUUCUGGGAAAAGCGCGGCAGUCGUGGUUCUGUGAGAUCUUGCGUGUUACGCCACGGUUCUGGGGAAAGCGUGGCUGUCGUGCUUAGGUUCUCGGGCUGGAGAGCAUGUCUCGUCAACUGCCGUCGACCGGGUCUCCUCGCCUCUCGACCUCUAGCCGGAAUGACCUUAUGCCUCUUACAGGAAAUUGGCCUCGCGGAUGACCUGCUCGUGGACGAGCAGGAUAUUUCUGCUCCUGUUCCCCCGCGUACCAGGCUUUUACGGGACACACCGGUUCGCAGAACUCUGCCAUCAGAUAUCUGCUCACCGUGCCUGGUCUCGUCGACGUAUUUCUCCCAAACACCGGUCCCCCAGUUUCUGGUGUUGGGUAAUGUAGUGGACCAGCAGUAGAAACUCGUUAGUACUCGCCCGCGUGGGAUUGGAAAAGGCUGCCAAGAGUCAUGUCGCAUUUAAUUGCGGACGAGGUGACGUGGCAGAAAUCCCCCCCUCCAUUUGAAUUUCAAACCGACGGUUAUGAGAUCCUCGGGAUUCAGCGCCGUUAAAUGCUGGCAACCCAAGAGUCCGUCCUCAUUAGGAAAACCAAAUCCUCUCGAACGGCAUAUUCGUCAUUCACUCCGUCUCCGUCUCUGUCUCCCCGGCAAAGAGGUUCCGGCAUAAAAGCCCUCCAUCUCUGAUUUUCACCGACUGAACCGUUACUUCAGGUAUUUCUUCUAUCUCCUUGGUCUCGGAUAGUUGUAGAUAAUUUCUCUUCUCUUCUGUUGGGUAGUAGUUGGUGGUGUUGUGGUUAGAGCUUAGGGAAUGUCGAAAGGCAAAGAGAAGGUCAUUGAGGUUGGUGACGACGAGUUGGACUUCCUGCCUAGUCUGCUCACCGAUCCUGCUUUUGACCCCGGGAUCCCCUUAGAGCCCAUUAGGUCUAGUGUCGGGACUAGUGCUAGGAGGAUGUCUCCCCAAACAACCUCUACGAGCGGAAGUAAUGGUGAGGAGAGAUCUUCUGGCUCCGAGGAUACUUUGAGUGAGAAUGGCGAAGGUGACUCUGGUGAGGUGUCUCCAUCUGGAACAUCACGACCAGAAGAACGGGGUAUAGUAGGAGGCAGAGCCUUGUCGCGCGAUUAUGCCAUUGAUUACAUGACGUGCACGACCUCGUUUGACGAGCUCAAUGACCUCCGGCUUAGGUAUAGCAUUCCUGGUGAGAUACCUCUCAAGGUCCCAGGAAAGAAGGAUGCUCCCAGCCGGCCUCCUAGGGGAUAUGUUACCCUGUAUCUGGACAGCUUUAAGUACGGGCUGAGGUGUCCCUUGCAACCUUACUUUGCCCGGAUACUUAACGGGCUAAAUCUAGCUCCUGGUCAGCUGAAUCCCAAUGGGUGGAGAGUGCUCUCUGGUCUGUUCAUAUUGUGGGACAGAUGUUGCCAAAGCGAGCCCACGGUUGAUGAGGUGAAGCACCUGUACCAGCUAAAGAGCAGCCCCAAAGAUGCCGUCUGGUACUACUUCCAAUCUAGCACCAAGAGCAGGAAACCUAUAACCGACCUCCCUACUGGUGGUGGUGGGAAUUGGAAGAGAAAAUUCUUUUUUGCUGGGGGUCCUUGGGGUCAGGUUGCACAAAUGGACGGGAAGGAUUAUCGGGUCCCACCCCGUUUCACGGUCCCAGGUUGCCUGCUCGCUUUAGAUGUCUUGUAUCCACAAUUGUUAUUGCUUUAUUGGCUUGUCUCUAACCAAGUGUCUGUUUGCGUUGUAGUUUCUUGGGGUGUUCACUUCCCGCUCCCACCUGACCAGCUCAAACGGGUCAAGGCUGUGCUCGCCAAUUCCUGCUCGAGUCGAGAACUGCUAACUACAUACAACUUGCUCGAAUCUCGCUUGAUACUUCCUGGCCAUAGGAUGGAGGACGCCGUGAUUGGGGCUCUGACCCGAAAACGUUCUCGACCUCCAACCACGAAGAGGGACCAGGGUAAGGAUGCCCCUGCUGCAAAGCGGGCCAGCAUCGUGCAGCAGGUCCCACCCUUGGAGAUUUUACCUCCUGCUCCUGAAAAAGUCGGGGAAGCUAGUGGAGCAGCCACAGAUCCUGCUUCCUCAUCUGUUCCUGUCGGGCCUCGAUCUCGCUUACCUGACAGCCGAGCAGAACACCUGGUCCCCUACCUCAAUGAGUUGUCUAAACUCGUGAGCAAGAAGGACCUGGAGGACUUCGACGGCUGCACCUUGGGUGAGCUGGUGGGGGCCAUGCAGCAUAGCGCUUUCCACCUCAGCUGCAUGACCACCUAUUACAAGGCUAAGGUUGGUCGAUACGAUCGGAAAAUGAAGGGGGAUAUUCAAUCGGCGACGACCAGAGCUGACAUUGCCGAGAAGAAAGCAGGGGAGCUGAACCUCGAGAAUCUGAAGCUGAUAGAGCAAGAAUCACUUGCUCAAGCAAAGACCAUUACCCUCGAGGAGGAGCUUACCAAGGUCAAGGAGGAUCUGCAAAGGCAGAAGGCUAUGUAUGAGGCCCAGCUCGAAUCUCUCCGGGACUCCAACCGAGCUCAGGUCGAGAACUUGGAGAGGGAGGCAGAGAAUCAGUACGACCAGGGACUUCGGCAUUCCUAUCGUUGCAUCAUGGCCGUCCUCGGGAAGCAACACCCUGAUCUGAAGAUGGAUGACCUUGCGGCUGGUGUUGCCCAACAUAUGGACGAGGAGGCGGCCAAGGAAGAUGCUGAAGGGGUAGAGCCGAUCGUGAUCGAGGAGGAAAGCUCUCCUCCUCGUGCAGUCCCUGCUGAUGUUGGCGAGGCGAGCACCCCUCCGGACGCAACUGGCGAUACCCCUCCCGCACCUGAGGAGGUCCAGUCAACCGAUGCUGCUCGGCUCACUGAUCUACCAUCUUUUUGAUAUAUUUCUUUUUGUAUUGUAAUAAACAACGUUUAUGAAAUUUAUCCCCUCUGUUAGCCAUUAACACAUUAAUAAAGAUGUUUUUUGAUUACUUUCUCGUCUUGUAAUCAUCACUUAUUUUCCGUUUGGGAAUCUGCUCGUCUCGUCUGGUCGAGCAGGUUCUGGUUUGGCAUAUGGUUUUGCAACAUGCCUUAGAAAAAUUUCUUUUUUUUUUUUUUUUUUUUUUUUUUUUUUUUUUUUUGCUUGGGGAUUCUGCUUGCCUUCGCGUGGUCGAGCAGGUCCUGGCAUGCUUGGCUUCAGUCUCGCCAUAAAAAGGCUUUGAGACUUGGUGAGGCCUUUGCAUGCCUUAGAAAACUUUUUCGAUGCUUGGGGAUUCUGCUCGACUUCGCUCGGUCGAGCAGACCCUAGCAUGCUUGGCUUCCGUCUCGCCAUAAAAAGGCUUUGAGACUUAGUGAGCCUUUGCAUGCCUUAGGUGGCUUCUUCAAAGCUUGGGAUUCUGCUGCCUUCUCGUGGCCGAGCAGAUCCGGGCAUGCUUGGCUUCUGUCUCGCCAUAAGACAGGCUUUGAGACUCGACGAGCCUUUGCAUGCCUUAGAUGGCUUCUUCGAAGCUUGGGAUUCUGCUGCCUUCUCGUGGCCGAGCAGAUCCGGGCAUGCUUGGCUUCUGUCUCGCCAUAAGACAGGCUUUGAGACUUGACGAGCCUUUGCAUGCCUUAGAAAUUUUCUUGGUUUCAAGCGAAAGGAAUUCCUCGACGUUCCAUUAAUGGCAGGAUUCGGCUUACAUGAACUUGUUUGGACAUAAAGCGUGAAAGAUAAACGAUAAUGAUCAUGAGCAAAAAUAGCUUUCAGAUGUGAACAAAUCUUACUGGAAGUAUUUUCGGAGGUGUGCUGCGUUCCAUGGGCGUUUCAGCUCGUGGCCGUCCGUGCGAACCAGCUUGUAAGCUCCGGGUCCCGCUAUCUGCUUGACUCUAUAUGGCCCUUCCCAAUUCGGUCCCAGCACUCCUUGAGUCGAAUCUUUGGUGCUCUGAUUCACUCUUCUCAGUACCCAGUCUCCGACCUUGAAUUGCCGUAUGUUCACCUUCUGGUUAUAAUACCGAGCAACCCUCUGUUGGUAAAGGGCUGAUCGCUCGGCUGCUUGCUCCCUCCUUUCCGUUAGCAGAUCAAGAUUCAAACAUAUCUGCUCGUCGUUCUCCUGCUCGUUGAAAUGACCUGUCCGGUGUGUGGUCGUUCCUAUCUCAGCCGGCACGACCGCUUCAUGUCCGAAAGCCAAAGCGAACGGUGUCUCCCCAGUUGCGGUUUUGUGGGUUGUUCUGUAUGCCCAUAGCACACCUGACAGCUCGUCAACCCACGCACCCUUUUUUGCUCCAAGCCUGGUUUUCAAAAGCCUCUUGAUGGUCUUGUUGGCUGCUUCUACUUGUCCAUUCGAUUGAGGGUGAGCAGGCGAGCAAUACUUCAGCUCUAUCCCGAGGUUCUGGCAGAAAUCCCUGAAGCUGUGAUUAUCGAACUGCCUGCCAUUAUCCGUUACCAAGGCAUAAGGGAUCCCGUAUCGACAGACCAGGUUUCUCCACACGAAGUCUGUUGUUUUCUUCUUUGUGAUCCUGCUAAGGGCUUCUACCUCUAUCCACUUCGUGAAGUAAUCUAUAGCAACUAUUGCAUGUGUUGCUGCUCCUUGUGCCUUUGGCAAUGGGCCGAUCAGAUCAAUUCCCCAUUGAGCAAAUGGCCAAGGGGAGGCCAUGGAGGUGAGCUUCUCUGGGGGUUGGUUAGAGAAAUUUGCAAAACUCUGGCAGCUUACACAACUCCUGGUCUUCUCUUGCGCAUCCUGGUGCAUUGUCGGCCAGAAAUAUCCCUGCCUAAGAACCUUGUGGGCCAGGGACCUCCCGCCAGAAUGAUUUCCGCAAAUUCCUUCAUGUACUUCUCUCAGUACGUAAUCCGCGUCGUCCUCAUCCAAACACCGAAGGAACGGUAGUGUAUAUCCUCGCCGAUACAGCGCCCCAUCAAUCAUCGUGUAUCUCGAGGCCUGGGCUCUAAUCUUGCGAGCUCGCAGCUUAUCUGGUGGUAAUACUCCGUCUCUAAGGUAUGAAACUAUCGGGUCCCUCCACGAGCAUUUUUGUUCUAUCCGCAACACCCCCGAAUUCUGAUCGAUACUUGGGCUGGACUUCACCUCCAGAGGGACCGACUUUGGCAUUUUUGGGUCGGCUACUGCUGCCAUCCUCGCCAAAAUGUCUGCUCGACUAUUCUGCUCCCUGGGGAUCUGUACCACCUCCACUGCUUCGAACUUCCCCAUCAUCUGCCUGACUAUCUUCAGGUACUGCUCCAUCUUCUCCUCUCUUGGUUGGAAUCUUUCACUGACGUGAUUCGCAACCAGCUGGGAAUCAGUUCUGAUCUUAACUCUGUCUUCUUUCACGGCCUUAGCCAAUUCCAGACCUGCUAUCAAGGCUUCAUACUCUGCCUGGUUAUUUGUGGCUGCAAAUUCCAACUUUACAGCAUAAGAGAUCUCCUCCCCCUCAAGGCCUUCCAGGACAAUCCCUGCUCCUGAACCCCGCUCCCCUGAUGACCCGUCCACAGACAUCUGCCAUACUUGAUUUUCGUCAUUGCCUAUAACUGCAUCCUGUUGAUCUGAGCAUACUUCGGGCUCUGUGAAUUCAGCUACGAAAUCGGCCAUUGCCUGGGCUUUUAUCGCUGCGCGGGGUUUAUAGUCUAUGUCGAACUCGCUCAGCUCUACAGCCCACUUGACGAGCCGACCAGAGGCAUCUGGCUUGUGCAGAGUUUGACGCAAUGGCUGGUUUGUUAUUACCGAGACCGGGAAUGCUUGAAAAUAUGGCCUCAACUUCCGAGCAGCAACCACAAGGGCAAGUGCCCAUUUCUCCAACAGUGGGUAUCUAGUCUCAGCGUCGAGUAGGGCCUUGCUGGUGUAGUAUAUCGGAUACUGAACUCCUUCUUCCUCUCUCACCAGAACAGAACUGGCGGCCCGAUCCGACACCGCCAAAUACAGAUACAACUUGUCCCCAUCCCUUGGUGUGGACAGCAGCGGAGCUUGCUGCAAGUAUUGCUUCAAGUUCUGGAAGGCUUCCUCGCACUCUGGGGUCCAUUCUGUUUUCUUUCCCCUCCUUAUCACUUGAAAGAAUGGCUGACACUUAUCUGUAGCCUUGGAGAUGAAUCUGCUCAACGCCGCCAACCUCCCUGUGAGGCUCUGCAUCUCCUUCAGGUUACGAGGAGACGUCAUUUGCACAAUCGCCUGGAUUUUCUCGGGAUUUGCUUCAAUCCCCCUAUGGCUCACCAUGAAUCCAAGGAAUUUCCCUGACUCGACCCCAAAAGCACACUUUUCCGGGUUGAGCUUCAUCUUAUACUUCCUCAAAAGCUCGAAUGUCUCCUCGAGGUGUCUGACAUGUUCCUUCGGGAUUUUGGACUUGGUGAUCAUGUCAUCCACGUACACCUCCAUGGUUUUCCCAAUCAACGGCUUAAAGACUUUGUUCACCAGCCUUUGAUAGGUGGCCCCAGCAUUUUUGAGACCGAACGGCAUUACCCUGUAACAGAACAAACCUUGGUUAGUGACGAAAGCCGUGCUCUCCUCAUCCUGCUCGUACAUGGGGAUCUGGUUGUAUCCCGAGAACGCGUCCAUGAAGCUGAGCAGACCAUGUCCAGCCGUUGAAUCUACUAGCUGAUCGAUCUUUGGUAGAGGGAAGCUGUCUUUUGGGCACGCCUUAUUGAGGUCUGUGAAAUCCACACACAUCCUCCACUUGCCGUUUGCCUUCUUUACCAACACCACAUUCGAUAUCCACUCAGGGUAACUGACUUCCCGAAUGAACCCUGCUCUCAAGAACUUCUCCACCUCGCUAUUUAUUGCCUCAUACAUCUCCUGGUUGAAGCACCUCCUCUUCUGCCUUACUGCCCGAGCACCUUUCUUUAUUGCCAGCUUAUGACAUGCUACCUCAGGGUCAAUCCCUGGCAUGUCUUCAUGUGUCCAAGCAAACACAUCAGAAUGAGCCUGUAAGCAUUUCACCAACUCCUGCUUUUGCUCUCCCUCAAGCCUCGACCCGAUUCUGAUCAUCUUUCCCGGAUUCUCUGGUCCCAGGCUUACUGUUUCCAGAUCUUCUACAGGUUCUUGUCUGCCCUUCUUGUUUUCCACUCGGGUAUCGAGGGAUGUUAUCUGCAUUGCUUCCCUUGCUGCCGAGGAGUAGCAGCUUCUUGCGAUCCUCUGGUCUCCUCGUACCACUCCUACUACCCCAUUCACCCGGUACUUCAGAGCGAGAUAGUGGUUGGACAACACCGCUUUGCUCAUCCUUAAAAAUGGCCGACCUAGGAUCAUCUGGUAAGGACCUUCCUCGUCCACUACGACAAAGUCCAGUAUCAUUGUUCUUUCUGUCAGGGAGCUCCCAAUUGUGAUAGGCAGCUCGACCACGCCCAGAGGGACCAGCUUCCCUCCUCCGAACCCCUUCAAGGAGGUAUUGGUGUAUUCCAACUUUCGGUCGGCUAUUCCCAUCUCUUCCAGGGUUGACUUAAAUAACACAUCAACUGAGCUCCCUGUAUCAAUCAGUAUCCGGUCAAACUUCUUGCUAGCGACAGUAGCCUUGAUGACUAAAGCAUCAUCGUGGGGGUAUAGAAUCCCUUCCUCAUCCUCAUCCGUCCACAUGAUUGGCACUUGCCUGACCCUUGCUCGUUUGGCUGCUGGGGUGUUGAAGAGUACCUCUUUACUGGUCAUGGCGUACCUAGCAUAAUUUUUUCUCGAUCUGUUGGAAUCUCCGGCCAAUGUUGGGCCCCCAGCUAUCACCCUUACUGCGGGCUGCUCGCGCCUCAAGUUUCUACCACUCUGCUCCCCUUCACCUGUUGUGGCCACCAUCGGGAAAGUCCCAUCCAUAAACUCGUCCAGGUACCGAUUUCUCACCAAAUCUUCGACCUGGAUCUUGAGAUCUCUACACUCUGCCGUGGUAUGGCCAUGGGUGCCAUGGAACUUACAAUAACGUCUUCUAUCCCUCCUGUUGGGUAGCUUUGUUAUUGGUGUAGGGAGGUGCAGCAGACCUCGAUCCUUUAUGGCCUCGUACACCUCAUCCAGGGACAUCUUCAAGGAAGUGUACCGCCCAUAGUCCGGGUCCUGGUCGAUCAGGUGCACUGCUCUUUCUCUGUUUGCCCCGCUUUGAGUUGGGGGCGGUGGAAGUAAUUCUGGUCUGCUCGCUCUGCUACCAUGUUGGUGAAGACCACCAGAUGCCGACUCAUGCCUUCUCCAAGGCUCCCUAGCUGGGGAACGAGGAGGUUGCGCCCCGCUGCGCUGAUACUGUGGUGGCCUCUGAUGAGGCUGGUAAGCAGUUACCCGACCUCCUGCUCUACUACCGGAGGCCUGGUGGUCUCUCCUCCUGAUCGGCCCAUUCCCCGGUAAUGCUUUCUUCUCUUUCCUCCCCAACCCUUCCAACUGGUCUGUCUUAAUCCGUGCAGCCUUCUCCUCUUCAAUCUCGAUGUCUCUCUUAGCCUGUUCGUAUGCGGCUGCAUACGUUUGAAUAGCUGGGCUUCUCAAAUUGUACCACAACCUUCCUAUCUUCACCCCUUCUUUCAAUCCCCUUAACGCCUGAGGGUGGUUGAAGGCUCCCAAGUCGAGGACAGCCCGAUGAAACCUCUUGAUGAAUUCCCGAAGGGUUUCUUGCUCCCCCUGUUUCAUGCUUUUCAGCUCCAUCAUGUCGUCUUCCGGUGCCAUUGCCCCACUAAACUGCUCCGCGAAUUCCUGGCACAUCUGCUCGAAGGUUUUAAUGCUGCCCCGAGGAAGUUUCCUGUACCAUUCUCGUGCACGUCCCUCAAGGGAUAGUGGGAACACCCUGCACCUUUGGGAUUGAGAUAAUCCUUGUACCCCAGUUAUGUCGUUGAAGCGCUCUAUAUGCACCAGCGGAUCAGUUCUUCCCGAGUAUCUGAGGUCUGGGAGGCGGAAAUCUCUCGGAAUAACUGCCCUCAUGAUUUCUGUUGCGAGCGGCGAUUCUCCGUCCAGCAUUAUCCUCCAACCAGGGGCUCUGUUCCUUCCUUGCAUGUCGUCAAUUAUCUGCGCUAGUCUGCGCACUUCCCCCUCCAGCUGCAACGCACGACCAGGGUCACGUGCUGCAACUUGAUCCCACUCUUGCUCUACAUCAUGCAAGUGUUGCCUCAACUCUGUUUCCUCUGCAUUCACCACCCCGUCGCCCUCGUCACCAGUCUGUCUUGCUGGGGACUGCUCUCUUUCUCUAUGAAAUUCUCCCUGCAGAGGUACGUUACCUCUCUCACCACCAAAUCUCCCGGGGGUUUGACUUCUCCCCGCACUAUCGGGACCUGGUGCCACUCCACCGCCUCUCACCCUUCCCUCUUGGGUUACCCUUCGCUCGCUCCGCAGCUCAUGCAGGAUGGUUGUCAAGGUCUCCAUCUGCUUUUCCAUCCGUUCCAUCUGGUCGAACAUGACUUUUUCCCGUGCUUCGCUGACUAUCUCCCUCAGCGUCACGGAAUCGUUAAGCCUCCUAUCACCCCCUUGUGCACUACUUCUUCCUGUCUCCAUUGCUUUUCACUUGCUUCACCCCUCUUCUUGCUAUCAACAGAAGCUUUUUGCUCUGGUCCCCACAGACGGCGCCAAAAUGUUGAUGCAGGAUUCCGGUUCUUCUCGUUCUACGACCAGGAUCUCUGCUCGAUCAACUUCGUCACGACCAGGAGGUCUCCUCGCAAGACUUUUUCUCUAGAGAUUCCUGCGCACACAGACAAGUCAGAGUACGCCGGUUGUUUUCCCGGCGCAAACCCUCCGACGCUCAAGUCAGAUAUGAAGGUUCGGGGAACGCUUGCCACCGAUCUUAUGGCUUUUUCGUGGUUUUCUCUUCUUUUUAAUUCCUUUUCUAAUGAGAAAAAUGCCAACCCUUUUACCUCGUCGGCUACCUUUUUAUAGGCUUCCUCUGAAUCCCAGUUUUCCGCUCUUUUCGAGACGGUAUGGGACUCUGACUGCUGCGUUAUGGGCAAACGUGGGAUCUUGCGUGUUACGCCACCGUUCUGGGAAAAGCGCGGCAGUCGUGGUUCUGUGAGAUCUUGCGUGUUACGCCACGGUUCUGGGGAAAGCGUGGCUGUCGUGCCUAGGUUCUCGGGCUGGAGAGCAUGUCUCGUCAACUGCCGUCGACCGGGUCUCCUCGCCUCUCGACCUCUAGCCGGAAUGACCUUAUGCCUCUUACAGGAAAUUGGCCUCGCGGAUGACCUGCUCGUGGACGAGCAGGAUAUUUCUGCUCCUGUUCCCCCGCGUACCAGGCUUUUACGGGACACACCGGUUCGCAGAACUCUGCCAUCAGAUAUCUGCUCACCGUGCCUGGUCUCGUCGACGUAUUUCUCCCAAACACCUGGUAUGACUGCUUAUGCUGGAUUUUAUGAGGUGUGCUCUCCUAAGCAAGGAGAGUGGGUCUUAAUAUGGGCAAGGGUGCAGUUGGUCAGCUUAUGGGGCAGUUUGCAAAGUUACUGGGCUGCUAUGUUGUCGGAAGUGCUGGAAGCAAAGACCAGGUAUACAAACAAACAAUCCGUAUCAGUUGCUUGAUUGUUCCCAUUUUGCUUUCAAAAUAUCUAACUUACAUAAGGAAAAUUUUCACCAUCUCGUCUUUUCUUUGAUUUUGAACGCUAAGAUUGAUCUACUGAAGAAUAGGUUUGGGUUCGAUGAGGCGUUCAACUAUAAAGAAGAUCCUGAUUUGAAUGCAGCCUUGAUAAGGUUAGUAUAUCAGCAAACUACAAAUUAGAAGACAUUUUUUCCUGAAAAUCAAAUAAUGUUUCUAAUUUGACAGGUGGUUUCCUGAAGGCAUUGACAUAUACUUUGAAAACGUUGGUGGGAAAAUGCUCGAUGCGGUGCUGAUCAACAUGAAAAUCGGUGGUCGAAUUGCUGUGUGUGGGAUGAUCUCGCAGUACAACCUUGACGAACCCAAAGGCGUACACAACUUGACGCGUCUUAUUUCGAAACGGGUUCGGAUGGAAGGAUUCCUCGUAUCGGAUUACAAUAAACUCUAUCCGAAAUUUCUGGAAAUGAUCAUUCCUCACAUCAAGGGGGGAAAGAUUGUAUACAUUGAAGACACGGCUGAAGGUCUUGAGAGUGCUCGGGCAGCUCUCGUCGGUCUGUUCUCUGGCCGGAAUCUCGGGAAACAGGUGGUUGCAGUUGCUUCUGAAUGAAUGAAGGAUUUGGUUGUUUACAUCAUGCUUCUACUCGUCCAUUUAUUUAAUAAAAUGGUUACGCUCAAUGAGUGUAAUUUUUAUGAUGCUAAAUUAAAUGUGGAAUGUGGCUGCUGGUUUGAUAAUGUUAAAAGUGCUAAAAAAUUUCAUGUUAGGCGCGGUGUGCGUCUGUAUAUCAUUUUUAGGUACGGGCAUUCUAUCUUUUUUUUUUAAUUAAUACAGACACAUUCUUAAACUGUAUGGUUUAAGAGAGAGUUAAAAAAAACUUUUACCACAUGGUUUAAAAGCGUAUCCGUAUGGAAAAAAAAUGAAAGUCCAUUGGAGAAGAAUUUUAUAUAUAGUCCAGGAUAUUAAAGUGCGGGAAAACUAUAGAGUUUUAAAAACUUAAAAUUUAAAACGUUUAAACUGCACGAUUUAUGUGUUUUUCGAUGUGAUCCCACAUUUUAAAAUUGUGGAUUGGAACAUUUGUCUUUGAGGGAAAAAAAACAAUAACAACAACUUCUUUUGGAGACCGUGGGGCUCAUAUGCAGAUUCAACCCCGAGCUAUACACUGGAUCUGGUGGGCUAGGUUUGAACCCAAAACAAGCUCUAUUCAUUACACGGUUCAGCGGGUUGGUCCAUUUGACGCUUCUAACUUAACAAUUUAAUCAUAAUAAAUUGAAAAAAUAAAAUAAAACCCACGUAUCUAAAUUAUUGUAUUGAGCUAUUGGUGCAGAGAAUAAGUAUAUAUGAGAACAAAAACAACACGAUGUAGUCGCUCGUUUUGUCACUUCUAAAAUCAGGAUUUAGAGCAUCACCAAAAGGCUCUUCAAAUAAGAUUUUAUUACUCAUUUGAAGAGCCACAUCAAUAUUUAAAGCUCCAAAAGACACUCUAAUUAAGAUUCUUCAAAUAAGAAUUGAUUCUCUCUCUUCAAAUUUGGAGAGUUAAUUUCUCCCUCUUCAAUUUAUAUUUUAUUACUUUUCAUUAAAAAAAGAGAGAGAAGUGCUUUAAUUGCUAUUGACUUUUCCUUUUAAAAACUAAUUAUAUGAUUAAAAUAAUAUUAACUUAUUUCUAUUUGAAGAGUCUUUUGGAAAAUAUCAUAUUUUUUCACCCUUCUAUUUGCCACAUAGGUAAGCAAAUAGAUAUUUGAAGAGUAAAAUUUAUAGAGGCUUUUGGAGAUGCUCUUAUGAUAGAGUCAUAGUGUUAACAGUACAUCGGUGUAUAAUUAUUUGUAAUGAAAUUAAUUAAUAUGGGUUUUAUGUUGUCUUUGUCAAUAAUCAAUUAAAUUUUUCGUUUUCAUUUAAAUGUUACUGAUCGAUGAAACAUUUGACUGCGUUCAAGUUAUCUUUUAAUUUUGUGAGAUCCACAUUGUUUUUAUUUCAAAAACAUAAUUUUUCAUAUUAUUAAAAAGCUGUUGCUUGGGCCUAGAGAAAUUGGAUUAAUGAAAUACCUUAAGGGUGUGUUUGACACAUUAUAUUGUAUUAUGUUGCAUUGCAUUAUUUUAUUUGGUGUUGCACUAUACUUUACUAAUUUUUUUGCAAUUAAUUUAAAUUACAUAGUUAGCAAAUAAUAUUUAUUAGUGCUUAGAAAAAUACUAAAUAUAGAAGUCUUAAAUUUUAGAAAUUUAACAAUUUUUUUACUAUAAAUGUUAAAAAAUAUAAUAAUUCUUCAUAAAGAUGGAAGCUUACAGCCUUAAGUUUUUGGAAGCAGAGCAUUUAUUUUUUAGUAUCUUCUAAAUAUAUAAUUUUUGAAAUAAAGAUAUAAGCACAUAAUUUAAUCACAUAGUCUUUAAAUAAUAUAACAACAUAAAUAAAUAGUUAAAAUGUGCAAGAUUAGUUCAAAACUCAUCUUAGGAUGAUAUAAUAAAAGUUUAUACACACCACAAGAUAAUCACAAAAUAAUAAAGUGAUAAAAUUAUUAUAACAUAUUCACUACCAAAAUAAAUUAUAUUAAAUAAUCCAAGUGAGAGUUCUGUAGUUUAUAUAAUAAUAUUAUUUAUGUUAUUAUUAUUAAUUUUAAAUUAAUAUUAUCCAAAUUUAUUCAUACUUAAAUAUGUAUUAUUAGUUAUAUUACAUUAUUUUUACAUAUUAAUUAUUGUAAUAUAAUUAAAUAAUGUAAAAUUAUAUUAUAUUUUUAUAUACUAUUUAAGUAUUUAUUAUUAAUUAUAUUCAAUUAUAAAUUUAUUAAUAAAUUAUAGUGCAAAAAAAAAUAGAAAUAAAAAUUAAUAUUGUAUAAUAAAUAACAUUCUGCUCCCAAUUUCUGGAUUUUAAAUUCCAAAAAUAGUAUUCACGUUCGCCACAUUCAAAAAUCCAACCUGGGCUUGGAGAUUCGAUUCAUCUCAUAGAUUAAUUUUAUAAACUAAUGUUUAGUGAAAAAUUAACCUUAAUGGGUCCUCCUCUCCAGGCCUAAUUCUUAAUUUUUUUUUUAAUUUGGUCCUACUUAAGUGGCUUCUAACGUUACCGUGUCUUUAUUUUGUGUACAGUUGUUUUACUAAUUUGUCAUUUAGUGCAAAUAACAGCACUCAACUUGUAAUAUCCAGUAUCCACAAAUCAGCCACUUCGGCCAAGGCCGAAGUGGUGGGCUGCUGCCCUCACAAUGCUUGUGAGGGCAGCGGUUCUAGCCCCCACAAAAGCAUUGUGGGGGUUAAAUGUUCUUUAUAUUUCCAAAAAAAUCCUUCUCUCUUGCAAAAUGUAAGUGGAGUAUGGACAUCCCUCUCCUGUGAGGGGUUAUUUGUCUGGGCAUGUACUUCAUAGAAUUCAUUGUAAUAAUGUAAGUCCCAAUCAUGUAUAUCUGAUUGUAAAUAUCAGUGUAAUAUCUCUGCUACAAUAAGCAGUUGUUGUAAAUAUCUGUCUGAUGAUUAAUCAGUAUUCAAAAAAAAAAAAGUAUCCACAAAUCAUGAACUCAUUUUUUAGUUCUUUCAUGUGUACUAACAUUCGUACAAAUAUACAAUAAGUUCAUAAUUUAGUCCAAGUUGACGAGAAAUUCUUGACCCACCCCUAAAUAUCUGUCCGCCAAUAGCGUGAAGUGGCCGGCAUAAAUUUAAAGCAGCUGGGACAUUGUAACUCAUCCAAAGAUUGUAUAACAUCUCUUUUUUGCUUUAUCGUUUUUCUCCAGUUGCAUAGUUUCUUAUCCUACCGCUUUAAAAACAAUUAUUCCUAGAAAUUUUCAUUUAUCUAAUGAAUUUUAAGAAUUUUUUCAGCAAACAAUUUUUACUUUUUUUUUUUUUUAUCAUUGAUGGGUAAAGAAAAUAUUAAUGAAAAAUGAGGAGUUAUUGGCUGGUUCAACGGAUUAAUUGCAAUGAUAAAUACAGGGAGGAUUGGAUUAUAUGGCAAAUUUUUAUAGUAAAUGUAAUAUAUAUGCUAACACUUUUUAUUUAUGGCAAAAUAUCUUCCUCUUUUGAGACUUUUCCCUCUAAGAAAAUUGGAGGAUACGACAAUAUAUAUAUAUAUAUAUAUACUAAUAUUUAUCAUUUAUAGAAAAGUAUCUAUCCCACUUAAGAUUUGCCCCACUAGAAAAGGAAAAAAAAAUCCCUCAAAAUAAAAGAGCGAAAUGGAAACAGAACAAAAUUUGAUUUUGUGGAUCUUGUAUUGUGUGAUAAGUCCGGCAUGCAAUUUUGGGCCAGCUUACCGUGCGCAUGGGAGCAUUCACAAAGUAUCUCUCGUCACUAUCGAAAACUUUUAACAGUCAAUACAAAUGCUUCCGUUUCAUCCCAUAAACAAAUAAAAUUCACAUCUGUACACAUCUACUUUGCUUUGCUAGAUAGAGUUCCUCUGCAUUUCCCAAUUGCCUAAAGAGAAGGGGAAAAGAAAAAGAGGGCCAAAAAAUGCCUGAAAUGGUAAGGAACAAGCAAGUGAUAUUGAAGGACUAUGUGUCUGGUUUCCCAAAAGAAACAGACAUGUACAUGACCGAAAGUUCCAUAGAAUUGAAGGUGCCAAAAGGUUCAAAUGGGGUUCUUUUAAAGAACUUGUACUUGUCCUGUGAUCCGUACAUGCGACCAAGAAUGACCUACAUCGAAGGAUCUUAUGUUGAAUCCUUUAAACCUGGCUUGGUUAGUGCACUCGCUCAUGGCCACGCUUUUCAUUUCCAUGGCUUCUUGCUCUUUUGUUAUAGAAAAUUUAUUUUUGGUUGCAGUUUGGUUCGACUGCUAAAAUCUCGUGCGAUAAUUGUAUAAGAUAUCUAGAGUUUGAACUUCUUUCACAUUAGGGUUCAAGGAAGUUAACUUAAAUGAUUUUCAAAAUUUUAAAUGUGUACCAAUGAAUUUAAUUUCAUAGCUUAAACUUAUUGUUUGAUCAUACUCUAACUUUGGACAGGAAAAUUAUAUUUUUCCUUUUGUUCUUUGACUUCGUGUAUGUUGUGUGAAGUACUUGUGCUUGAAAAUGAAUUGCUGACACAGAAAUUUCUAUGAAUGCAUGCAGCCCAUAAGUGGAUAUGGGGUGGCUAAAGUUUUGGAUUCAGAGAAUCCAGAGUUCAACAAAGGUGACUUGGUUUGGGGAAUGACUGGAUGGGAAGAGUAUAGUCUCAUUACGGCUCCACACUUGUUUAAAAUUCAGCACACAGAUGUGCCUCUUUCUUACUAUACUGGAAUCCUCGGUAAACUUUUUGUUUGCGCAAUUUAUGUGAGCAAAUUGUGUCUUCUUUUUCAUAUGUAAAUGUUUUUGAUAUCUUGAUGUGAAGGUAGAAAAUUGCAUGUUUUGAGUUUUUGCAUAUUUGAUGGAAACACAGAACCGUACCUGAAUAUUUCAGAACCCCCUUUUCUUUGAAGUUUGAACACUUUUCUUGAAUGUAUCAACUUUAUUUAUGGGAUAUGUUGCCAAAUUGGCAAAUCUAUUCGUUAUAAAACUUUCCUUUGACAGUUUAAUCUAAGCAGAUGUUAAUUCUGCAAAUAGAGUGUGCCUUAGUUUAGAUUGAUAGAUUUGUCUCCUUCUGUACAGUAAAAACUUUGAGCAUUUUCGCCAUAUUCUGAUCAAUACACUCCAACUAGUUAGUUCUUGAGGCGUUUCCUGGUUUCGUGGAGUGAGCCAAGAUGUAUACGUUUGCAAAUUGGCAAUGUCUUUUGCUUGAUGUGUUGUGAGUUGUGAGUGUCAAUAGGAAAGUUUCAAAGUGCGCAGUGCUCACUUGAGCACCCAUAUUACUUGGUGACCUGUUGCCUCAGCAAACAAGACCUCUGUUUUAUGAACUCCAAAAAGUUAUUCUGUUAAAAAGAUCGAGACAGAGGCCAUACUAUAUUUAUUAUUGCUAUAAAAGUGUCAAACAAUAUUCUUUAUUUAAUAUUCUAAACGAUUGAGCCAUUUAGUUAUGAUACUCUGCUGUACUGGGGCUAAUAAUCUAAGUCGGUUCAAAGUGGUAAAUUUAUAAAUUGAUAGGUAUGCCUGGUAUGACCGCUUACGUUGGAUUUUAUGAGGUCUGCUCUCCUAAGCAUGGAGAGUGCGUCUUCAUAUCAGCAGCAUCUGGUGCAGUUGGUCAGCUUGUGGGGCAGUUUGCAAAGUUAUUGGGUUGCUAUGUCGUCGGAAGUGCUGGAAGCAAAGACAAGGUAUGUAAUCUGUGUGAACUACUUGAUUGUUUCCAUGUUACUUUCAAACAUUUAAAUUAAAAAGGAAAUUUUCAUAAUCUUGCCUUUUCUAUGAUUUUCAACACCAAGGUUGAUCUACUGAAGAACAAGUUUGGGUUCGACGAGGCAUUUAACUAUAAAGAAGAAGCUGAUUUGAAUGCAGCAUUGAAAAGGUUAGCAUCAAUAAAUGCCUUAGCUUGAUGCAGCUUGAUGAAGUAUGAUACACAUUUCUGACCAAUAUACUGCGUUCCCUGAUCUCUUACUUGAAAUAUCUUGGUUUGAGAAUCUCAUGCCAAUGCCUUUAACAUUUUGGCAGGUACUUUCCUGAAGGAAUUGAUAUAUAUUUUGAAAACGUUGGUGGAAAAUUGCUUGACGCAGUGCUACCCAACAUGAAAAUCCGUGGUCGAAUUGCUGCAUGCGGUAUGAUCUCACAGUACAAUCUUGACAAGCCUGAAGGUGUGCACAACUUGAUGUAUCUUGUUUCGAAACGGCUUCGAAUGGAAGGAUUCAUUGUUCUGGAUCACUAUCACCUCUAUCCAAAGUUUCUGGAAAUGAUCAUUCCUCACAUCAAAGAAGGGAAGCUUGUAUACGUCGAAGACAUGGCUGAAGGUCUGGAGAGUGCUCCGGCAGCUCUCAUCGGUCUAUUCUCUGGCCAGAAUGUUGGGAAACAGGUGGUUGCUGUUGCUCCUGAAUGAAGAACAAGUUAGUGUUGUGUGUUCUUUUACCCUUUGACACAAAACUUCAAUGUUAAAGAGAGAAUGCUGCUCAUACUGCUUUAUAAAAUAAUCAAAUGAGUGCAAGUUUCAUGAUAUGUGCUGAAUAAAAAUAUUGGAAAUUAAGCAGCUAGCCUAGCUCCUUCUUGUAGUUGCAGUUUGAAUGAUGCUGCUGCACAACUGCUGCCGAAAAAAUCCUUAAUAGAUGAUUAGCAAGGUUUCAAAAAUAAAAAUAAAUGUUUGUGCAAUGUGCCGAAUAUGACAGCCACAAAGAAAGAGCAUACAAAUUGACUGGUUUUAUGUCUUCUCUAGGAGAAAGCUACAAUACAAGAAAUUGUAUUGAUGCCAUGGACCAAAUUUCUUAUUUAAACUUUUAAUUUUUUUUUAUUAAAAUUACUUAUGUUAUUAUGGUUUAUAUUUUUAGAAAUUCUUUAGAAAUUAAUACAGAACUAGUAGCAAGUUGAGAAAUCUAAUGAAUGGUCGAGAUAUGAUCAUGUUUAUUGAAUUAAAUUGACAAUCAUCAUUUUGAUAAAUUAUUGUUAGGAUAUUUGAUUCAUCACAGGUGUAAGUAACUAAAUGUGCUAAAAAAAAAGUUAAUGAGUUGUGAGUGUUUGAUAUUCGUUUGUUGUAAUUCUUUUAAUAAUUGUUGUGGGAAAAAAAUUAUGGUAAAAAAAUUAUAAUUAUAAAAUAAAAAUUAAUAAUAUAUUAUAAAUAAAAUUUUUAAAUAAUAAUUUUAAUAAAAUAAUAAAUAUAUUAUGAAUUUUUCAUUAUAAAUUUUUAAGUUAAAAUAAUAAAUAUUUAUUAAAUAUUUUAAUAGCACAACUUUUAAAUUAUAACAGUACAAUGUAAAUACCAGAGGUCUUAAAAAAUAAAAUUACAGUCAAGUUUUAAAACUGUUAAUAAUGCUAUUCAUAAAGGCGCUCGUCGUGUAAACAACACAUGGGACCCAACCAAUAAAUGUUUAUGAUCCUCAACUUUCCUCCUCACCGUCCCUGCAAACAAUUCUGAUUUUCUUGUCUGAGAAAAAAACUGAGAAACAAUGGCGGCCGAACAAGAAGCUGUGAGCAAUAAGCGGGUGAUUCUAAGCAACUAUGUGACAGGUUUUCCAAAAGAAUCGGACAUGAAGAUAACAUGUGGAUCAAUAAAACUGGAGGUAGCAGACGGUUUAAAAGACACGGUGCUUUUGAAGAAUCUUUAUAUUUCUUGUGAUCCUUACAUGCGAGAGCGUAUGAGCAAGCUUGAUAGACCUUCUUUUGUUGAUUCAUUCCAUCCUGGUGAGGUUAGUUCAUCACGACCCAUCUCUUGAUUUUUUUUUUUUUUCAUUUGCUUCAAGUUUUGAUGAGUUUCUGAGGUCAUUUGUACGGUUUUGGAAUGUGAACACUAUUAGUGAUUUUGGGGCUGUAACUGUCAUUAAUGAUAUGUAGUAAUUCAAUCAGAAUUUGGAUUUAGUGCUGAUAUGAUCUCUGCUCAUUUUUUAAAAUCUUGUGUCCAGAUGCAUUUUUAUAAUCUUGUACGGUUGAGAUUGUAAGUAGAUUAAUCUACGUGCAGUAUUCUUGUCUAAUGACUACUAACCACAACCUUAUGAGACGAUCGAAACCAAGCUCAGAUCAAUAAUCCAAUUGAGAGAGGGUCCUAACUCAAGCUUAUCGUGUGUAGGAAUAUUUCGGUUAAAUUGUAAUUCUUUUAAUAAUUGUUGUGAAAAAAAAAAAGUUAUGAUAAAAAAAUUAAUAAUUAUAAAAUAAAAAUUAAUAAUAUAUAAUAAAUAAGAUUUUUAAAUAAUAAUUUUAAUAAAAAAUAAUAAAUACAUUAUCAGUUUUUCAUCGUUAAUUUUUAAGUCACAACCACAAAUAUUUACUAAACACUUUAACACCAUAAUUAACACCACAACUAUUGAAUUAUAACUGUACAAUCUAGACGCCAAGAGGCCUUAGUAUGAAAAAAAAAAAUUACAGUUAAGUUAAAAUUCAUCAUACAGAUGUGCCACUUUCAUACUAUACCGGGAUCCUCGGUAAUGAUUUUUGUUACACAAUAAGAUUUGCUUAUAGUAAUAUCAAUACAUAUGCUGCUUAAAUGCUUUCUGAUUUUUUGCCGGCCAUUGUCCAUUUUGCCAGGGAGUCUAUAAUUGAAGGAAUUUACUGAAGGAAUGCUGAUUGUUGGGAAUUUGAUUAUUCUAGGUAUGCCUGGUGUAACUGCAUACGCUGGUUUAUACGAAGUUUGCUUUCCGAAGAAAGGAGAGUAUGUCUAUGUAUCUGCAGCAUCUGGAGCUGUUGGUCAGCUUGUUGGACAGUUUGCAAAAUUAGCUCGUUGCUAUGUUGUUGGAAGUGCAGGAAGCAAAGAAAAUAUAGCACCGUGCCUUCUAGCAGAAUUUUACUUGCUUUAUGUUCCAACUAAGCAUCCAUAUUUGAUCAUGAUAAUUAGCAAGGUCAAUAAUUUUUUUUUGACUAUUUUUUCAACGUAAGGUCGAUUUGUUGAAGAACAAGUUUGAACGAUGCUUUUAACUACAAGGAAGAGCCUGAUUUGGAUGCAGCACUCAAAAGGUCAGCUGCAACAAACGUUUCAACUCUAAUAUUUCAUUUUAAUAUUACAGAGCUUUGGUUGAAGUGUGUGAGUUGAUCCCAGAAACGUAACUUCAUCAGUGUCUCUGUUUUCAAAAAACAGGACAAAUAGAAAUCUGAUUUUGCUUUAAAAUUUCCCAGAUGCUUCCCUCAAGGAAUCGACAUAUAUUUCGAAAAUGUUGGGGGAAAGAUGCUGGACGCAGUGCUACUCAACAUGAGGCUCCGGGCCGCAUUGCAGUAAGCAGUAUGAUCUCACAGUAUAACCUGGAAAAACCCGAAGGCGUUCACAACUUAGAGCAACUGAUCGGGAAACGGAUUCGCCUGGAAGGAUUUCUAGCUGGUGAUUACUAUCACCUCUAUCUGAAAUUCUUGGAACUGGUCAUUCCUCCAAUCAGAGAAGGAAAGAUGCUGUAUGUGGAAGACAUGGCCGAAGGACUCGAGAAAAUUUCUCGUAACUGCUACACAUUAAACGCGUUUCACAUUUCCACUCUCUUUCUAUAAAUAAAUACGCACAUAAAAUUUCUCACCAUCCAAAAACAAAAUCUACAUAAAAAAUGGCGGGUGAAGAAGCAGUGAGCAACAAGCAGGUGAUUCUGAGCAACUACGUGACAGGGUUUCCCAAGGAAUCAGACAUGAAGAUAAUAACAGGCUCAAUAAACCUUAAGGUGCCAGAGGGUUCAAAAGACACAAUGCUUUUGAAGAAUCUUUAUCUUUCUUGUGAUCCUUACAUGAGAGGACGUAUGAGCGAGCUUGAUAAGCCUUCGUUUGUUGCCUCAUUCGAGUCUGGCGAGGUCAGUUACUUCAAUUCCCAUCUCUUGGUUUCAUAAUCUUUUAUGGUUUUAGAAGGUGUUUUAGGGAAACAUUGUGGUUUUGGUUAGUGGGCAUGAGUCUUUGAAGAGAUUAUAAUGUGUAGGACUAUGCAUGCAAUAAUAAGCAUAGGGGAUCUUGUUAGGAGAAGAUUCUCUUAGCAAAAUAAAAACUUUUAUCUUAUCAAAACAUAUGCAGGGAACUUAGUUAUGAUGUCAUGUUAGCAUUAUCUCUGAGGAUUUGAUUUCUUGAUGGGGAAAGGGGAAUUUAAGGUUACAUUAUUCAGCAAUGUUUUUUUUUUAAAAAAUUAUGUUCAAAUUAUGCAGCCUUUAAGCGGAUAUGGAGUGUCCAAAGUGUUGGAUUCCACGCCUCCAAAUUAUAAGAAAGAUGACUUGGGUGGCGUUUGUUUUUUAACUUAAUGACUUAAAGUGACUUAACUUAAUUAAUUAAGUUAAUUAGAGAUGUUUGUUUUUAUAACUUAAUGUGACUUUUUAAAUAAUUUUGACUUAAUAAAAUAAGCCAAUUUUAUUUACUUUUUACUUAAUAGAGACAUCUGAAUUAAGUCAAGUACUUUCUAAUGUCAAAAAUAUACAUGCUUUAUAAUUUAUUUUUCAUGUCUAUCCCAAAACUCACCCAUAGACAUUUACCCCACAUAAUAAUCUCAUCAUUAUUUUUUUAGCCGUCAUGAAAUCCCUCCUCACUUUGGUAUCAACUCCUCAACUAUUGAAGAUCAAAAUUACAUGCGACAACUUCGAGAUGAAUGGCAAAUCAACUGUUUCAAGCAUCUUAUUCGUUUUUUUUCUUUUUUAUAUUAUAUACGAUAAAAUUUGAAAUUUAUGGUAUUUUAUAUAUUAAAAUUCCAAAAUCAUUAUAUAUUCACUUGAAUAUAGUUUUACUUAUAAAUGUUAAAAUAUUGUGAUAUUUAAUAUAUUAUUUAUUUGACAUUCAAAUUUAAUAAGGAUACAAAUGUAAAAGUACAUAUUUUUCAGUUUUUUAAGUUGAAAAAAGCAAACAACUUAAUAAUUAUUUUUCGAGAUUCAGACGAAAAAACAAACAUAUUAUUCAGAUUCAGACAUUCAGAUCUAUUCAGAAUUUAGACUAAUUCAGGUCUAUUCAGAUUUCAGAUAAAAAAACAAACGCCACCUUGGUCCGGGGCUUAACCAGUUGGGAGGAGUUCAGUCUCAUCCAAUCACCACAACUUCUGAUUAAAAUUCUGGAUACAAGUGUGCCUCUGCCAUAAUUAAUUGACAGGUUGCUAUGUUGUUGGAAGUGCCGGAAGCAAAGAAAAGGUGAGUUUGCACCCUUAACCCUUACGCUCUAAAUAAAAACAUAACACCUUCUGAAAGAAUUGUGCAUAGAGAAUUUUGCAUGUCACAUUAUUUGUGUUCUAACUAAUCAUGGAUAUUUGAUCAUUAGUCUAACUAAAACUGACAUAUUACCACCUAGUUGACUGGUCUUUGAGAAAUGUUAGUUGAUAUAUGCUUGAAAUCAUACUUGUUUUAUUAGAUGAUUAUAUUAACCUGCUUCUUUUUCUUUGUGCUGUUUCUCGUUUGAUUACAUUUUCAACAUUAGGUCGAUCUAUUGAAGCACAAGUUUGGGUUUGAUGAUGCCUUUAACUAUAAGGAAGAGCCUGACUUGGAUGCAGCUCUUAAUAGGUUAGCACGAAUGAAUGCUUUAACCAUUUUUCUCACUUCAUUAUUACAAUGCGCUGAUUGAAGUAAUCAGUGUUGGCUCUGAAAAUGUAACGUAUACUUCUCUGUUUUCAUAAAACAGGACAAACAGUGAUCAGUGAUCUCAUUCGUUACAUUGAUAUUUUCUACCAUUGCCAUACAUAGUAUAAACUAGGAAUUCAGUUGCUUAAUAGAUAUUCAUUUCAGAGGGAAAUUUUCACUUGCAGCUAACAGAAUCAUGUUUGUGAUGUAUGUUUAUUUGGGAAAUGAAAGGAUUUGUUGCAUUAUUUUAUUCCAAGUUUGCUGAAAUCAUAUUUGUUUUCCCAGGUGCUUUCCUGAAGUUAUCGACAUCUAUUUCGAAAAUUUUGGAGGUAAGAUGCUUGAUGCAGUGCUACUCAACAUGAGAAUUUGUGGCCGCAUCGCUGUAUGCGGAAUGAUCUCACAGUACAACUUUGAGAAGCCUGAAGGUGUACACAACUUGAUGCAAGUAGUUGGAAAACGAAUUCGCAUGGAAGGAUUUCUUGCCAGUGAUUUCUACCACCAAUAUCCAAAAUUCUUGGAACUGGUUAUGCCGGCAAUCAAAGAAGGAAAGUUAGUAUAUGUCGAGGACAUAGCUGAAGGCCUCGAGAAAGCUCCAUCAGCCCUAGUUGGGAUAUUCACAGGUCAAAAUGUUAAAAAACAACUGGUUGUAGUUGCUCGGGAAUGAUAUGAUUACUAUAUGCUUUAAAAAGUGGACUUUGCCAUGCACUUUAAAAGCUUAGUGAAGAUGCCUUUGUCUUAUUUUUGAUACAUGUUAUGUUUGUUUGAUCAAGUUGUACUCAGCUAUAAAUCAAAGAUUCAGAACAUGUGUAUGAUACUGGUUUCUAAAUCAAUGAACGCGUUGAAAUGUUAGUGUUUUCACAGGAGAAUGCAAUUUAAUUCAUCAACAAUGUCCCAACAAGACCCUCAGAGCUGUAGCUUGUAAAGUUAAUUACGAUAUUUUUUUGUAAAGUAAAUUACCAUAUUUUUUUCUUUCCAAUAUAUUGCUUAUUUCAUAGAAAGUUUACAUUAAAGUCUCAUGUUUCUUUGAAAGGUAAGCAAGUGUGAACGUUUCAAUCUAGAGCUGGAAAAUGCAUUUCCGGGCAACUUACUUGAUACAUGAAGUUUUCAUCUCUGACCUUGAUGUUUCCCAUAGUUGCAUUCAUUUCAGCUGAUCUAUUUAAUUUUGUUUUCGAAGGAGUGACACAAAAUCUCCUUUGUUAAGGGGAGAAUUUAGAGUGGCUUUGACUGUUAGCAAAUAGCCUAAUGUAAGACUUAACCAACUUCCUGCCCUGUUGUAUGCUUAUGAAUUUUGAUAGAGCUAAGAGUUUGCAGAAGCUACUGUAUUAUUUGUCGUUAGAGGCUGUAAAAAUCAAACACAUUUAAAUUUCAAUGAAAAUUUACUGGAAGUAAAUUUCCUAUGAUCCCACAGGUGACUAAUUAAUGAGAACUUGACAAUGACAAAAGAAAGUCUAUGAACUUUGCAGGCUGGCAUGCCAAUAUUGACUGGGUGGCACCAUCCACCAUCUGCAAGUGAAUAUCAUUGUUGUUUAAUCAACAAGGUGGAGUCCACUGGGACCACACCACAUCGUCAGCCUUAUCUCUAUUCCUCAAUUUUCAGUAUUCCAUACAUCAAACCAAUUUCAGUUUUGUUAUCAAUUAUAAUUUUAUUGUUGGUGACGAUUCUGAUUCCUUUCUGACAAAAGGGAACCAUGGCUGCUGCUGGAGAGAUCUUACUCAACGCCUUCUUUCAGGUACUGUUCGACAGGUUGGCUUCUCGUAAUUUGCUCAGCUUUGUGCGUCAACUCCAAGGCGGGGUUGAUUCGGAGCUCAAAAAGUGGGAGAAAAAGCUGAAGAUGAUUCGGGCUGUGCUCUGCGAUGCAGAGGAGAAGCAACUGACUGACGAGGCUGUGAAGAUGUGGCUGGACGAACUCCAAGACUUGGCUUAUGACGCUGAGGACACUCUUGAUGAGUUUGCUACUCAAGCUUUGGAAAGCAAGUUGAUGGCGCAAAAUCACGAUAGUUCUGGCCAGGUUCUCAGUUUCAUCCCGGCUGGUUUGAAUCCGAAUGCUAUUAUGUUCAAUUAUAGCAUGGGGUCC